UAAUUGGUGCAACAUUGAAAUGUUUUCAGGAAUUUGGCCACUGAUGUGAUUCCCAGACAAGUUCAAAACCACCAAACCAAACAAUCUUGUUAUUUCUUGGGGAAGCUCUCCACUUAAAUUAUUGUCGGAUAGGUCUAUGCCUACAACCAGAGAAAGAGUCCUGGUGUAUUCAAGACUUUGACCUUUCAUAAUCACCACCAAUCGUUCUUCAUACUGAGAGUUGCUCACAUUUUCAUACAAAGGAUAUAUAUUCUUGUUAUACUCCGGAACCAUGGCUUUAAGCUCAAACAAAGUGACUGGAAUUUCACCCAUCAGAUUGUUGUGUGCAAGGUCUAAGACAUGUAGGGAGCUUAAAUUUGAAAGCUGGGAGGGAAGUCUUCCAAAAAAUACAUUUGACCUCAAGUUGAGUAUUACAAGAUUUAUGAAAGCAAUUCCAAUCCAUGAAGGAACCUUACCCGAUAACUGGUUAUAACUGAGAUCAAGGAGUUCUAACCUUGAUAAAUUUUGGAAAGACGAGAGGAGCUCUCCUGAAAGCUUGUUGUCGUUCAGAUGCAAUGAUUUGAGCCAUUGUAACUGGCCCAAGGACUUUGGUAUCAUCCCAGAUAAAUUGUUAUUUCCAAGGUCAAGAACAAUUAGGCUAGAGCAAUUACCUAUGGUAUAAGGAAUGCUUCCAAUCAAAUUAUUCCUUGAAAAAUCAAUGACUUGAAGAGAGGUGAUGUGUCCUAUGGAAUCUGGGAUGGUCCCUGUUAUUUGAUUUUUCGAAAGCAAAAGGUGAUGCAUGUCUAACAUAGAUUCACCUUUGCUCAGUAGGAUAGGGCCAGAAAAUUUAUUGUAGGAGAGAUCUAGUGAAUAGACCCCUUUGAUUGAAAAAGGAAUAGGUCCCUCAAAGAGGUUGUGACUGAAAUCAAUAUAUGCAGAUUGAAAUUUUAAUGAAUUUGGUAGCUGACCUUGUAACUGAUUGUGAGAAAGAUUUAAGUACUGCAGAUUGAAAGAAAUAUUCCAAAACCACUUGGGUAUGGAACCUGAGAUGCUAGCAUUUGACAAAUCCAGCCAGGAGACCUCAUUUUGAGACCUAAGCCAAGUCGGGAAUGAAGGGCCUAAAUUGCAUGAAGCCAUAUAAAGAUCAGUGAGUUGGAAUGGGGGGACCCAGGUGGAACUAACAUUCAAAAUGAGACCAGAAUUUCCGCCCAUGAACAACAUCUUUAGCUUACUCAACUUUGAAAAAUGCUCUUCAGAAAGAAUUCCUGUCAAGGUAUUAAGAGUAUUAAAAUAAUUUCAUUUAUUUAUUUAUUUUAUGAAAAAUAAGAAAUUUCAAGAGAAAUGAAUUUUCAAAAAAUGUAUAAUAAAUCAAAUGAGUGGAAAAAAGAUAAUUUAAAAUAUUUUUUAAAAACAAGUGUUUACAUGGAAUCAAUAUAUACACAAUUACCAGAAGAAAAUUUUAAUGAAUUUGGUAGCUGACCUUGUAACUGAUUGUCAUAAAGAAUUAAGUCCUCCAGAUUGAAAGAAAUAUUCCAAAACCACUUGGGUAUGGAACCUGAGAUGCUAGCAUUUGACAAAUCCAGCCAGGAGACCUCAUUUUGAGACCUAAGCCAAGUCGGGAAUGAAGGGCCUAAAUUGCAUGAAGCCAUAUAAAGAUCAGUGAGUUGGAAUGGGGGGACCCAGGUGGAACUAACAUUCAAAAUGAGACCAGAAUUUCCGCCCAUGAACAACAUCUUUAGCUUACUCAACUUUGAAAAAUGCUCUUCAGAAAGAAUUCCUGUCAAGGUAUUAAGAGUAUUAAAAUAAUUUCAUUUAUUUAUUUAUUUUAUGAAAAAUAAGAAAUUUCAAGAGAAAUGAAUUUUCAAAAAAUGUAUAAUAAAUCAAAUGAGUGGAAAAAAGAUAAUUUAAAAUAUUUUUUAAAAACAAGUGUUUACAUGGAAUCAAUAUAUACACGAUUACCAGAAGAAAAUUUUAAUGAAUUUGGUAGCUGACCUUGUAACUGAUUGUCAUAAAGAAUUAAGUCCUCCAGAUUGAAAGAAAUAUUCCAAAACCACUUGGGUAUGGAACCUGAGAUGCUAGCAUUUGACAAAUCCAGCCAGGAGACCUCCUUUUGAGACCUAAGCCAAGUCGGGAAUGAAGGGCCUAAAUUGCAUGAACUCAUACCAAGAUCAGUGAUUUGGAAUUGGGGGACCCAGGUGGAACUAACAUUCAAAACGAGACCUGAAUUUUCAUCCAUCUGUAGAGUCUUCAGUUUACUUAACUUUGAAAAAUGUUCUUCAGAAAGAAUUCCAGUCAAGCGAUUAUAAGAAACAUCCAAGACAACCAAUUCAGAAAGUUGUCCAAAACUAACUGGGAGACUCCCAUUCAGUUCAUUCAUUUUAAGCCGCAUCUCAUUCAGAUCUUUGAAUGUCCCAAAAGAAGUAGGGAUAGGGCCUUGAAGCUUGUUGCCGGAUAGAUCGAGAUAUGUAAGUUUUUCCAGCUGACUCAAUCGUUCUGGCAAUCUGCCCACUAAUUGAUUCCAGGACAAGUCCAAAUACCUCAGUUUUGGUAAAGGACCUUCAAAACUGCAGUUUUUGAUCUCUUUGAGAAAUUCAGGGAAACUUCCUAUCAAGGUAUUGGCACCUAAAUCCAAAUGUUCUAAGUUGCAAAAAUUUCCGAUGGAGGUUGGAAUUGUACCUGCAAUCAUCAUCAAGAGUAUUAAAAUAAUUUGUUUUUAAUAAAUUGUUUUAUGAAAAAUAAGAAAGUUCACGAGAAAGGUAAGAAACUUUGCCUUCUUAAUGCAUUAUCAAAUGAACGAAGAAAAGAUAAUUUAAAAUAUUUUUAGAAACAAGUGUCUGCAUGGAAUAAAUUGAGAAUAUUGUUUUUAGAAAUUAAAGUUUCCAAACAAAAUUUUGUUUCAAAAUAUAAUAUAAUAUUUGUAAAAAUUAUUUUAAAAAUGUUUACAAGAAAACAAUUACAUUAUAAUAUUUGUAAAACUAUAAUAAAAAACUCAAAAAAUAAUUUUAGAAAACUAUUUUAAAAAUUGUUUACAACCAAAACCUAGAUUUUGUAGUGUAAUCUUUCAAAUACAUCAAAAGCCCUAAAAGGUCCCCUUUAUUGGUCAAUUGUGCAAUGAAUUUAUGACAAAUCAUGCAUCAUCAAGAGUUAAAAUAAUUUAAUUUAAAAUAUUUUUCAAAAAAAAAAAAAAAAGAGUUUAUGAGAAACAAAUUUGAUGAGUGGUGAGAAGAUAAUUGAAGUUGCUUUGAUGGUCUAAUGAUAAAAGUAAGAGAUUAUUGGAAAGUCAGAAUAAUUUAAUGCGAAAUAUUUUUUUAAAACAAGUGUUAAACUGUAAAACCACUACAUUAUUUUGAUGUAUCAAAAUCAAUAGGCAAUAAUAAUUUUUCUAAGCCAAAAACGUACCAAGAAAUUUAUUGAUUGCCAAAUUCAAAAAUUCUAUCUUCUUCCAACUUCCGCUUAACAGUUGAGAGCAACUACCUGUGAGAUUUUCAUUUGAAGAUAGAUCCAAGUGCUGCAAGUUAGGUAGUUCCCCAAGGGCAAGUGAAAUCUGCCCAUAUAACUUGUUAGAGCUUACAUCAAUGUAUACAAGGUUGCUAAGGUUUAGAAGCCAUAUUGGGAACUUUGACUGGAAAGAGUUGCCACUGAUGCUUAUGACAGACAAUGAAGUAAAAUUGAUAGAGUUUAGAGAUGAAAUGGAACCGGAGAGCCCACAAUCUUGUAGGUGCAACUCUGUUAAAAAUGAAAGCUUGUUGAAUACUUCCAUCCAGUGAGAUCCUACCAUUGAUAGGUCGACAUAGUUCAAUUUGAGAUGCCUUAAGGAAACAAGAUUAGUCAUCCAUUCAAGGUGCUUAACAAAUAAUUGAGAUUCAUAGGAAGAAAGAUCAAGAAAUUGCAAAUUAGAAAGGUUUCCCAAGGUUGGAGGAAUUGCACCUUUGAAUCCACAAUUUGAUAAGUUUAGAUAUUGUAAAUUUCUCAAAGAUCCGAAGAAUUUAGGAAUUGGGAUAUGCUCAAAUGAGUUGCCACUCAAAUCUAAAGAUCUCAAAGAUUUGAGUUCUAUCAAAGAAGGUCGAAUCUCCCCGCUUAAGUUCAUUGAACUCCAAUUUUCAUAUGCUUCUUCAAGAUAAUAUGGGUUAUGAAGAUCGAUUGAAAUAACAACUCCUGUGUUAUUUUCACAACCAAUUCCCUCCCAUUGACAACAAUUGCCUCCUAUCCAUGAUGAAAGUCGGUUGUUAGAAGAAUCUUUGAGACCAUUUUUGAAGUCAAGAAGAGCUUCUCGAUUAGCUCUUAAGCAAUUUCCCUCAAGGGUUUCACCCUUGCAAGCAAGAUCUCUUGUUAUGAAACAUAGAAUGACCAAAAGGAAACCAAGAAUUGAAAUUUUCUCCAUCUAAGAACACCUAUAAAAACAAGUAAUUAAUAUUAAGUUCCGAUAGAAGAAUCAAAAUAGUGAUGAAAUUUGAUAAGUAAUCAAAACUUCAAGUUAUUGGAUAUUAAAUAACAUAUAUAUUUUAAUCAAUCAUAAUUUUAAUAAGAUUAAAACAUGUCAAGUGGAUGGCAUACUUGAACUUCCAUAUCAAAUAUGGUCUGAUGAUUGUUGUUUAUCAAAACAACAGAAAUCACCCACAAGAGAAGCUUAGAAGCAUUAGGUAGAGGAAAACACUAGAGACAACUUGGCAUUAUUGGUAAAGUAAAACAAGAUUAGUCAUCCAUUCAAGAUCAUUAACAUAUAAAUCAUAAGAUUCAGAAUUAACAAAUAAAUCAAAAGAUUGAUGGCUAGAAAGAUCAAGAAAUUUCAAAUUAGAGAUGUUUCCCAGACCAUGAGGAAUUGCACCAUUGAACCCAUAAUUUGAUAAGUUUAGAUAUCGUAAAUUCUAAAAAAUACAAAGAACUCAGGAAUUGGAAUACGUUAAAAUGAGUUGUCACUCAAAUCUAAAUAUCUCAAGGAUAUGAGUUCUAUCAAUGAAUGACCAAUCUCUCCACACAAGUUCAUAGAGGUCCCAUUCUCAUAUGCUUCCUUUGGAGAAUAUGGCUUAAGAAGAUCGAUUGAAAUAAUAGCUCUUGUUUUAUUUUCAUAAUCAAUUCCUUCCUAUUGACAACAAUCAAGGCCUCUCCAUGAUGAAAGCCAAUUGUUAGAACUUUUGAGACCAUUUUUGAAGCGAGUAAGAGCAUCUCUAUCAGUUUUUAAGCAAUUUCUCAAAUUGGUCUCACCUUUUCAAGCAAGUUCUCUUAUUAUUAAACAUAAAAUGAUCAAAAGGAAACCAAGAAUUAAAAUUUUGUCCAUCUAGGAACACAUGUAGAAACAAGUAAAAUAAAGUUCCAACACAACAAUAAAAAUAGUGACAAAAUUCAAUUAGUGAUGGAAUCAAGGCAUCGGCCAAUUAAUAACAUAUUUAACUUAACCACUCAUUUGUUUAGAAAGAUUAAAAAUUGCUAAGUAAACAACAUACUUGAAUGCAUGUCAAAGUAAAUAUAAUUGAAAUCAUCUCAACAAAUAUCAAAUAUGCUUUGAUGAUUGCUAUUGAUCAAAACAUUCCAACUAUAGAAAUCACCUACAAAAAAAAAAAAAAAAAAAAAAAACCUUGCAGCAUUAGGUAGAGAGAAACACUAUAAAUAACUUGGCAUUAUUAGUGGAGAUCUUACCAAUUAUCUUCCUUUUUUUUUUUCUGGUGUAGUCAUUCCUUUGGAUGUAGAGACAUAUAUAGAAGAUAAUUCAACUAGAUACCAUAUGGAUGAUAGUGAUAGGCUCCUUUCCUUUCUUUUUAGCAAUAUUUUGAAAAAUGGAUCAGACCAACCAAUUGAACCAAUUCAAUUGCUAACCAAUUCACUUUCCAAUUUAGGUGACCUUUUCCAACCAUUUUGGGUUUAAAACGAUGGGAAACCGAUUACCACUACUUGAUUAUGAUCAAAUUGUGCAUAUGAAGUAAAAAGUUGAAUUUGCCAUUAUCUUUCUAAAAUAAAAUUUCCAAGAAAAAAAAAUUUAGGUGAUGUUUAUCUUUUUAACUUAAUAUAAAAUGAAAUUUAAUUUCAAACUUCAACUAUUUGUUUUAAUUUUUUUUAUAUAUUUUUAACUUAUUUAUUAAUAUUUUUAAUUCAAUAGAAAACAACUAAAAUACGUAACUUUUUACGUAAUUUAAAAAGUUAACCAAUUCAUACUUCUAACCCCUCACACCUAACUCACAUUGUGAAAAAAUAAUUAAAUUAAUACUUAAUACUUUUAAUUUGUAUUUAAAAUUAAACUAAAUUAAGUUCUAUUUAUAUUUAAGAAAAAAACACCAUCUUAAUCUAUUAGCUCUUAAUUUUUUUUCUUUUUAAAUGAGAGAGACUUAAUCUAUCAUGUUCACCCAAACUAUAACUUUGCAUAAUGUCAAUGAUAAUAGUAAUAGUAAUAACAAUAAUAAUAAUAAUAAUAACAAAUAUGCACAUGUAGAUGAUAAAGUCAUUAGUUCUAUGAAUUGAGUCAUAGAAAAACCUUCCUCAAAAUAUCACAAUCUUUAUGUUGUCCUAUCAAUAUGUAUAUAAGGGAUACCAAUAUGUUUAUAAGCAAUGUUUCACAAUCUUAUGAAAAAUUAAGGGAAAAAAAUAAAAUAACCAAUAACACAUCAACAAUUUUAGCAUACCAUCCAAAAUAAAUAAAAUCUCUUAAAAAUUUGAAAAAUUCUAUCUUGAGGUUAUCAUUUCUGAUAGAAUGACCAUGCCCAUCAAAGUUGGCUCUGCGUUAAUCCAGUCCAAUCAAUCAAAUCAACUAUUUAAAGUGAUCCAAAGAUUGGGACCACUUUUUAAAGACAUUUUUGUCAUUUCAUGUCUUGGGAAAUUUAAGGACAUUAUUUUCCUCAUUCAUGUAUUCAAGGUUUAUGUCGUGUCUACCAAGGUGGCUAUUUUUCCUUCAAUCAUUUUUAAUACAUUUUCUUUCAUGUCUUGCAACCUUAUCAAGAAAAUUUUGCAUUACCUUGACUUUGACUCCAUGUUUGGGUCAUCCAGAUUAGGGUCCUAUAAUUGUUGUGACUUGUCAAUUGCAUUUUAAAUUUUAUAGAACUUUGGUGAAUAUUUGCAAAUAAUAGAUAUUUUAUAUAUUUUAAUUUUUGUUGAAAAUAAUUUUUCUUUUUUUGGUAAAAAGAAUUUUACACUAGCAAUUCAUUUCCUCACAUGGAAGUGCUAGAGUUUUUUUAAAAUUACCUAAUCCAUUAGGUACUUUUACAAAGUAUACAUGAUUUAGUUGUGCUUCAAUGAAUCAAUUGCUUUAGAUUAAUUAAUUUUCAACCAAUUGAAUUAUACAUUCAGAUAUAAGGUAAUUUGGGUAACUAACAUUUAAUAGCUUAAUAAUUUCUUUAUUUAAAUCUUAUAAAAUUAAAUAUAUAACUUAUCAUAAACAAGUUGGAAGCAAAUAGUCAUUCAAGCCUUCAUUUUUCCUUUUCGAUUUGCUAUAAAGCUGAUUUUUUUUCCUAAGAACAAAAUAUUUGAGAAGAAAAUAAAAAAGUUACAAAUUAAAACCACAAUGAAAAAUAAUAAGAAAAAUAAACAAUAAGAAAACAGAAACAAAAAACACAUAAACGAUUUAUGUAGUUUGCUCUAAAGCCUACAUUCAUAAAUGAAGAUAGAAAGGAACUUCCACUAUUGUUUAAGAAGAUUAUAAUCCUAUAACUCUUAAAUUCUAAAGUCUAAAUUAAUUAUACCAAGAAAAAUGAUUAUUUCUUAUUCGCUAAAAUGUCUUCUCAUAUUUUCUUGGUUGGAAUAUUUAAUAUAAGGAACUAAUUAUCUAAUUAUUAGAGAUACAUAAUAUUUGUAGAGAUAUUACUACUAGUUUUCCUUAUUCUAUUAAAGAAAUUUAAUUACAAUUAUGAAAUAUUUUAUAUAAGGUGGUGAGGACUAUGCGUGGUAGAUAGAGAUAUAAGGAAGAGUGAGAGACACUUGGUGGAGUAAGAGGGCUCACUAAGGUGUAGAUAUGAGAAUGAGUGAAAGAUAUCUGGUGGAACAAAAAGACUCAUGAUUCAAGGUGGGGAUAAAGCGUAGGGAAACUUGAGAUGUUUUGACACCCAAUAGUUGUAUCUAUUUCUAUUCUCUAUACUAUUUUAUAUGGCAUUGUAGAAUGUUAUUUCUCAUCCAUUAAGGUAGGCAUGGUUGGUUGAAUCUUUGUGCGUGGUUUGCUUUAUUUUUGUAUUUUUUUUCUUUAACAUAUCUAUGUUGAAGUUGUUGUUGGCCCAAUAAGUGGUAUCAAAGCUUCUGAUGAUAUAACAAGUAUUUGUUGGGAAACUUGAAACAUCUAAAUACAAUAAGAAAAAAAAUGAAAUAAAAAAAGACAAAAUAUUUACCUAGUUCGAGAUAAUCGCCCACAUCUAUGGGAAAGAAAGAUCAAAUUUAUUAAUAAACUUUACACACUUCAAACUAUCUUGACCAUUCUUUACCCAAAACUCAUACACCUUUUGACUAUCUCUAUUCAUUCUUUGCUCAUUUUUUCUUUCUAUCCUAAAAUCAUAUAUAAAACCACAUAUCUAUAAAGUUCUAAUCUUGAUCAAACUUAAAAGGGUCAUUUACCCAAAUAAAAACUAUACAAAUAUUAAAUUUUCACAAAAUAAAUAUAAUAAAUAAAUUGAAUUUAUAUAUAUAUAUAUAUAUAUUAAAAGAAUUUUUUUCUUCCAAAUGCAAGAGACCAAGUACCCCGACAAGGACUUAGAUAUCAUUUUUAAGGUAGAAAAUUUAUGACAAUGAAAAAUUUUCCACAUUUCCUUUCAUUGAAUUCCACAUCCAUACCAAAUGAAGAUUGUGACCACUUUUUAAAGAUGUUUUUGUCAUGCCAUGUCAAGGGAAAUUUAAGUAUAUUAUUUUCUUCAUUCAUUUAUUCAAGGUUUAUGCCAUGUCUACCAAGGUGGCCAUUUUUUCUUCAAUUUUUUGUCAUGUCUUGCUACCUUAUCAAGAAAAUUUUGUAUUAGCUUGACUUUGACAGCAUGUUUAGGUCAUCUGGAUUGGGGCCCUGUAAUUGCCCGUGACUAAAAAAAAUACAAAAAUAAAGACUUAGAAACUAAAAUUCUAGUUCAUGUCAACAAAUUUUAACAAAGCACUCCAUAAUAUAUGAAAUUUCUUAAAAAUUGUAUUUUUGUAAUAAUAGUUCUAAGCUUUUUUCUCCCUUUAUUUUAAGAAACAUUUGAAAGUGUCAACUGCAUUUUAAAUUUUGUAGGACUUUGAUGAUUAUUUGUAAAUAAUAGAUAUUUUAUAUAUUUUAAUUUUUAUUGAAAAUAAAUUUAUUUUGGUAAAAGGAAUUUUAUAGUAGAAAUUCAUUUCCUCACAUGGAAGUGCUAUAAAAAAAAAAUUUAAAUUACCUAAUCCAUUUGGUGCUUUUACAAAGUAUAUAUGAUUUAGUUGUGCUUCAAUGUAUCAUUUGCUUUGGAUUAAUUAAUUUCCAACCAAAUGAAUUAUACAUUUAGAUAUAAGGUAAUUUGGGUAACUAACAUUUAAUAGCUUCAUAAUUUCUUUAUUUAAAUCUUAUAAAAUUAAAUAUAUAACUUAUUAUAAACAAGUUGGAAGCAAAUAGUCAUUCAAGCCUUCAUUUUUCCUUUUCGAAUUGCUAUAAAGUUGAUUUUCUUUCCUAAAGAAUAAAAUAUUUGAGAAAAUUUUGAAAAGAAAUAAAAGAAGUUAUAAAGUAAAAUCACAAUGAAAAAUAAUAAGAAAAAUAAAAAGAUGAAAAAACAAAAACAAAAAACAUGUAAAACACGAUUUAUGUAGUUUGCCCUAAACCCUACAUUCACAAACAAAGAUAAAAAGGAACUUUUACUGUUGUUUAAAAAGAUUAUAAUCCUAUAACCCUUAAAUCCUAAAGUCUAAAUUAAUUAUACCUAGAAAAAUGAUUCUUUCUUAUUCGCUAUAAUGUCUUCUCAUAUUUUCUUGAUUACAUUGGAAUAUUUAAUAGAAGGAACUAAUUAUUUAAUUGUUAGAGAUACCUAUGAUAUUUUCUUUAUAAUUUGCAUGAGAAAAACCUUAUAAUAUCUUAUAAAGUUAAAAAUCCACAAUAAUAAAUCAUAUUAAAAGUCUCACUACAUCUCUGACAAUGAUUUUUGAAUUAUUUUAAAAUAUAUACAAAAUCGAACUCCCAAUAACAUCAAUAGGAUUGUAAAUAUUUCUCUUCUAUCAUUUAAAAUAAAAAGGAAAGAAAGACCAAAUUAUUGCUUUGGAAACCCAAUUCUUCUGUAGUUUAGUUUUAUAAAAUCAAUUAGAAAAUAAAAAAAAAUUCUUAGAAUAUUCAUUUUGCAAUCCUUUGUUGUUUUUACAAUCCAAUUUGACAUAUUUUAAAUUGUAGGAAUUCUUUGGAGGAAUUUGAAAAUCAAUUUCUGGUUUAUAGCUUAAAACAUUACUCUAAUCACUUAGAGCAUGUUUGACAAUGAUAUUAGAAGUUUGAAAUUUUCUAUCAUGACAUUAUUAUUAGGAUUAUAUAAAAGAAAGGAAAAUAGUUAUCACCUAAUCCAAUCAUGUCAACUUUAGAUAGUUGGAAGUGAUCCAAAAAUUGUGCAACUAGUUUAUGUCAUGUAAUUUUAUAAUGUUUCUAUCACUAUGACCACUUUUUCUUCACUCAUUGUUAAUAUAUUUUUUCGCUUCUUGGUACCAUAUUAAGGAAAAUUUUCAUUGGAUUGACUUCAACUUUAUGGUUAGAUCAUCAACAUUCAAGCCUUUUCAAUGGCCUCUAACUAAAAAAUAUACAAAUAUAUAAAUUAAAAAUUCAAAGUCCAAAAAAAUGUUGCUAUCUUCACUUAAAACAUUAUUUUUGAAGUCGUGUCCUUUUGUCCUCUUGCACAAAACAAAAAGUACUCCUUACUCCAAUCCAAGGAUGUAUAGAAAAUAAUAAAAUAUGAAUUGACUAACCUAAGUAUGAAGUCAAGAACCAUCUUCUCAUUUAUUAAAGGAACCAUUUUUAAUCAUAUCAACUACUUAAAUAGGGUUAGAGCUUUAACAAUUAACUUUAUUUGAACUUUAUUAUCAAUUGGCCAUAUUCUUUCCAUUAAUUAAUUACCUUCAAAUUAGUUAUGUAUUAAUUAACAAAAUUUUCUAUCUGAAUUUAUAAUUGAAUAAUUACAACUAAGUGAUACAAAAUUCAAAUUAGGUUCUAUUUGGAUUAAAGUAAAAUAAAAAUAAAAAAUCACCAUCUUAAUCUAUUAUCUCUUAAUUUUAAUUUUAAUUUUUUAAAUGAGAGAGACUUAAUCUAUUAUGUUGACUCAAACUUUAACUUUGCAUUAUAUCUUGUUAUCCUAUUAGCAUGACUUUGCUACUACUUGUCCCACACAAGAAAUAAUAUGCACAUAUAGAUGAUAAAAUCAUUAGUUGUAUGAAUUGAGUCAUGGAAAAACCUUCCUCAAAAUAUCACAAUCUUCAUGAUGUCCUAUCAAUAAGUAUACAAGUAAUAUUUCACAAUCUUAUAAAAAUUUAAGGAAAAAUAAAAUAAAAUAAUCAAUAACACAUCAACAAUUUUAGCAUGCCACCUCGAAAUAAAUAAAAUCUCUUGAACAUUUGAAAAUUUCUAUGAUGAGGUUACCAUUUCUGAUAGGACCAUGCCCAUCAAAGCUGGCUCAGCACUAUAAAAUCCAAUCCAAUUAACAAAUCAACUAUUUAAAAUAAUCCAAAGAUUGUGGCCUUUUAAAGACAUUUUUGUCAUGUCAUGUGUAAUCAAGUCAGCUUUGAAUAAGAUGCAAGGGAAAUUUAAAGACAUUAUUUUCCUCAUUCAUUUAAUUAAAGGUUUGUGCCGUGUCUACCAAGGUGGCCAUUUUUUUUCAAUCAUAUUUAAUUUGUCAUUUCUUGUUAUCUUAUCAAGAAAAUUUUGCACUAGCUUGACUUUGACUCUAUGUUUGGGUCAUCUAGAUUAUGGCCUUAUAACUGUCUAUGACUUGUCAAAUAUUACAUUUUAAAUUUUAUUGAACUUUGAUGAAUAUUUGUAAAUAAUAGAUAUUUUAUAUAUUUUGAUUUUCAUUGAAAAUAUAUAUUUUUUUUUUGGUAAAAUAAAUUUUACACUAGCAAUUCAUUUCCUCACAUGGAAGUGUUGGAAAAAAUUUAAAAAUUACCUAAUCCAUUUGGUGCUUUUACAAAGUACACAUGAAUUAGUUGUGCUUCAAUGAAUCAAUUGCUUUAGAUUAAUUAAUUUCCAACCAACUGAAUUAUACAUUUAGAUAUAAGGAAAUUUGGGUAACUAACAUUUAAUAGCUUCAUAAUUUCUUUAUUAUAUAUAUAACUUAUUAUAAACAAGUUGGGAGCAUAUAGUCAUUCAAGUCUUCAUUUUUCCUUUUCGAUUUGCUAUAAAGUUAAUUUUCUUUCGUAAAGAAUAAAACAUUUGAGAAAAUUUUGAGAAGAAAUAAAAGAAGUUAUAAAUUAAAACCACAAAAAAAAAAAAAAAAAAUGAAAACAAAAACAAAAAACACGUAAAACAUGAUUUAUGUAGUUUGCCCUAAAGGCCACAUUCACAAAUAAAAAUAAAAAGGAACUUUCACUAUUGUUUAAGAAGAUUAUAAUCCUACAACUCUUAAAUCCUAAAGUCUAAAUUAGUUAUACCUAAAAAAAAUUAUUCUUUCUUAUUCACUUAAAUUUCUUCUCAUAUUUUCUUGAUUACAUUGGAAUAUUUAAUAUAAGGAACUAAUUAUCUAAUUAUUAAUAGAGAUGCCUAAGAUAGUUUCUUUAUAAUAAUAGAAAGUCUCUAUAGAAUAUAUCAUAAUAAGAAAAUAUCAAACGCAUACAAAUUAAUUCAAAUGUUAAUUUAACAUACUUUCCAACAAUAUAAAUCCAUCUCGACUCAAAUUCCCAAGAUUUAAACAUACUUGAAAGUCAUCUUUCAUGUUUCUUUACUCCACACACUUAAACAAAUUUUAGGUACAAUAAUCUCCAAUUGAGUUUAGACAAUUCUUGAGCUUAAAUAUAGAAAGAAAUUUAGUAAUUACAUCUAUUAGACUCUCUAAUACAAUGAUCUUUUUACUAGUGUCUUUUGUACUAAGUAAAGAAGCAACAAAAUCAUCAAUAGCAUACCUAUGAGAUAGUUUAAUCCACUUUCUUAUUUUGCCCCUAACCAAAGUAUAUUAUUGCUUUUAUGACACAUUUUCUUUAUCAUCAAUAUUUUGCAACUCUUCCUCAUUUAAUUUUAUUGAAAGUUUCUUUUCUAUAGUUGAUGAAGCAUUAAAUUGGAACUCCACCUUUUUUCUCGCCUUAGAAUUGUUUUAUGUAUCAAAUUGCUCUUUUCUAUUACUCAACUUUGGAGGCUCAUCAAAGAUCACAUAUUAGACAAUUAAAGGAUUUUGAACGAGGGUACCACAACCUAUACCCUUUCACACUAUCUACAUACCGUGAAAAUAUGUGCUUCCUUAUCCUUGCAUCUAAUUUAUCUUCAUUGAAAUAAGUAUAAGUAGAACAAUUAAUUUUUUUUUAAUUAUCCUUAGUUGUAAUUUAUCUUCAUUUGAAUGAGCAUAAAAAGAACAACUAUUUUAAAAAAAAAUUAUAUACAUACUUCUUGAGAAAACAAAUGGUAUUUUAUUAAAAUUGAAAUAUGAGGAGUUCUUUUUUUAUAUAAGAAAAAAACAAAUCUUGAACAAUUACAUAAUGGAUUUUUAAUGCAUCGAUUUCCUAAUAUAUAAAUAUAAUACAAUAUUUAACUAGGUUAUUAAUUUGAAAUUUAGUUAUAUUAUAAUAUGAUUUUUUUUUUUUUCAUGUCAUAUUCUGAGCACUACAUAAAAGCUAUGGUCUUUGGGUGUAAGGGCAAAUGUGUAGAAUUAAAUGAUUUUUUCAUGUUUUUUUGAAAAUUAAAUUCAACAUUUAAAUUUGAGAAAUUAUAACUUCAACACUUAUAAUUUAGCAAUAAACUUUUUUAUAUUUAAUUUUUAGUUUUAUUAGCACCAUUUUAAUCUUUGUAUAACACUAAAACCUUUUUUUUUUUUUUUUUAACUUGUGUGCUUAAAAAUGUUUUUAUUAAAUAUAAGAAUAAUUAUAAUGUUUCUAAAAAUUUUAAUUAAAUAAAAAUUUGCUUCCAAUGUUGCAUUUGACAAAAAUCAAGAGUAUCCUUAUUUAUCUGAAAAGCAAAUAAAUCAUAUGGGGAAGUGUGGUAUCCAAGAUUGAAAGUUUGGAUGCUUAUGGUAUUGUAUAAGAUUUAGCUCUAUCGAUCUAUACAUAAUAAAUGCUAGUUACUAAUAGGUAAGAAAAUCACCAAAACCGUGUGUCCAUUUCGUUUUCAAGAAAAAUAAACUAUGUGCAUCAUAGUAAUCAAAGUCUAUGGUUAGGGCUAUCCCAAGUCAAGGUCUUGCUAAAAGGUAAAUUAAUUAUAUAUCAUAGCUCAUAAACUUAAUUUUAUAUAAACUAAAAAGUAAAUUAAUGAUAUAUCAUGGUUCAUAGUGGUUAGAAAAAUUGAUAAAUUUCUUUGAGUUAUUAUAAGUAAAUCUCAUUACUAACAAUUGGAAAGAACUUUGUUUUUUGUUUUUCUAGUUGUUAGUUCACUAGACCUCUUGAGGUCACUACACGAAAAGUACUUAUAUAUAUCAAAAGAUUUUUUUUCUUCAACACCCAAGAGACCAAUGCCACCAACAAGAACUAGAUAUAAUAUCAUUGAAUUUUUAUGAACGAAGCACAACUUGCCUAUGCAAGAAGGUAGAAUAGAAGAAUUUUCCACAUUUCCUUUUAUUGAAAUCCACAUCCAUACCAUGAUAAUUUGUGCCUUCAUCCGAGAAGUUGUAAUAUUAUAAAUAUAAGAAAAUAUUAUUGGUUCUUGCCUAGUAUUCUCUUUUCGCUAUCAGUUGGAAAAGAGACAAUUUUCACAAUAAUGUGUGCCAGGACUUCUACAAUAUCCUUUGCACACUUAUAAAUGUUAAAAAAAAAAAAAAAAAAGUUUCAAAACCCCAAGACUUCAAAAAAAAAAAAUUGUUAAACUAAUUAUGGAACUUAUAACUUUUUAGAUGAGUGUAUUUACUAACUAUGCAAUCUAACAAAAUCUAUAAAAGUUCAUUAAGGAAAAAAAUAUUUAUGAGAUGUUAUAUUUUAUACUACAUAACAUUAUGCUUUGAGGAAAAAUUCUCUAGUUGUAGAACAAUUUCUUCUAAAUUAAAAGAGAAAAAAAUUGUCACUCUCUUGUAUAAUGAUUGAUUUAAGUGGUUAGAAGAAUGAUACUUGGUGAUAAAUAAUAUGAGAAUCAAUUUUUAUAAUAUAAUAAAUAUCUCAUCAAAUCAAAUGGCUAGUCUCAUACUUAUCCAUCAAUAACACACUAAAUAUCCAACCACCCCACCAAUCUCAUUAAAACCCUAUAAUACCCUAUAAAUCAUCUUUAUCAUUCUUGAAAAAAUCCACAAUAAUAAAUCAUAUUAAAAGGCUCACUACAUCCCUAACAAUGAUUUUUGAAAUUAUUUUAAAACAUAUACAAAAUCGGACUUCCAAUAACAUCAAUAGGCUUGUAAAUAUUUCUCUCUCCUACCUUCUUAAAUUUUUCGUCUACGCUUGUCACCAUAUCAAGUCAAAAUCAUGUUGAAGUGUUAGCCAAACAAAAAAAGACUUGAGCCACUAUCUUCACUUAAACGUCAAGUUUUAAUGGAGACAAAUGAAUUAUGGGGCCAUGGAACAGAUUUCUUCAUCUUGAUAAGUUGUAGGUCAUGAACCAAGUUGCUUGAAAAGGACGGUAGAGGACUGAAAUAUUUCCUCACAAGAGCCUUAUAAUAUUAUAUCUUGAUGACUUCCAAUAAGUCAAUACCACUUUCCCCCACAAGAUGUCUUCAAUGGGUCGAAAUUCAAAAUAAAUGAUUCACCUAAUGUGAUGGAAAUAGAAAUAAUUUGCAUGCAUUUCCUUUACUUUAUUUAUUUGGCAUAUCAUAACUCAAACUUUUUUUUUUUUAAUCAACUUACUGUUGCACUAUUCAUUUAGUUUAUCUUAUACAAAUAUAUACACUAAAUAAUAAUAAUUUCAUAAAUAAAAAAUUCACCACCCAAAAAUAUAAAAAAAAAUUAAUGUUUAUUUCUAAUUUUUUUAAAAUUUAUAUUAUCAAAAUUUCUAAGCUUUGGACAAUUUGACUAAAUUACGAAGUCAAAAAUUUAUUGAAAAAAACUAAUUACAAAAAAUAUUAAAAAGAAAUUCCAAGUGACACAAAGACAAAUACAAAAAAAGAAAAAAAAAUGAGGACUUUAACAAAAGAAAGUUUUUAUUACUUAUUAAUGUAAAACUUGAUUAAUAUAUUGUAAAAAUAAAAAGAAAAAUAGUUGUUAAAGUAAAUUUGUAAAAGUAUAUUGAAAAUAAAACAAACUCUCUCUACACUCCUACUUCAUCUAAUUUCUUGAAACCCCUGGUUUCUCUACGAUCUUUGCAAAUAUAAGUUAUUUGCUUAUGUUCUCAAGGGUCAUAUUUGGUUAGAGUUUUUUCUUUUUUCUUUUUUUUUUGGUGGAUAAAAAACACAGGAAAAUGAGAAAGGGAAAACGAGAAAGCAUUAGUUUGUGGGCCUAAUGCUUUCUCCACUGUCCAUGAAUUUAAGGACCAUUAAAGAAUCAAAUUUAUGUAAAUCAUGUGUAAAUGUUGGUUAAAAAAGAUGGCAUUGCCUGAAGGGAUAAACACAAAGAAUGCACAACCAUGUUUUAUCCCCUCUUGUGAGAACCUAAUAGGAAUCAAUCAAAUAGAGCAACAAGAAUUCACCCAAUCAACAAGUAUAUGAACACCAAUAAUUUUAGCGUGGAAAACCUUCUCCAAUAUGAGAAGUAAAAACCACGAGACCUUUAAGCCACUUAAAAACUCCAGUAAUAUAAUUAAUGGGUUGCACAAUUCUCUCUAGAUAAAACUACAGGCAUACAUCAACCAUAUCUCAAGAUCAAUUAAUCUCGGCAAUUUCAAUAACUUUGGAUAAAAAUAAUGGAAAGAUCUCACCAAACACACCACUGUUCUCGGACUAAAAUAUAACUGUUCCAAACUCCAAAUCCAAUCUCCACCGUUCAGAAUGAAGAUCAAUAAGUCAUGAACGUGCUAUCCAAAAAUCGGCUCAAUCGAACCACGGAUUAAUCUUGAUCGGAGCUUAUGAUCAAAACUAUCCGGAUAGAAAAUGCAUCAAAACAGAGGCUUUGUUCUCGGACUGAAAGACGACCGUCCAGAUCUCCAAAUCCGAUCUCCACCGUUCAGAUUGAAGAUCAAUGAGUUAUGAACCUCUCCUCCAAAUUUCAGGUCGAUCGGCCCACAGACGAAGUGGGAUCGUACCUUUGAUGAAAUCUGGGCAAUGAAGAAAAAACUGUGUUUUUCUCUUCAAAAAUGGUGGUUCUCCCCUUCUCUCUCUUUUCUCUCUCUCUUUUUCUUCUACCUCCGGUGGCUGCAAAAAAUUGGAAGAAGAAGAAGAAAAGGGAUUCUUCUUCUACCCCUUUUAUAUAAAGGCUUAAGAGGCCUUAAAUUUUGGGCUCUCAAUUUUGGGCCUUCCACAUGAGGAAAAACCCAACAAAUCUCCCCCUUUCCAAUUAUGUGGAGGGACUCGCUAUUCCGGCGAUUGAAUAGCAAACUUCAAGCUUCUCCCUUGGUAAGGACUUCGUUAACAUAUCUGAGUCAUUGUGAUCUAUAAGUAUCUUCUCAAGUUCAAACAAGUUGUCAUUGAGAGCAUUUCUCAUCCAAUGAUACCUCACAUCAAUGUGCUUCGAUCUUACAUGAAAGGUAAAAUUCUUACUAAGGUGAAUGGCGCUCUGGUUAUCACAGUAUACCACAUAGCGUUGCUACUUAAACCCAAACUCAUGUAUGAAACGUUUCAUCCACAACAACUCUUUACAUGCUUCUACUGCUGCAAUGUACUCUACCUCUAUUGUAGAAAGUGCAACACAUUUCUGUAGUUUUAAUUGCCAAGACACAACACCUCCUGAGAAUGCCAUUAAAUAGCCUAAAGUAGACCUUCUAUUAUAUACAUCCCCUACCAUAUCUGAAUUAGUGUAGCCAACAAGUACUAGUUUCCCACUUCCAAAAGUGAGUUUCAACUUAGAAGUGCCUCGCAAAUAUCUCAUAAUUCACUUGAUUGCCUCCCAAUGUAGUCUUCCUGGAUUAGAUAGAAAGUGGCUAACAACACCAACUGCAUAAGUUAUGUCUGGUCUAGUACAUACCAUGACAUACAUCAAACUUCCUACUGUUGAGGCAUACGGAACUCUUCUCAUGUCUUCCUUAUCCUUAUCUAUAGAAGGGCAAUGUCUACUGCUUAGCUUAAAGUGACUAGCUAGAGGAGAACUAACCACUUUAGCUUUGCUCAUGUUAAAUCUUUCAAGCACCUUUUCAAUAUAUUGCUCCUAUGACAUAUAUAGCUUCUUGGAUGCUCUAUCUCGCUCAAUUCUAAUACCAAGAAUUUUCUUUACUGGCCCCAAAUCCUUCAUGGAAAAGGAUUUACUUAACUGCUUCUUCAGCUUAUCAAUUCUUGAAACAUUUCUGCCAAUAAUCAAGAUAUCAUCAACAUAGAACAACAAUAUAACAAAAUCAUCAUCAGAGAAUUUCUGCAUAAAUACACAAUGGUCAGAAGUAGUUUUUCGGUAGCCUUGCUCUCCCAUAACUGAUUCAAACUUCUUAUACCACUGUCUUGGUGCCUGCUUUAACCCAUAAGGACUUUCUUCAACUUACACACAUAAUCCUCUUUUCCUUUUAUUGUGAAACCCUCUGGCUAUUCCAUAUAAAUUUCUUUGUCUAAAUCACCAUGGAGAAAUACAGUUUUAACAUCCAUCUGCUCAAUCUCCAAAUCAAGACUAGAUGUCAAGCCCAAAAUAACACGAAUAGAUGACAUCUUAACAACAGGAGAAAAAAUCUCAUCAAAAUCAAUACAUUUCUUUUAACUGAACCCUUUAACAACCAAUCUAACUUUGUAACGUGGCUGUAAAGUGUGUUCUUCUUGCUUCACUCUAUAAACCCACCUAUUCUUCAAAGCUCUUUUUCUCUUUGGCAACUCGACAAGUUCAAAAGAAUGAUUCUCAUGCAAUGACUUCAUCUCAUCUUGCAUAGCAUCAACCCACUUCAUCUUAUUUUCAUCUCCCAUGGCUUCCUCAUAACUUUCAGGUUCUCCCCCGUCAGUUAGUAAUACAUAAUCAUCAACAAAAUACCAUGUGGAAGGAUGUAGGUCUCCGUUAGACCUCCUGAGUGGAAUAUCUAGUGGAGCCUUUGCUACUGGUGACUACUCAUGAACAUCAUCAUCCAUCUCAACCUGUGUGGGAGUUUCAACAUCACCAAUGUCAUGUUGGUCAUCAUGUGCUUAAUCUUCAACCUGUGUAGGAAGAUGUGUCAAAGGAACUGGAUCUAAGUCAAUCAGAUUAUCACUAUACUGAAACUAUGUUGCAUCAGUCUUCUCAAUGUGUUUGACAUUCUUCAAAAUCAACACAGUACCAUUACUAGUCUCCAAACACACAUCUCCCAUACCAAUGGCUUUAGCUGAGCCAUCAUUACCCAUCUUAACACUUCCAAAAUCACCGGAUGUGUAGGAUGUAAGGAAAUCUUUCCAAGGUGUAGCAUGGAUUGAGGCACCACUAUCAAUCACCCAACUGGUCUCCUGGCAAACAAAAUUAACAACAUUACUAUCAUAAACAAUAAGGAAAUCUGAAGUGGUAGUGGCAACUUGAUCAUCUUCACCACCAUUGUCAUUAUUCUUGUCUUUCACUUUCCCUUGUUUCAUAUCUAUCUUCAAUUGGCGACAAUACUUCCUUAUAUGCCCUUUCAAAUGGCAAUAAUGACACUCAACAUUGGCAAACUUGUUAGUCUUGAUUUUGCUUCUGUCUCUGUUCUUCGGACCUCUACUCUUACUCAUCCCCCUCUUUUCAGUAAUUAGGACAUAUGACUGUGAAGAAGAACCCUGUAACUUUCUUCUCAUCUCUUCAUUCAAAACACAACUCUUAACCAAAUCCAUAUUCAUCUGGGGCUAAGUUAGACAAAGAAGUUCUAAACAUCUCUCACGAGUCCGGCAAUGUACCAAGAAGUCACAACCCUUGCACCUCUUCCUCAAACUUGAUAUUCAUUCCAGCCAACUGAUUAAUAAUACCUUGGAAUGUAUUCAAGUGAUCUGUCAUAGGAGUUCCAUCUAGAUACUUCAAGCUAAUCAUCUUCUUGAUUAGAAACAAUUUAUUGUUACCAGUCUUUCGAGCAUAUAACUGUUCAAGCUUGUUCCAUAGACUCCGUGCAUGUUUCUCUUCACUAACAUGAUUGAGAACAUUAUCAUCUACCCACUGUCUGAUAUAACCACAAACCUGUCGAUGAAGUAAAUUCCAUUAUGCAUCAGUUUUAUUUUCUGGCUUUUUAGAAGCAAACACAGGCAAAUAAUUAUUAUUCACAUACAAUAGGUCUUCCAUCUUUCCUUUCCAAACAUGAUAAUUGGAGUCAUUCAAAGUAAUCAUUCUACUUGUAUUGUUUUCCAUUGUUCUACACAAGGCACAAAUUAUCUUGAACCAAUGCUCUAAUACUACUUUGAUGGGAUAAACACAAAGAAUGCACAACCAGGUUUUAUCCCCUCUUGUGAGAACCUAAUAGGAAUCAAUCAAAUAGAGUAACAAGAAUUCACCCAAUCAACAAGUAUAUGAACACCAAUAAUUUUAGCAUGGAAAACCUUCUCCAAUAUGAGAAGUAAAAACCACGGGACCCUUAGGCCACUUAUAAACUCCACUAAUAUAAUUAAUGGGUUACACAAUUCUCUCUAGAUAAAACUAGAGACAUACAUCAACCACAUCUCAAGAUCAAUUAAUUUUGGCAAUUUCAACAACUUUGGAUAAAAAUAAUGGAGAGAUCUCACCAAACACACCACUGUUCUCGGAUUGAAAUAUAAUUGUUCAGAACUCCAAAUCCAAUCUCCACCGUUCAUAAUGAAGAUCAAUAACUCACGGACGUUCUCUCCAAAAAUCAGCUCAAUCGAACCACGGAUUAAUCUGGAUCGAAGCUUAUGAUCAAAACUGUCCGGAUAGAAAACGCAUCAAAAAAGAGGCUCUAUUCUCGGACUGAAAAACGACUGUCCAGAUCUCCAAAUCCGAUCUCCACCAUUCAGAUUGAAGAUCAAUGAGUCAUGAACAUCUCCUCCAAAUUUCAGGUCGAUCGGCCCACAAACGAAGUGGAAUCGUACCUUUGAUGAAAUCUGGGCAAUGAAGAAAAAACUGUUUUUAUCUUCAAAAAUGGUGGUUCUCCCCUUCUCUCUCUUUUCUCCUUCUCUCUCUUUUUCUUCUACCUCUGGUGGCUGCAAAAAAUUGGAAGAAGAAGAAGAAAAAAAAGGAUUCUUCUUCUAACCCUUUUAUAUAAAGGCCUAAGAGGCCUUAAAUUUUGGGCUCUCAAUUUUGGGUCUUCCACAUGAGGAAAAACCCAACAUUGCCUACUAUACAAUGACUCCUUUAAACAAGUCUCACAUCAAGCAUCUGCUUGGGGUAUGCUUUUAGAAUAAAUUUAACGUAUUUUUAGUUGUUUUUGUACAAUGUUGUGAGCAUUGAUCAAAAAGAUGAAACGGAAUUUUUACAUUGUAGAAUUUUUACUAAAAUCAAUUAUCAAUUAUUUUUAAGAACUCGUAGAAUUGUUUUCAAAUACGUUGUUAAAUAGACCCUUAUUUUUUAUGAAGUAUAUACCAUGCUACAAAGUUUUGUGGUGUAAGAAAGCAUAAUUGUGCUACAAUGUACAUACCAUUGAACUUCACAAAUGGAUCAACCGCCCUUGAGCCUUGAAAAUAGCUAGAGAAACAUGCCUUGUUUUCUUCUCUUCUCUACCUCUUUUCUCCUUUCUUUUCACUCCGCACGAUCUCUCUCCGAAAUGGUCUUCUGCUGUCUCUAAAUACCAGCCCUAGCUGCUAUCCAAGAAUGGGCUUAAGAAUACCAAAGAACCAGCCCUAUAUGUGGGCUUAAGAGAGUCUUUUCAUUGGCAAGUCCAACAACGAUAAUAAUAUAGGAUUAAAAAAAUUAAUGAUUAACAAAGGUAAUUAUGAUUAACAAAGAAACCAAUUAUUUUUUUACCUUCUAGGCAAAGUCAUACUCAAUAACCAAUAAUGACUUGUCCAUUUUUUAGCACCCUUUCUUCUUCCAUUCUUUCAACAUUUUUAGCCUCCCUGCCUUGCUUCAUUUAACAUCCCCUCAUCUUCGUAUCGAUAUAUUGCUCCUUCUACUACUUCUCUUUCAUCAUAUUCUUGUACUGAUUUAACUUACACUCCUCCCUCUUCAAUUAUCACUUCUUCUAACACAACAUUAGUUUCAUUAUCUAUCAAUCUUUCAACAAUUUCAAGUGUUGGUUCCUUAUAAAUGCGUUGGCAUUUGACUCUAAUUAUUUAUUUUUUAUUUUUAGGAGAGUCAAUAUUUGUAAAGUUUGUGUUUGGACAAGUUAUGGUUUUGAAUUUGACUAGAAUUAGGAAACUAUUAGAAAAAGGUUUAGCCAAUAGAACUUUAUAAAUAUGUGGUUCUACGCGAGAUUUCCACAAAAGAGCAAAAAAAAAAAAAAAAGUGAGCAAAGAGUGGAGAGAGAUGGUGUAUUAGGUUUUGUGUAAAAAGAAGUUAAGAGAGUUUGAGUUUGUAUUUCUAAAAUUUAUUAAUAAAUUUGAUCUCCCUUUCUAGUGGACCUAGGCGAUAAAGUAGAACAGUAUAAGAGAGUGUUGUGGUUUUCUUAACAACUGUAUCAAAGCUUUCAUUUUCUUAAAAAGUGAUAUCAAAGCUCCUAUUUUCCCAACAAGUGAACAUCAAAACUUUUGUUUUCUCAACAAGUAGUAUAUGAUAAACAUCAAGAGUCUUCACCAGAAUAGCAACUGAUUUGUUAGAUAGUUACCCUUAGAUAGGUUGCAACUGAUCUAUUAGAUAGUUACCCUUAGUUAGUUAGGUUGUUGAACCCAUAGUUUGUUAAAUCAUUUUUGAAAUAGCUUGUAUAAAUAGAUUGAUAACAAAAGUUCUUGGAGUGUUGUUCUUCUUUGUUGGCAAUCUUUUAUGGUAUUAAAGCCAAGUUUUUCCCUUUUAUCAUUUCUAGAUUCGCUUUCUUCCUUUUUGUUGGCCUGAUUACAGUCGUUCUCCUCUCAAAGAACAUCCACCGUCACAGGGCUACUUCAACCUAAUUUUCCAAUCCAUAAAACUCUCUGGACAUAACGUCCUCACAAUCUCUUAGAUUGGUUCAACCAUUGCAUAUGUUGAAUCAUUCUCUUCCUAUCAAACUAAAUAGGAGUAGUUACAUUAUCUAGUGGAGAAUAUGAUAUUUGACAAAGGGUUUGAAGAGCAUAUUAAAGGAGUUCCGUCCUCCCAAGACAACCACCAUUAGUGAAACCAAUCUAGACUUCCUUACUUGGCGACAUUUUUAUUGCGUGAUCCUGAGUUGGAUCUACACUUCCCUUACUCCUGAAAUUAUGGGACAAAUAAUUAGAUAUCAUACUUCUCAUGCAACAUGGACUGCUUUAGAGAAGAUCUUCUCCACCUCAUCAAAAACAUAAGCAAUGUAGUUUCGGUUAGAAUUUCAAACAGCUUGGAAAGGCUCCCUCCAUGAUGGAAUACAUACUCAAGUUGAAGAUGCUCAUUGAUUAACCUUGCUACCAUUGGAGAGUCAGUAUAAAAAAGAAACCAAAUCUUGAAACUUCUUGGCGGUCUUGGAGCAGAUUACAACUCCAUAGUUGCAUCCCUUAUAGCUCAUGAAGAUGAUAUACCCCUACAUUAGUUCACAACAUUUUACUCACCUAUGAACAAAGACUCAACUUUUAGAGUUCAGUAAUAGAAAACGAAGUUAUCUUUACUCAUAUAGCCACACAAGGACAAUUUGCUCACCUAAGAAGAUACCAAAACAGGGAAACUAACUCCUACUUCAACAACCAAAUUAACUCCCACCAUCAUCAAGGAAGAGGAUGUUCAGGUGGCCAUGGGCAAGAUCAUUGAACAAAUCUUAAUGGCAACGGUAGUAGACCUCAAUGCCAACUUUGUGGUAAAAUCAUAGGUUUGGUAUAAAUUUUCAAGGACCUAAUCCCUUGCCUACAAAUCCUAUCAAACCUUCAUCAAUCACUCCUAAUAGCAAUGAUAUACAAACGAUGAUGGUCUCUCCUUUAAUCUACAAUGAAUCUUGGUUUCUUGACAAUAUUAGGGCAACACACCAUCUCUCCCUAAGUGAUAAUACUCUCUCAAACGCUCAUCCAUACCACAACAAUUACAAAGUCAUAGUUGGAAAUGGUAAGAAAUUAUCCAUCUCACAUGUUGGUUCUAAGUCAUUUCAAACUUCUCACAAGUCCUUUCAAUUACGAAGCAUUCCUCAUCUUGCUACAAAUCUUAUCAAUGUUCCUAAAUUUUGCACUAACAACAAUUUAUUAUUGGAAUUUCAUCCUACUUUCUUUCUUAUUAAGGACUAGAAUACAAAGAAGAUUCUUCUUCAAGGAAACAUUGAGCAUAGAUUGUAUAAAUUCCCCAAUAACCACAUUGGUACCUCUUCAACAUUCUUUCCUUCUAGGCACUUAGCUCUCAUUAGAUAAUAAAAUAAGAAUGAGCUAAUCAACUGAUGAAUUCAACAACCAUCUUAUUAAAAAAUAUAAAUAAUUACUCAGAUAGUGUGAUGGCCAGAUAGGAUAGUCUGAUGGAAGAUGGUGACAACCUCUCUUUUUUUAACAUAAAGCAUAAUAAUUCCAAGUCCAGGAUACUUUUCUUCUAAUAAAGUGCUUGCUUUAAACUUUCCUUUUGAUAAAGUUUUUGCUUUAAAGUUUAGUUACUUUUAGAGUCAUGAGGUCUUGUCCUCUUAUACAAAAUCUUUUUCUUACCCAAUUGCAAGAAAUGAUAUGAGAUAAUGAAUUAAGAAUGAACUAAUCCAAUUAUGGAUCAACAACCAUUCUAUUUUAUAUAUAUAACCAAUUCUAAUCACCCCAUUACCUAGAUAAUGUGAGAGUUAUAGCAAUUAAGUAAUUCAUUUAAUGUUAAACUUGUAAUCCUUCUAUAAAUUACCUUUAAAUUAGUUAUAUAUUAAUUAACAUAUUUUUCUAUCUUAAUUUAUAAAAAGCUACUCAAUCAAUCUCAUUAACUCCACCCAAAAAAAAUACUACCAUAAGUUCUAAGAGAGUUUGAAUUAAUGAUUAUCAAUUCUUUUAUAUUUCAUCCAAGUUGUUGAGUCUUUACAUCUAGCCCCUACAAGAUGGAAUGAUCUUAGAAUUACUAUUUGAUUAUAAAUUAAAUGUUUUUAAAUUUGAUUCUUAAAAAUUUGCUCUAUUAAGCUAAUAAUUUGAUCAAAACUAUAAGGGAGUUGGGUUAAGACUAUAAUAUUUCACUUAAGUGGUUCCUCCUCUAUACUGAAGUGGAAUAACUUUCUAUAUGUUAGGAGCCAAAAGAAUUUGAUUAAGAUUUAAGAAUCCAAACUUCCAGUUGACGGAGAUUCUAUAGGAGUCCUAUGUUUAGGUCAAUAAGAAAGGGAGAGUUUCAUGAAAGUCUGAUAGGUUGUUGCACCCAAUUUUUGGUAUUGUUUUAGAUUUAUAAGGUUGUUCUAUUGGAUUCAUCAAGCCAUUGUGUGGAUCUACUAACAAAAGGGAGAGCCAAUUGUUCUCUUUAAUUUGUUGGAUAUUUCUAACUUUUUAAUUUUGAGUUCAUAGUUGGUAAAUAAUAGUUGUGCAUUUCCACCAAUAUUUAGAUUUUUUUUUAUUUUGCUUUUUUAACUUUUGAUCAAAGUUAUGUAGUGGUUGUAUUUUUUUGGCAAGAUUUCUUAUGCAAUGAAUAAUCCAACUUCGGUGAUAUUUUAAGUUACCAACCAUGCUAAAAUCUUCAAAGGACUCAAUGUUGAGGUGAUACGGCUAUAAGGGAUUGAGAAUAAAAGUAAAAUACCAUGUGAAAGAGAUGAAUCGAAUCCUAACAAAGUGGGAUUUGAUUUAUAUAAGAAUAAAUUUUGUAUUUCUAUUCUCAUUCCAAAAAAUAAUAUAUUCAACUAUAAAAUGAAUGGAAAAUGAAAUAAUAGGUAAAGGUCGCCUACUUAAAAGAAACAUAAAAAGGAAGUCUGUGUAAGGUAGGGAAUUUUAUGCAACUAUGGUGUAUCUGAUUUCUUUCCUUGAAACAUUUAUUGGAAAUUUCAUGUCAUUUCUAUGAUUUCAUUAAAUGUUUUAAUGUGUCAUUACAUCUCGGUUUAUUGUGUUGAAAUGUUACAUUGAGAUUGGAACGCAUAUUGGUGUGGAGAUUCAUGGUUCUGUGUUAUGGAAAUAGUCUAUGGUGUGGUUGCAUGGCAAGAAGGAUAUGGAAUAAUCACGGAUGAUAUUUAGAGAAUUGGUUGGUAGGAAGUGUCUAUGUGGUGCUACAGGCAUUAUCUUUUGAUAUAUUGUUUAUGUGGGACCGUGGGUCCUUGGGUGAAAGUCCCUAAAGCCCUCGAGGAAGACACUCCGAUGUGGGUGUAUGGGGUUGGUCCUGCCCUUGGGUUUUAGUCCCUAAAGACACAAGAUUGGUCCUGCCCUUGGGUAUGAGUCCCAAAAGACACGGGGUUGGUCUUGCCCUUGGGUAUGAGUCCCAAAAGACACGGGUAUGACUUGCCCUUCAGUGAUGUCCUAGAAUAGUCAUCAUUAUAUUGAUCGAGUAUCUUGUGGAGCAUUGAUAUCUGAUGUGUAGAUUGUUGGGGGUCAGCAGUUUAUCAGUUGUGAAAGGAUGGAUGGGGAAAAGCAAUGAUGAAACUAGCAAACACAUGCAUACAUGUUUGACAUGAUUAUACAUUGUUUAAUGGUUAUAAAAUGUUUAUCAUCCAUGUUUUUAAACAUUUAAUUCAAGGUUUUUAAGGGUAUGCUUUGGAUUGUUAUAAACUUUUCUACUGAGUUGUGAACUUACCCUAUCCCUUCCACCUUUAGAUGUAGGUCAGAAGACCUAUGCAGGAAAUAAUGCUUGAGCAAUGCUUUACUGUGAUUGGAUUAUGUUUGCUCAAUUAAAAGUCUUUUGAGGCUUUGCCUUUGUAUUAAGGACUAAAUAUUUUUGUAGGAAUGAUGUAAUAUAUAUACUUGUCAGGUACACUUGCAGUAAGGGCUACUCGUAGUGAACAAUGAGGUUUUGGUAUAUGUAAAUUAACGUAGUAUAAGUUUCUUUUAAGAAACGAACCAUAUUUUGUUAACUACAAGUUACAAAGUUUAAUAUAGGAUGUACUCUUUAUAACAGGUUUUGCAUAUCCUCUUUUUGCACAAAAUCAAGUAGGAACUCAACAUUUAAUUUUUUUGAGAGCACUUAUAUUGUAUUUGAGUAUCAAUUGUUUGGUUUGAAGAUUAACAAAAAAAAUUUGGGGUGUGACAUUCUCUCUCAUUCUUUUUUAUAGGUAAUAAAAUAAAAGAAUAGUAUUCGUAAUUUUUCUAUUCUCCUUGUUCCAAACAUAAGGAAAUCAUUUUUCAUUGCCAUAAUAGCCUUUAAAGGCAACUGUUGAUUGCCCAAUGAGAAUUAGCAAUACAAGAACAAGUUUAAACUUGAGGACACCUCUAUUCUUCAGACUAUAUGCCAAAGAUGGGUUUAUAUAGAGUUCAAGAACAUAUUUGAAAAUGACUUGUUUGAAACAUUGGAAUAAGAAAUAGGAAUGAGAAAUCAAUUUCAUCCAUAUAUUAUUUAUUACCUUGUUUAAAUUACUUAUUACAAAAGAAAAUGAAAUAAAAAAUUAAUUUCCAUUAAAACUAAAAAUAAUUUCUAUUAGAGUUUUGAUUUCUCUCUUAUAAUGUUUUCAAGAUUAGAUUGAUCAUUGAAUUGGAAAGUACUUAUUGUGUCACGAUUCAAUCAUUGAAUCAAUGGUUCAACCAUGAUUGAACUAUGAGGAAUAUAACUUCAUAAAUAUAUUAAUAAUAUUAAAUUAAAAAUAAUCAUUAAUAUUAAGAAUAUUUAUAAAUAAUUAAAAACUUAUCAAUUAUUUGCUACCAGUUAGGGGGUAGCUUGUUAACAAUGCCUUAUGGCAAUGAGUGAGUUUGAGCCCCCUUGUUAUAUAAGUAGUGUAAGGUAGAGGUGUGACCCAUAUCACCAAGAUUUGGUGGUUGGGUUAAGCAUUGAGCACUAUUUUAACUUGAGUCUUCGGAAGUAAAAGGUCCAACAAGACUUGAGAACAAAAUCUGAGCCAAAUUUAGGGUCUUCAUGUGAAGUCAAUGUAUGAAGAUGGGUUUAGACUAGGCUAAGCUAGAUUCUAAUACUCGAGAACACCUUGAUAUUGUUAACUUGAUCAUAUUUCAUACCGAGGGAGUGCAAUGAGCACAAGAUUUGAGUGUUCAAGUUGAAUGAAUUGGUUUUUUUGAAUUUCAAAUAUUUAAUGGUUCACUUUACAUAAAUUUAGAAUAUGAGAAGUUGAUGGUUUUAAUAUGAAAAAGUACUCUAUGUUUACAAUAUUCCAAGCCUCAAUGUGAAGUAGAUUUAUUAAUUAGCCCAAAUUCUAGAAUUCUAAAAAGACUGGAGAAUUAUUCACUUCCUUGAAUUUUAUAUUUGAAGAUUGCCUUGAAUUACACCAAGUUCUAUUGAAACUAGUGAGAAUAUAAGUCCAAUAUAUCAUUUUUAUUGUUCUCAUUACAUUUUUCUUUAUUGGUGUUUAAUUUUUCUUUUAGAAAAAAUAAAUGUUUUUCUCAUUAACAUAUCAACAAGUUUUAGCAUACUUAUAGACCCCAAAAUUUGUCCCAAUUUUAAUUUUACAUUAAUUUUGAGCCCAAUUUUAAAUCCCGAUUACAUGUGUUAUUUUAGGCUCACUCACCCUUUAAUUUUUAGUUUUCAUUAUUUUAUAAAUUAUUUUUUAUUUUUAUUUAUUCAUUUUAUUAUUAUUAUUAUUAUUAUUAUUAUUAUUAUUAUUAUUAUUAUUAUUAUAUUCUUUUUUUAUUUUUUUAUUCUUUAUUUCAUUAUUUUAUUUUUCCUCUCUCAUCUCUUUUCCUUUUUCUCCUCCACCUACCCUCACCCACCCACUCUUCUCUCUCUCCCCCAAUUCCCUUUCCCCCCCCCCCCCUAUUUUUUUCCCCCCAAGUUUUCCCUCAUUUUCUUCCCCAACAUCUCUCCAUUCCUCUCUCUUCUCUUACUCUUACACUGCGGGCCCCCAUCCUUCUUCCCUUCCCCUUCAUUUUUUCCCUUCCCCAUCUCCCCACUUCUUCUCCAACACGGCGGGCUCCAUUCCCACUUCCAUUUUUUUUCUCUCAUCCUCACAACCCUAUUUUUUUUUUCUUCCUCCCGCAACACCCAUUCUGGACGGCUAGGAACCUCCCACUUCUUCCCCUAUUUUUUUUUCUCAUUUUCUCCUACCCAUUUUUCUUCCAAUAUUUUUUCCACCAUUUUUUUUUCUUUCUUUCUCAUUUUCUCCUACCAAUGCUUCCAAUAUUUUUCCCACCAUUUUUUUCUUUCUCUCUCUUCCUCCAUCAACCCGACUUCCAAAGGCACCAGAAUCCUUCCUUUAUUAUUAUUAUUAUUAUUAUUAUUCACCAAUCUCCCACUACCGCGGGCAAGCCCUUGCUAGUCGCCGCUUUUCUGUUAUUAUUAUUAUUAUUGUUUUAUGUUAAUAGUAAUUGUUGUUUAUAAAAUUUGGAUUGUUGAAUUAAUAUGAAAUUUGAGUUAAUUUGUUGUCGGUAAAUUAAUAUGAAAUUUGGGCUAAUUUAUUGUUGGUGAAUUAAUUUGGAAUUUGUUAAUUUGGGCUAAAUUAAAUGAUAAUUUAUAUGGUUAUACUCAUUUGAAUUAUUUAAUUUGGAUAUGAUGUAAUAUUGUAAUAUAUUUUGGAUGUGAGUUUGCAUAUUAAAUUGGGUUAAUUUUGGUUGUGGAUUUAGGUUUGCAUGUUAAAUUGGGCUUGAAUGAUGAGAUAUUAAAUUUAGGCCUAACGAUAUUUAUUUUAAUUUAUCAUAUUUUAGGUUUGAUUAUUUGAGCUUAUAUUUUGGCUAUUAAUUUGGAAACUUUAGAUUAUGAUCUAUGAUACGUGAGAUAUUUUUGUUGGGGUAUAUUUGCUAAUUUGGGUUUUUUUUUUUUAAUUGGUGAAAUUUAUUGGGCUAAUUUGAAGUUUGAAUUUGGGUUUGAAUAUCUAUUGUGAAUUUUAUACUUUUUUAGAUAUUUAUAUUUGGGCUAUUUUUGUCUUUGUAUGGGCCCAUUAUGCAAUUAUGUUGGUUGGAUACAGAUUUAUGACAUGUGGAGCACAAAAUUUCAUGGAAGAAAGUGAGAAUAAAAAAGUAGUAGGAAGACGUCGAGCUUGUAAGUUUAUUUGGGUACAUAUUUUAUUUUCCACUUUUAUUUGGUUUGAUUUUUAUUAGUUCUUGUAAAUAUUUGUUUAUAUAUAUUUAUUGAGUGUGUACAGAAUUGAACAUCGAAUAAACUAGAAAUUUUGUUUAAAUGAGAUGAAGAAUUCAGUAAAUGUGUUUUGAUAAAACAAUAAUUUUAAAAUAUUUUUUUUAAUAAAAGAAAGUUUUUUUUUAUUAUUUAUAAAAAUUCAGAAAAAUACAUUUAGAAAAAUCCAAAAUAAUUGUUUUUAAUAGAAUUCGAAAAAUUGUUUUUAAUAACAUUGUCCAAAAUUUUCUUUGUUUAAUAAAAAUUGUCCAAAAAUUGUUUUGUAAAUAAAGUUGUCCCAAAAAAUUAAUUUUUAAUAAAAUUGUUUAAAAAUAUUUUUUUUAAAUGAAUUCUUUCUCUUUAAUUAAAAUGGGAUUAAAAGUGUUUUUCAGAAAUAGGGGAUUCAAAUCUUUGUUUUUCUUUUUAAUUAAAAUUUAUUUUGCAAAUAAAGUUACGUCGUUUUAAAUAAUUUGUUAAAAUCAUUUUUUUUAAAUGAAAAUGAAUCAAAAUACUUUUGUAAAUAAAAUUGUAAAAAUUCAUUAUUUUCUGAAAAAAAUCAAGUAAAAUAAUUUUUGUUGCCAAAUUAAAAUUUUGUAAUAUUUUUUUUUUAUACAAUAAGUACAAAUAACUUUUUUCGAAAAUUAAAUACAAAUGAAAUUGAAUCAAAUCAUUAAUUGAAACUUCUUUUUUGUAAAUAAAUAAAUUGAAAUCAUUAAUUCAAAAUCAUUUUUUUAUAAAAUCUUUUGAAAUUUCUUGAAAACCAUUUUUUUAAUACCUUUUUUUUUAGUUCAAUAAAUCAUUUUUGAACAAUUCUCUUGUUAUUCAUUUCAUGUAUUCUUAUAAUUAGAUUUCAUUAUUAUUUUUGUGUACGUUGAUUUUCAUCAUGACUUGUACAUUAAUUAUUUUUCUUGAUAUCCAUAAUUAAUUAAUUAAUUGUCACAAUUCUCUUGAUUUGUUUAGUAAAGACUGUAUACGGGCUUAGAGGGGUGCUACGUCUUACCAUCUUACCUUCCCAAUAAGUAACUUGACCCCUAAACCCGACUUUGGUUUUCCAAAGACCUGUUUUUCUUUCGGGAAUCACACUUAGGGUUUUUCUUUCUUAUUUGUUUUUCCCUUUAAAAAAAAAAUUAAAAUAAGUGGCGACUCCAAGUCUUUUUAAAAAAAAAUUAAAAUUUCAUCAAAUAAAUAAAAAAAACGAGUUUCUCCAUCAAACGAAAAUGUGGGGUCCACAAUACCACUUCAAAAUAUAUGAGAUUUUUUAAAAAUUGUACUUUAUUAGUAAGAACAAUUCUAAAAUUUUUCUUUUCUUUAUUUUAAGAGCGAUGUGAAAGUGACUACCAUUUUAAAGUUUAUAGGAAUUCCACAAAUAUUUAUAAAUAAUUGAUAUUUCAUAUAUUCUUUUUAAAAAGUUUAAUUUUUUUGGUGAAAUGAAUUUUAUAUCGGUAAUUCAUGUAUUAGAGCUUCCCUCUCAUAGAAGUGCUAGAAAAAUUUAUGUUGUGUUUUGUUCUAUGAAAGAAUGAAAGAAAAAAAUGUUAAAGAAAAUAAUUUUCUUAUAUUUGGUUUUAUUAUGAAAAACAUGAAAUAAAAUUAAAUAUAAUUAAUAUUAGUUAGAAACUUAUUCAUUACAAAUUAUUUAUUCUUUCUAUAGAAGAAGUAAAAUAUGUUAAAUAAGUUUGAAGUAGUAUAUAAAAAAUAAUUUAUUGAUCUUAAAUAUUUUUUUAUUUUCUUUCACUUUUUUCCCUCAAUUUUUCUUCUCUAUUUUAUUUUCCUCUCACAUUCUCUUAGAUUUUUCAAACCUAAAAAUCACCUAAUCCAUACAACGUUGUUACAAAAUAUCAAUUAGUUAUGGUGAAAUAAAUCAAUUGCUUCAAAUGAAUUAGUUUCUCCGACCUUUGAAUUGUGAAUUGGGAUAUACGAUAAUUUGGGUAACUAACAUUUAACAAUUUAACAUUUUCUUUAUUUAAGUUAUAACAUUUAACAUUUAACAAAAUUUUUAGUGUAAAAUUUCUUUCAUGAAUAAGGCUUGAUCAUCAAUUUAAAAAAAAGAAUGACAUUAAUUAAAUGAGAAAUUUCUUCACAAAUUGUGUGAUUGAAUGACAAAAUUGAAAGUUUUGUAUACAUCUAUCUCAAUCAUUAAAUACAAUAGCUUGAUAAGGAGGAUUUAUAAUAUUUGGAAUUGCAAUAAACUUAUUUUUAUAAGACAAUAAAAUAUAAAUUGACAAAUUAAUUAUUUUUUUAUAAACACAAUAAAAUAAGUGGUUAGAAUAUCAUUGUCUACACAUAUAUAGAUUAAGAUAAAAAUAUUUAAUAAUUUCAAAUUUAGAUAAUAGAUGUUAAACCACUUUGCAUAUUUAAUAAUUCAAGUAAAAAAGUUACAAGUAUUUUAUUAAAAUAGGUGGCAAUGCAAUUUAAACUAAUUCAACAAAUUCUUUGCAAGUCAAAAAAUUCCUAGUAUUUUAAUAAAGUCAAUGAGAAUAAAAUUUAAGCUAAUAUAUAAGACUUUAAUCAUAGUGUAAUUGUCCUCUUAAAAUAAUAUUAGCAUUAUAAUUUUAAUAAAAUAGAUGGUUAACAACAUACAGCCAUGUUAGGUUCUUCACUUUUUAGUCUCUUGUUCAUGCUAUGAGGUUCCUACCUCUUGGUCUUUGUAAUUUUAAUUUCUUUUCAUUCCUAAACUUCAAAUAUUGAAAUCAAAAUUUGUAUACAAAAUUAAAUGAAAUUUAUUUUUAAAAAUUUUAGAUAACUCUUGUUUUAUUGAUUAAUUAAAAUACCUUAAUAUAGCAUAAUGUGAAUAAAGAAAUGAAUUUACCAUAAAUUAAUAAAAUUGUCAUUGGUAAUUUAAAACCUUAAUAUGAUUAGAAUAGAUUUUGUUUUUAUCUAUUUUUUCUUUUGUUUUUCAAGAAAGUUUGGAUCUAAAUUUUCUCAUCAAUUAACUAAAAAAAUGAAAACAACAAUAUAAAAGUGAAAUCAAUAUAUAAAAUAAAUCCUCAAAUUUCAAAAUCAUAAGACUAAAAUUCUACUAUAUUCAAAUACUAUUUUGACCUUCAAUUUCACUUUUUUAAUAAAAUUUUACCUUAACAGAAAUAGUGAUUUUUUUUUUUUUGUUUUUACCUUAAUAAGAAAGUCAUUUUUUUUUCUCUUUUGUUUUUUCAAUCUUCACCUUUAUCAUAAUACUCAAAUCUAAUUUUAUAUAUAUAUAUAUAUAUAUAUAUAUAUAAAAUUAAACUAAAUUUAUUUUUGAAAAUUUUAGAUCACUCUUGUUUCAAAAACUAGUUAAACUACUUUAAUACUAUAUAACUUCAAUAAAAAAAAUGAAUUUAUCAUACAUUAUCAAAGAUGUCAUUAAAAAAAGACUAAAUAUGACUUAAACAAAUUUAAUUUUUGUCCAUUUUCUUCUUCUAUUUUUUUGCUAAGGUUAGGUUAGUAUUUCUAGCCCGAGACACAUUAGCUGACAAAACCAUGACCUUUCGAAAAUUAGGCUCAGGUCUGAUCCAUUAAAUUGACAAGCCUCCAAGACAGGCCCUGAUUAGCUUACCAACAUGUUUGUGUUGGACUAAGCCCACCUUAAGUGGGAUUAAGGAAAUAAUAAGAAAUGUUUGUUGCUUAACCAAGGAGAGAUGGGUGUUGAUUUAUAUUGGGUUUUCCAUUGUAUUGGAUUAUUGAUCUUUGAAACUUCUUUGAAAGUUUAUUUUUGUAAACUAGUAAUAACUAGUCUUGAUUUUUGUUUUCAUUCAAGUUAGACAAAACUUUUGAAAAAACGCCCUUAUGCACAAAAGUGAGCCUAUAUUGAAUUCGACUCUCAUAACCCAUGCCAACAAGGUAUAUAAGUUCAAAGUGGGGACCACUAAGAGCCAUAUGAGUAUUAGCUCCUUCAGAUUCCAAUUCUAAAGUUGAAUCAACAUUCCAUUGCAGAGAAUCAACUAAACUCCAAUAUCCUAUGUAAGUAACAAUGAGACAUUAUGUGCUUAGGUCCAUGACUUGCUAUCCAUUACGUUUAGUCUCUCCAUGAACUAACGUUCAUAAUCUAACAAAGUGAAAGUUAUCAACCUUUUAAUACUACCUCUACUAUCCUUGAGUUAUAUAUAUCCUCUUAUUGUGUGUUUAACUAACAUGCCUUAACUUUUAAAGAUCUUAUGUCAAGUUCCAGUUAAGGAAUUACCAUGACCAUAGUUUCCAUGAACACACCUCCUUAGAUCACUCAAGGGGACACACUGUCUCGAUUCCAUUAGAUAUCAUGGUGCCUCUAUUGAGAAUACCUAUUGUCAUUGACUUCCAUCAAUAGUGACCCAAUCUAUAAGCUGUCAUUAAUUAGCUUAUGAUCUCACUCGUAGGUCAAAGCCACUGUUAACUUUAACAUAAACUCAAUAUUCUCUCAAAGUUGAAAGACAAUAUAAUAAAACAGCUUGGUAAAGUCAUGACUACUUGAUAACCAUAAGUCAUGACUCAUUGUAGGUCCUAUCUAAUGUGUAACUAUACACACUAGUGCACUCACCAUAUUCCCGAUAGCCAAGAUCAGUCAUCCCUUCAAUUAGGAGGUAAUGCACUAUACCCUCUAAUGGGUAAUCUAGUCCUACGAACCGGUUGUGAAUAAAUAAUCUAUUUACAAAUAACCAAUGACUUGGAUCUUUUGUGCAACUCCUAAUACACUUGUAGACCCUCGUUUUUCAUGUGUGUUUCCACUUGAUGACAAGACUCAUUUUUUAGUGAAAAACUAAUUUUUAUAAAACUGAUUUUUUAUUUUGAAAUUCCAUUUUAUUUAUUUCCAUUGAUUCAUUAUUUUAUGCUAACAUUACUAAUGUGUUUUUAUUUCCAGUCAUUUCAUUAUUUUAGCUAACAUUACUAAUGUAUUUCAUUUCUAGUCAUUUCAUUUCAUCUCCACAUGCAGCUGGUGGAGAUGACAUCCACCAUAUACUCCCGUUGCUGUCGUGUUUCUGAUUGUAUUUGUGCGCGUGAUGCGAAACUAUAUUUGAUGAUCAAGUCAAUGCCAAAGAUGGAAGACUGAUGAUCUCACCGAGAUGGAGAAUCCAGAUGAAGAAGUAAGAGACCACCGAUUACGGCUUCCAAUAUGGUGAUGUUGUGGGUGGAUAAAUGGAGAAGCUGUCUAGGUGUGUUGCGAGACCAAUGGAGAUCAUGAGCAGUGAUCUGGUGUUGUCGAAAAUUUUCACUCCAGAUGAUGAAGAUGAAGAUUUGGUGUCGAUGAAGACGAGCUUUUGAGAUGAAUUGUUGCACGUACCAAAAUGGCGAAAUGCAGGUCUGAAGAUGGUGACUGCAAGAUGAAAUGUGGACCGAAAUCCAAAGUCUAAUUGAAAACCUUCUAGUGUCGGAAAUGGAAAGCUCUAAUGGCGGUGGUGACUUGUAGCACUGCUGAUCUUCAUGGCGGUCACGGCAAACUCAAAUGGUGGACCUAAACCUGCAGCAACGAUGAUAUUCAUGGCGGUGAUGGAGAGCUCUAAUGGCGGUGAUGAAUUUCAUGAAGGCGGUGAUGGACUCUGAUGUCGGUGAUGAAAUUUUUUCUCAGAGAAAAGAUCAUGCUCUCUUCCUCCCCAAGUCGAUCAUGUAAGUGGAGUCUUCCAGAGGACUCCACUUACAUCCAAAUUACAUGCGGUGAUCAUCUACCCACACGCACCUACAUGACCCUCUUAGACUGCAUGAUAGUCGCGUGAUGGAGCACUUCUCUUCCCAAGCUUAAAUAACCUUCUCCAAGUUACAUAAUAGCCAUGUGAUGGUGCUUCUCUCCUAGAACCUAAGUGACCUCAAAAUUCCACAAUAGUCACAUGAUAAUGCCUUUCUUCUAGAAGCCUAUGUCAUGAAACCUUGCCUUUGGACCCAUGCAUGAAUAUUCCUAAUGUUAAUUAUGCACUACCUCAUAUCUAAAAGUGACCUCAUGCAAAAAUAAAAUUAAAACACUCUCAAAAUUACACAACUAAAAAUAAAAAAUCAAAAGUCAUAUAUUUAAGGAUAAAAAUCCAAAUACAUGCACACAAAAAACAAAAAUAAGUUUCAUACAAUUAAAAGAAAAUCCAUAUAUCCCUCGCAUGCAAUCAAAUAUCCAAAAUAGCCUACAUACAAUAAAAAAAAUCAAUAUCAAUCCAAACUCACCUAAUCCUAAAACUAUGCCAUGGUAAAAUAAACACAAACCUAAAUGCACUAGAAAUCAAUCAAAAACAAAGUCCUGAACUGGGAAUCAGGGGUCACUAAAAUCAAGGUUGGGAUCCACCUAAUCCCUCCUAAAUAUCUCUCAUAGAAAAUCCAAAAAUAGUGAUUGAAAUAGUUAUAGUGGACCACCAAUGAGAGCUCAAAAAUAGCUUAAAAAAAGACCAUAAGUGGAUAAUAAGACAAUAGAGAAAAUAGAAAGGCAAUCUUGGAUGGAAUGUGCCAAGAGGAUAAAAUAGAGGGUUUACAACACUCAAAUCACAUACAAUGCAAAAGAUGUAGGCAAGAAUGCUCAUAAAGCAUAAUGCAUGGAAUAAAGAUAGAUAAAAGUGAAACUGGAAUAUCAGUAAAUAAAUAACGAAUUCCAAAUUUAUUACAUCAUGUCAUGCUUUUAAAGACUCUAUAAUAACAGUAGGAACCUAUGUCCCUAUCUUCGCUUGAAACUUUACUUUAGGAAUUUAUUAUCUUGUCAUCUCAUAUAAAAUAUACUCCUUAAUUCAAUACAAGGAAGGAUAUAAUAUGAUAAUAUAUGAAUUAGCUAAUCAUGUUAUGAAGUCAAUAACCAUCUUAUCAUUCAUAAAAGAAUUAUAGUGUUAGAACUUUAGCAAUUACCUAGUUCAUUUGAUGUUACUACAACUUGAUCAUUAAUUAGUAAUCCUUUGUAAAUUAAUUACCUUUCAAUUAUUUAUAUAUUUAUUAACAUAUUUUUUCUCUCAAUCUAUAGAAAGCUACUCAUUCCAUCUCUUUAACUCCACCUAAAUAAUACAUAAUACCUAAAGCUAUAAGAAAGUUCAAUGAAUGAUUAUCAAUUCUUCUAUGUUUCAUCAAAGUUGUUAGAUGAGUUGUAGUGAUCCCUACAAUAUUGAAUGCUUUUAUAAAUACUUGAUUAAAAAUUAAAUAUUUCUAAAUUUGAUCCUUGAAAAUCGGAUCCACUCUAUAAUUUGAUCUUAUUAAUAAUUUUAUCAAAUCAUUUAGGGACUUGGUUUAAAAUUAUAACACUUCACCUUGCACCAAGAUGAGGAAAAUAAACAUCUAUAAAAUUUAAACUCAUGACUUAUCAUCAGUUAAAAUUUUAACAUAUUAUUAAGCUAAUAAUUUGAUUUGGUGAUAUAAAUAGUUGAUUGGUUAAUUAACAAAGAAUAGAAGCAAAUUCAAGUUCAAACUAUGUAUAUCAUAGUGAUCCUUUUUUGUCCUUUUAUUUUGGUCUUUAUUUAGGCAUAUAUCAAGUAAAAAUCAAAUUUACAAUUAUCUAUGUUUCUAAAAUUUUUCUUCUACAGAAAAAGAUUUAAGCUAUAUUUCCUCAAUUAUUUUGAAAGAAAAAGUACUUAAUAUGUAAUAUAUAUAAUGGCCCAAACUCUAACUUUGUGUGAUGUACUCCACUUAUCCCUUGAGCAUGACCUAUGAUGAUAAAUCAUGUGUAGAAGUCAUGUUUGAUAAUAUUAUAAAAAGAAAAAAAAAAUACAUAUGCACAAGUUUUAGCAUACCGCUUCAAAAUAUAUGGGAUUUCUUAAAAAUUGUAUGUUAGUAAAAAUGUUUCUAAGAUUUUUUUUUCAUUGUUUUAAGAAUCGUUUGAAAGUGUCUGUUGCAUUUUAAAGUUUAUAGGAGUUUUAAUGAAUAUUUGUAAAUAAUGUAUACGAACCCGAGCCGACCAAAGAGGAGGCGGAGAGACUUGCUGAAAAUGGUCCAUUUUACUUGAAGCCAAAAAAGAUCGAAAUCAAUGUCAAUCAAUAGAAAUAAAUGCCAAGUAGAAAAAAAUAAGGAAGAAGAAAACGAUCGAAAUUCUGACCAAAGAAUUAGACAUUCGAAGACCUUUGUUACUCAUAUUAGCACCAUAUUUUCUUUUUCUUUUUUUAAAAAAAAAUAAAAUUGGUAGAAAGAAUUUUACACCAUUAUGCUUCUAGCUGGCCUAAUACUCUCCAUAUUCCACUCAAUUUGUAGAAGCCAUAUCAGAAACACAUCACCAUUCACUUGCGAACCUUUCUGCCUUCUUUGAUAUUUUUGUGCAACAAACCCAUCAAAUAAAUCCUCUAAACAAUCACAAAUACACAAUAGAAAAUCCAAGAGAAAGAAAUGAACCAAAUAUGGGAGACAAGCGAAAUGGAAGAUCAUGAGUGUAUUUCGAGUGUUUGAUAUGGGAGAAAAGGUGAUAAAAAGAGAAGGAGCUCGAGUAGUUGAAAGGCAUCUUCACUGCAAUUUAUGUGUGUGUUGUGUCCUAAUCUCCCCCAAAACCAAGACCAAGUUCUUUUGCUCCAUCUGUUCUUGUUCCCUAAUCCUUGCAUUUUUUUAUUUUUAUUUUUUGCAAGCAUUUUCCUCAUUACAACACCAUAAAUAAUAGUAAUGUGAGUAUGGAAACUUAGGAAAUUUGAGGUUGGUGUUUGUUUUAUGUAUUUGGUAAUAAUUUAAGUGGUGUUUUGGAUGUAAUUUGAAUGAAUGUAGAAUCUUGUUGUUUAGGUUAUGAAAACCAAGAGAAUUUGAAGAGGGUGUUUUUGGUUUGCAAUUAUUUACCUAGUGUAGUCAUACACACACAUAUAUAUAUAUGAGAAAAUAUUGUUUUAGAUUUAUUAAAUUUAAAAUGUAGAAAAACUAAGGAAUCAAUAAAUUUGUUAUUCCUAUUGGAAACUCUGCACUAAAGUUAUUGGUGGAUAAAUCAAUACUGACUAUGAGAGAAAUAGACUUGAUAUAUUCUAGAUCUUGGUCUUUCACUUUCAAGAUCAAACUAUAUUCAUAGGAUCGGGCCUUAUCAGGUGUUGGGUAUAGAUAGCGGCUUAUAUUUUGCUUUUAAGUCAUUGGAUCACCCAAAGUGCAUGGACUACUACCACUCAAAUUGUUUUCAACAAGGUAUGAGAUAUGCAAUGAACUUAAAUUUGACAACUCAAAAUGAAGUCCUCCAAAAAAUGCAUUUGAACUCAACUUAAGAAUUCAAACCAAUGUGAAAACAGCUCCAAUCCAUACUGGAAUAUCACCUGAAAGCUUGUUCUUGUUUAAGUGAAGUGAUUGAAGCCAUUCUAACCGACCAAAAGAUUUUGGAAUAGUCCCCAAUAAAUUGUUCUUUCCAAGGAUUAGAAAGUAUAGGUCCGUGCAAUUAUUUAUAGAUGAAGGAAUGCUUCAUGUUAGACUAUUCCUUGAAAAAUCAAGGAUUUGAAGAUGUCGUAUAUGUCCUAUAGACUUUGGGAUGAUUCCUAUCAUUUGAUUGCCUGAAAGAGAAAAUACAAACAAAUUUGGGAUGGAUUCACCUAUUUUGGCUAGGAUAGAACCAGAAAAUUUAUUGUUGGAUGGAUCAAGUGAGUAGCACUGAUGAGGAUGAGUUUUCAAGAUAUAUAUCAAGAAAGGGAAUUAGUAUUAGUUUUAAUUAAAGUAGGAUUAAUAUUACUUGGAAUUAAAUUAGGAUUAAUAUUUGCUGGAAUCAAAUUAGGAUUAGCUAGUUGAGUUAUAAUAUAAUUAGAAUUUGAGUCAUGAUAGGUUAUUAGAGUCUUAGUAGACUUUGGAUGUUAUAAUUAGAAUUAGAAUCAUAAUAGGUUUUUAGAGUCCUAGUAGACUUUGGAUUUCUUAGAGAAGCCUAUAAAUAGGCUAAUCAAUGUAAAUCAAAGGAAUAAAUUGAUGAAUAAUAUUAUACUUUCUUUCAUUGCAAGGUUGCAACCCUCAAUGGUGAGACUCCAUUGAUUUUCUUUUAGGUGAGACUCCUAGAAGGCCUUAGCGAGACUCUAAGGUUUUCCAUCUUUUCUUCAUUGUUUCUUCUUUCUCUCUAUUUCUUAUCUUAUAAUUUUCUCUACCAUAAAAUUUAUUCCUUAUUCCUCUCCUUACACCCUAAAAAUAAAACCCUAACCCACCUACCCUUAGGUGUAGGCAACCAUCCUAGGGUUAUCCUACAUCAAGCACCCAUGGUGUGGUAGAGGAAUUGGACCUUCAAACAGGUUGGAGCUGAAAUCAAUAGAUGCCCAAGGGGCCAUAUUUAACUGAUUUGGUAAUUGACCAUAUAACUGAUUCAAAGGAAGAUUUAAAAACAAUAGUUGAGAAUAAAUAUUCCUAAAACCAAUUGGGUAUCAUCCUUGUUGUAGAAUUAGGAUCUUUUAAGACUAUAUUAACAGUCUCAUAUGCAAUAACCUGAAUGAUUCAAUUUGGGUGGUUUUUCAUGGGCUUCAAAACAAAGAAAGUGGGUCUAAAUUGAUGAACAGAUAUUACCCCAAAAUGAGUUUUAAGCUUUUAGCAGAUGAUAAUGCUAGUUACUUUUAACCUAGAAAGUGACCAAGAACUUUCGGGGUUUUUUUUUCCUCUUUUCAUCACAAUUGUGAAACAUCAAAUUUGUCAUUGUUUUCCUACAAUUUAGAUUAUGGGGGUGGGGAGAUGUAUGCUCCUUUGCCCACGUUAGCAUUGGAGUGAACUAUGAAUUUCAGUUCUUGGAACCUGUCUGGAUAUGUUUCUAGAUGCUAGAAGGUUGGGGUGGGGGAAGAUAGCGGCAAGACCUGGUGUAAUUCCUUAUGGGUAAUUUGGGGAAAAAUGAUAGUAGUAACUAUUUUGCCUAUUUAAUUUUUCAAUCUAAUAUGCCUAAAGAAUUUGCAUAUCAAGUUUAAAAGUUGGCUUAAAUACCCAAGUCAACCUACUAUCGAUUGUGCGAGGAAAAAAGAAGAUGGGCAACAGGUAAGCUGUUGGAUUAAUUGGUAACCAACAUUUGCUAAUUAAGGUCGGAAUUUCUAUCUUAUAUUGGUGAGGUAGAUGACUUUUUUCUUAGUUUAUGGGGCCAAUGGAAGCAACCUACAACUAAGGAAAAUGGUUUCUCUCUACUCCCAGCUUACUAAGUUAAUUUGCUAAUGCAAAAAAGGCUUUCCCUUUCUACCAACAAGUUAGAAGGGUACUUCUUUCACUUAUUGUGCUUCUUGUUUCCAUGUUUUAUCUAUAAGGUGAACAUGAGGUGUCAAUCCCUUCCAAUUUUGUUUUCAUGUAUUAAUAUAGUUGAAGAAUCUAAUUACAGACUGAAAGAAUAUAGUUGGAACCUUGGAGGAGUGGUAGAUGAAGGGAUGGCCAUGCUAGGAGGAAUGAUAGUUGAAACAUCAACUCCAACUAGCUGAUCUGAGUGCAUCAGAAAUGGGAAUGAUAAGGCGGCCUCUCCUCUUUUUGGAAUGGAUACCGGCUCUAAAGACAUGAUCUUAGAAUAGGAAACCUUGUGUGUUUCCUAUAAACCAACUCAGCCUAAUCCACCUACCUAGGUUUCGUCUCCUAGGGCAACAAGCAUAUCCUAAAUGGUCUCAAAAGGCAAUAGAGUCCUGUGGUGCAUUAGUAUGAAAGUAUAGUUGAUUAUCUCGUUUCUUCUUAUGCACUAAACUCUGGAAAAACUGGCAGAUCACUUUCUAGUAAAAAGGAAGCUUUUUCUCCAGGAAUCUGUUGUUCAAUUUUCAAUUUUACAAUACUUCUCAUCUGACUCUCAUUGUAGAAUUAAGGUUUUUUUUAAGACUGCAUUAACAGUCCCUUAUGUAGAAACCUAAAUUAUUUAAUUUGGGUUUGUCUAGGGCAGAUUUUUAUGGAGUUCAAAACCAAGAAAGUGGCUCCAAAUUGAUAACCAAACAUUGCCGAAAAAUGUGUUUUUAACAUAUGAGACUGGUAGUUACUUCAAGUUACUGCUAACCUAGAAAGUGACAAAGAAUGCUACUUUUGGAUUUUAAGGAAAUUUUUUCUUUUAUUUAUUUACUUUUUUUUUUUUGUGCAGGUGCCACAUUUUCUCUUUUGGUUGGAAUUGUGAAGUAUCAAAUUCAUCGAUGUUUCCUACGAUUUAGAUUUUGGGGGUUGGGAGAGGUAUGUUCUUUUGCCCCACUUUGCAUUAAAGUGAGCAAUGAAUUCUAAUUCUUGGGGGCAUGGGUUGUGCAAGGUGGAUGCCCACACCACUUGGCGGGUGCAAAUGGAAGUCCUCUAAUGUGUUUGAUAAAGUGUUUCACCAAAAGAUUUUCUUGCUGAAGAAGGGAAAAUCCCAUUUUACUUUUGUUGUUAAUCAUGUCAAUAUGCCUUGUUUGUCAAUUACCUUGUUGCUUAAACUUUUUAUUUAUAUUUAUAGUUUAAAAUGGUGCAGAAUCCUUUGCUUCUGAGAGGUCUUAGGUUUGAACCUCACCGCUUAUGUAUUCCCUUUGUAUUGAAUCCAUGUAUGAAAGAAUGCCAUGGAGGCUAGUGUUGAGGCAAUUAUCUGUACUAUUAACCAGCUUCAUUUAAUAUACAUUGUUGAUCUAUUAUCUAAUCGCAUAAGUUGUUGGAUUAAGUGGCAAUCAACAUUUACUAAGGUUGGAAUUCCCAUAUUAUCUUGGUGAGAUAGAUCAUGACUUCUACCCUCAAUUUAUGGGGCCGAGGGAAACACCCUACAACUAUGGUAAAUGAUUUCCCCAUUCCCGAAGUUCUAAGUUAAUUUGCUAAUGCUAACGUAGAAAGGCUUCCCCUUCUACCAACAAGGUUAAGAGAGUGCUUCCUUCACUUACCUUGCUUAUUGUUUCCAUGUUUGAACUAUAAAGUUAACAUGGGGUGCUAAUCUCUUCCAAUUUUGUUUCCAUGUAUUAAUAUAGUUGAAUAUAGUUGGAGGAAUGGUAUAUACUCUAGUGGAAGGUGUCUCAAACUCAAUUCCCAUGGAUGGAGUAAGAUUCAGAGACACAACAAAUGGAAUUGGCAAUAAAACAGGUUGUGAAUUUGCUUGAGAAAUAACCAACCUCAUAGCAAAUGAAGGAACAAUUGUGCUAGGAGGAAAUGAGGUUUUGUCUUAGACGUAGUUCUCUACAGGUUGAUGACUUCUUCAGUCCAAUAACGUGUGAUUUUCUCACUUCUGAAACUUCAGUUUUGGUUUUGAUCCAUUUUAGAGAGGAUAUGUGACACAAUCCAAAAUGGGGUUACAUUGUCUCUUGUUUUUCGCUGAUGUUAUCAUUUGUUGCCUUCAUGUGCUAGGAUGACGUUUGUUAAUGAAAAUUUCUAUGACCAAGUUGAAUUUGAUACUUGGGUGGAGCUGGUUUGUUUAAAUAUUCAUGUUUUGGUGAAUAAAAGUUAUUUUAAUUGAGCAAAACUAAUACAUAUAAUGUAGAAGAUGGAUAAAAUUUAAGUUAAAUAUUUAACAAAAAAAAUAUGAUUUUAGGACUUUUCAAUUUAAUAAAAGUUUUGUUGUAGUUAUGGGUUAUGUAUUCAAUUUUGGGUAGAAGGAAAAGACUAACCAAGCAAGUGCUACAUAUAAUCUAAAGCAUUCCCAAACCCUGGAAGCUUAAGGGAUGGAUCAUAUUAAUAGUGUGUGAUAGUGAUUCUUGAAAGUGUUUUUAACGUUUAUAGUACUUGAAAAAUGAAAUCUUAAAGUGUUAGAAAUGUUAAAAACACUUCCUAGAAUAACUAUCAAAUGCACUCUAAAUAAGUUAGCUUAAGAGUGAUGCAAAAAAUGGGUAUGUUGUAUAAGAACACAUAUUUUCUUUUUGUCUUUCACCCUUCAAAAAGUUAUGAUCUACUUGUUUGCUUGGAAAAAAAAAUACUUUUUUUCCCCAAUUAUAAAUAUUAGCCAUUUUUCAUCAAAAGUAACUAGAAUUAUAUAGACCCCAAAAGGGCAAAAAAGGUCAUAGAUUUAGGUUAAUAAAGAAAUAUAGUUGGGACAAACAAUUAAAACAUCUUACAUUGGAUGAUCAUCAUAUCCUACUCAAAUUUUAUAAGGUAGUGGAAACAUAACUAAUAAUUAUAUUUUUCAAAGAGAAUCUAAAAAUUUGAAAUUGGAAAUUUAUUCUAUUCAUUUUUAAUAUUUUUUGGGGUCUACUAUAAAUUUUAUCCACAAAGGGAAAACAUACACUAUUUAUCUUAAUAAAGGCCCCUUUUAUAUCAAGAAAUUUCUCUUUGAAUGAAUUAAAAGAGAAACCUUGUCUUUUAUUACAACUAUAAUGAAAUUCACUUCCAAAGCCUAUAAUUAUACAUAGAGCAUAUAACGAUCUACAAACAAAAUUUAUCACCUUCGCGGGUGAGCUUUGGCACAGGUUGCUCUUCCUCUCAACAACCAUUUGACAAUUUUAUCCACAAAAUCAAAGUAGGCCUCACACCAAGAUUUUCUUGUUGCCAAAACAAAAUAUGGAAUUAAAAUACCCAUUGAAAAUCCCAAGCCAACACUCAAGUAAAACCAUUGAUCAAUGUAGCCACCAUCAUUUUUGUCCUCAAUAGCACUACGCUUUUUAUCUAGAUCUUCAUCUUGGCAUUUUGUGACUAGUGGAGCUCCACAAAGAUUAGGGUUUCCAACAAAGCCUGACUCAGUGAAGGUUGUCAUUUGCCCUAUAAAGGGGAUCUUACCAGAGAAAUUGUUAUUUGAUAGAUUCAAAUAACUUAAGAAUGUCAAUGAAACCAUACUUGAAGGAAGGGUGCCAGAAAGCUUAUUAUUUGACAAAUCAAGAGAUAACAACUGCUUCAACAUUGAAAUGCUUUCAGGAAUUUGGCCAAUGAUGUGAUUCCUCGAUAAGUUCAAAACUAGCAAACCAAACAAUUUUGUUAUUUCUUGGGGAAACUCUCCACUUAAAUUAUUGUCGGAUAGGUCUAUGCUUACAACAAGAAAAAGAGUUCUGGUGUACUCAAGACUUUGGCCUUUCAUAUUCACAACCAAUCGUUCUUCAUACCAAGAGUUGCUCCCAUUGCCAUGCAAAGGAUAUAUAUUCUUAUUAUUCUCUUGAGCCAUGGCUUUAAGCUCAACAAAAGUGAUUGGAAUUUCACCCAUUAGAUUGUUUUGUGCAAGGUCUAAGACACGCAGGGAGCUUAAAUUUGAAAGCUGUGGGGGAAGUCUUCCAAAAAAUACAUUUGACCUCAAGUUGAGUAUUACAAGAUUUAUGAAAGUAGUUCCAAUCCAUGAAGGAACCUUACCCAAUAGUUGGUUAUAACUGAGAUCAAGGAGUUCCAAUCUUGAUAAAUUUUGGAAAGAUGAGGGGAGCCCUCCUGAAAGCUUGUUAUCAUUCAGGUGUAGUGAUUCGAGCCAUUGUAACUGGCCCAAUGACUUUGGUAUCGUCCCAGAUAAAUGGUUAUUUCCAAGGUCUAGAACAAUUAGGCUAGAGCAAUUAUUUAUGGUAUAAGGAAUGCUUCCAGUCAAAUUAUUCCUUGAAAAAUCAAUGACUUGAAGAGAGGUGAUGUGUCCUAUGGAAUCUGGGAUGGUCCCUGUUAGUUGAUUUUUUGAAAGGAAAAGGUAAUUCAAGUCUAACAUAGAUUCACCUAUGCUCAAUGGGAUAGGGCCAGAAAAUUUAUUGUAGGAGAAAUCUAGUAAAUAGACUCCUUUGGUGGAAAAUUUUAAUGAAUUUGGUAGCUGACCUUGUAACUGAUUGUGAGAAAGUUUUAAGUAUGACAGGUUAAAAGAAAUAUUCCAAAACCACUUGGGUAUGAAACCUGAGAUGCUAGCAUUUGACAAAUCCAAAAAAAAGACCUCCUUUUGAGUCUUAAACCAAUUUGGGAAUGAAGGGCCUAAAUUGCAUGAAGCCAUACUCAGAUUAGUGACUUGGAAUGGGGGGACCCAAGUGGAACUAACAUUUAAAACAAGACCUGAAUUUCCAUUUAUCCACAACUCCUUCAACUUACUUAACUUUGAAAAAUGUUCUUCAGAAAUAAUUCCAGUCAUGCGAUUCAAAGAAACAUCCAAUUUAACCAAUUCAGAAAGUUGUCCAAAACUAACCGGGAGACUCCCAUUCAGUUCAUUCGAUCCAAGCCACAUCUCUCUCAGUUUUUUGAAUGUCCCAAAAGAAGCAGGAAUAGGGCCUUGAAGCUUGUUGCCAGAUAAAUCGAGAAAUGUAAGUUUUUCCAAAUGACUCAACCAUUCGGGAAUUGUACCUGCAAUCAUCAUCAAGAGUAUUAAAAUAGUUUCAUUUAUUUAUAUAUUUAUUUUAUGAAAAAUAAUAAAUUUUAGGAGAAAGGAAUUUUCAGAAAAAAAAGGUAUAAUAAAUCGAAUGAGUGGAGAAAAGAUAAUUUAAAAUAUUUUUUUAAAACUAAGUGUUUACAUGGAAUCAAUAUAUACAUGAUUACCAAAAGAAAAUUUUAAUUUAUUUGGUAGCUAACCUUGUAACUGAUUGUUAGAAAGACUUAACAACCACAUAUUCAAAGAAGUAUUCCAAAACCAAUUUGGUAUGGAACCUAAGAUGCUAGCAUUUGACAAAUCCAAAAAGAAGACCUCCUUUUGAGACCUAAGCCAAGUCGGGAAUGAAUGGCCUAAAUUGCAUGAAUCCAUACUCAGAUUAGUGACUUGGAAUGGGGGCACCCAAGUGGAACUAACAUUCAAAACGAGACCUGAAUUUCCACCCAUCCACAACUUCUGUAACUUACUUAACUUCGAAAAAUGUUCUUCAGAAAGAAUUCCAAUCAAGUGAUUCCUAGAAACAUCCAAGACAACCAAUUCAGAAAGUUGUCCAAAACUAAUUGGGAGACUCCCAUUUAGUUCAUUCGAUCCAAGCCACAUCACAUUUAGAUUUUUGAAUGUCCCAAAAGAAGCAGGGAUAGGGCCUUGAAGCUUGUUGCAAGAUAGAUCGAGAUGUGUAAGUUUUUCCAGCUGACUCAAUGAUUCAGGAAUUGUACCUGCAAUCAUCAUCAAAAGUAUUAAAAUAAUUUUGUCUAUCUAUUUAUUUUAUGAAAAAUAAGAAAUUCAAGAGAAAGGAAUUUUCAAAAAAGGUAUAAUAAAUCAAAUGAGUGGAUAAAAGACAAUUUAAAAUAGUUUUUAAAAACAAGUGUUUACAUGGAAUCAAUGUAUACACGAUUACUAGAAGAAAAUUUUAAUGAAUUUGGUAGCUGACCUUGUAAUUGAUUCUGAGAAAGACUUAAGUCCAGCAGAUUCAAAGAAAUAUUCCAAAACCACUUGGGUAUGAAACCUGAGAUGCUAGCAUUUGACAAAUCCAGAAGGGAGACCUCCUUUUGAGACCAAAGCCAAGUUGGGAAUAAAGGGCCUAAAUUGCAUGAAGCCAUACUUAGUUUAGUGAUUUGGAAUGGGGGGACCCAAGUGGAACUAACAUUCAAAACGAGACCUGAAUUUCCAUUUAUCCACAACUCCUUCAACUUACUUAACUUUGAAAAAUGUUCUUCAGAAAGAAUUCCAAUCAUGCGAUUCCUAGAAACAUCCAAGAGAACCAAUUCAGAAAGUUGUCCAAAACUAAUUGGGAGACUCCCAUUCAGUUCAUUUGAUCCAAGCCACAUCUCUCUCAGAUUUUUGAAUGUCCCAAAAGAAGUAGGAAUAAGGCCUUGAAGCUUGUUGCAAGAUAGAUCGAGAUGUGCAAGUUUUUCUAACUGACUCAACGAUUCAGGGAUUGUACCUGCAAUCAUCAUCAAGAGUACUAAAAUAAUUUCAUUUAUUUAUUUAUUUAUUUUAUGAAAAAUAAGAAAUUUCAGGAGAAAGGAAUUUUUAGAAAAGGUAUAAUAAAUCAAAUGAGUGGAGAAAAUAUAAUUUAAAAUAGUUUUUAAAAACAAGUGUUUACAUGGAAUCAAUAUAUACACGACUACCAUAAGAAAAUUUUAAUGAAUUUGGUAGCUGACCUUGUAAUUGAUUCUGAGAAAGGCUUAAGUCCUGCAGAUUAAAAGAAAUAUUCCAAAACCACUUGGGUAUGGAACCUGAGAUGCUAGCAUUUGACAAAUCCAGGAGGGAGACCUCCUUUUGAGACAUAAGCCAAGUCGGGAAUGAAGGGCCUAAAUUGCAUGAAGCCAUACUCAGUUUAGUGAUUUGAAAUGGGGGGACCCAAGUGGAACUAACAUUCAGAACGAGACCUGAAUUUCCAUUUAUCCACAGCUCCUUCAACUUACUAACUUUGAAAAAUGUUCUUCAGAAAGAAUUCCAGUCAUGUGAUUCCUAGAAACAUCCAAGAGAACCAAUUCAGAAAGUUGUCCAAAACUAACUGGGAGACUCCCAUUCAGUUCAUUCGAUCCAAGCCACAUCUCUCUCAGAUUUUUGAAUGUCCCAAAAGAAUUAGGAAUAGGGCCUUGAAGCUUGUUACCGGAUAGAUCGAGAUAUGCAAGUUUUUCCAAUUGACUCAAUGAUUCAGGAAUUGUACCUGCAAUCAUCAUCAAGAGUACUAAAAUAAUUUCAUUUAUUUAUUAAUUAUUUUAUGAAAAAUAAGAAAUUUCAGGAGAAAGGAAUUUUCAGAAAAGGUAUAAUAAAUCAAAUGAGUGGAGAAAAGAUAAUUUAAAAUAGUUUCUAAAAACAAGUGUUUACAUGGAACCAAUAUAUACACGACUACCAUAAGAAAAUUUUAAUGAAUUUGGUAGCUAACCUUGUAAAGAAAUAUUCCAAAACCACUUGGGUAUGGAACCUGAGAUGCUAGCAUUUGACAAAUCCAAGAGGGAGACCUCCUUUUGAGACAUAAGCCAAGUCGGGAAUGAAGGGCCUAAAUUGCAUGAAGCCAUACUCAGUUUAGUGAUUUGAAAUGGGGGGACCCAAGUGGAACUAACAUUCAGAACGAGACCUGAAUUUCCAUUUAUCCACAACUCCUUCAACUUACUUAACUUUGAAAAAUGUUCUUCAGAAAGAAUUCCAGUCAUGCGAUUCCUAGAAACAUCCAAGAGAACCAAUUCAGAAAGUUGUCCAAAACUAAUUGGGAGACUCCCAUUUAGUUCAUUCGAUCCAAGCCACAUUUCUCUCAGAUUUUUUAAUGUCCCAAAAGAAGCAGGGAUAGGGCCUUGAAGCUUGUUGCCGGAUAGAUCGAGAUAUGUAAGUUUUUCCAAUUGACUCAACGAUUCGGGAAUUGUACCUGCAAUCAUCAUUAAGAGUAUUAAAAUAAUUUUAUUUAUUUAUUUUAUGAAAAAUAAGAAAUUUCACGAUAAAAGAAUUUUCAAAAAAUGUAUAACAAAUCAAAUGAGUGGAGAAAAGUUAAUUUAAAAUAUUUUUAGAAACAAAUGUCUACAUAGAAUAAAUUGAGAAUAUUGUUUUUAGAAAUUAAAGUUUCCAAACAAAAUUUUGCUACAAAAAUAUAAUAUAAUAUUUGUAAAAAUUAUUAUAAAAAACUCAAAUUUGAUUUCUAAAAAAUAUUUUUACAAUGUUUACAAGAAACAAAAUACAUUAUAACAUUUGUAAAACUAUUAUAAAAAGCUCAAAAAAUUAUUUUAGAAAUCUAUUUUAAAAAUUGUUUACAACCAAAAUCUAGAUCUUGUAGUGUAAUCUUUCAAAUCCAUCAAAAGUCGAGGAGGAGAAGAUGAGCCAAAAAGCCCUAAAAAUUCCCCUUUGUUGGUCAAUUGCACAAUGAAUUUGUGAUAAAUCAUACAUCAACAAGAGUUAAAAUAAUUUAAUUUAAAAUAAUUUUCAAAAAAACAAAGAGAAAGUUUAUGAGAAAUAUAAUUUCAAGACAAGGUAAGAAACUUUACUUUCUUAUUGCAUUAGUGAAAUGGAUACAAUGAAUGGUGAAAAGAUAAUUUUACUUGCUUUGAUGGUUUAAUGAUAAAAGUAAGAGAUUAUUGGAAAGUCAUAAUAAUUUAAUGUGAAAUAUUUUUUAAGAACAAGGGUUGCAAUGCAAAACCUCUACAAUAUUUUGAUUUAUCAAAAAAAAAUAAGUGAUAACAAUUUUUCUAAGCUAAUAACGUACUAAGAAAGUUAUUGUAUGCCAAAUUCAAAAAUUCUAUCUUCUUCCAGCUUUUGCUUAACAUUUGAGAGCAACUACCUGUGAGAUUUUUGUUCCAAGAUAGAUCCAAGUGCUGCAAGUUAGGUAGUUCCCCAAGGCUAGGUGAAAUAUGCUCAUAUAACUGAUUAGAACUUACAUCAAUGUAUACAAGGCUGGUAAGGUUUAGGAGCCAUAUUGGGAACUUUGACCGGAAAGAGUUGCCACUAAUGCUUAUGAGAGACAGUGAAGUAAAAUUGAUAGAGCUUAGAGAUGAAAUUGAACCAGAGAGCCCACAAUCUUGUAGGUGCAACUCCGUUAAAAAUGGAAGCUUGUUUAAUACCUCCAUCCAAUGAGAUCCAUUGAAAGGUUGACAUAGUUCAUCUUGAGAUGCUUUAAGGAAACAAGACUAGUCAUCCAUUCAAGGUCCUUAACAAAUAAGAACUUCUGAAAUUCAUUGGAAGAAAGAUCAAGAACUUGCAAAUUAGAAAGGUUUCCCAAUGUUGGAGGAAUUGCACCACUGAAUCCACCAUUUGAUAAGUUUAGAUACCAUAAAUUCUUCAAAGAUCCAAAGAAUUUAGGGAUUAGUAUAUGCUCAAAUGAGUUACCACUCAAAUCUAAAUAUCUCAAGGAUUUGAUUUCUAUCAAAGAAGGUCGAAUCUCCCCGCUUAAGUUCAUUGAGCUCCAAUUCUCAUAUGCUUCUUUAGGAGAAUAUGGGUUAUGAAGAUUGAUUGAAAUAACAACUCUUGUGUUGUUUUUGCAACCAAUUCCCUCCCAUUGACAACAAUUGCCUCCUGUCCAUGAUGAAAGUCGGUUGUUAGAAUCUUUAAGACCAUUUUUGAAGUUAUGAAGAGCAUCUCGAUCGGCUCUUAAGCAAUCUUCCUUAAGGGUUUCACCCUUACAAGCUAGAUCUCUUAUUGUUAAACAUAGAAUGACCCAAAGGAAACCAAGAAUUGAAUUUUUCUCCAUCUGAGAACACCUAUAAAAGUAAGUAAUUAAUAUUAAGUUCCGAUAGAAGAAUCAAAAUAGUGAUGAAAUUUGAUAAAGAACUAGAACAUCAAGAUAUUGGAUACUAAAAAACACAUUUAUUUUAAUCAAUCAUAAGUUUAAUAAGAUUAAAACAUGUCAAGUGGAUGGCAUACUUGAAUAGUUAUCCAUAUUAAAUAUGGUUUGAUGAUUGUUGCUAAUCAAACACAAGAUAAGCUUGGAAGCACUAGAUAGGGGAAAACACUAUUGAACCCAUUCGAGGCUAAUCAAACAACUUGUCAUUAUUGGUAAAGUAAAACAAGACUAGUGAUCCAUUCGAGAUCAUUAACAUAUAAAUCAUAGGAUUCAAAAUUAACAAAUAAAUAAAUAAAUUGAUGGCUAGAAAGAUUGAGAAAUUUCAAAUUAGAGAGGUUUCUCAUACUAGGAGGAAUUGCUCCAUUGAACCCAUAAUUUGAUAGGUUUAGAUAUUCUAAAUUCUUCAAAGAUACAAAGAAUUCAGGAAUUGGAAUACAUUAAAAUGAGUUAUCACUCAAAUCUAAAUAUCUCAAGGAUUUGAGUUCUAUCAAUGAAAGUCUAAUCUCUCCACACAAGGUUGUAGAGGUCCCAUUCUCAUAUGCUUCCUUGGGAGAAUAUGGGUAAUGAAAAUCAACUGAAAUAAUAGCUCUUGUUUUAUUUUCAUAAUCGAUUCCUUCGCAUUGACAACAAUCAAGCCCUCUCCAUGAUGAAAGCCAACUAUUAGAACUUUUGAGAUCAUUUUUGAAGAGCAUCUCUAUAAGUUUUAAAUCAUUUCCCAAAUUGGUCUCACCUUUACAAGCAAGUUUUCUUAUUAUUAAACAUAGAAUGAUCAAAAGGAAACUGAGAAUUAAAAUUUUCUCCAUCUAGGAACACCUAUAGAAACAAGUGAACUUAAGUUCCAACACAACAAUAACAAUAGUGAAAAAAUUCAAUUAGUAAUGGAAUCAAGACAUCAAACAAUUAAUAACAUAUCUAACUUAACCACUCAUUUGUUUAGAAAGAUUAAAAAUUUCCAAGUAACCAACAUAAUUUAAUACAUGUCAAAGAAAAUAUAAUUGAAAUCAUCUCAAUAAAUAUCAAAUAUGCUUUGAUGAUUACUAUUGAUCAAAACAUUCUAACUAUAGAAAUCACUUACAAGAAAACUUGAAGCAUUAGAUAGAGAGAAACACUUUGAACAAUCUCCUUUUUUAUGGUGUAGUCAUUCCUUUGGAUGCAGAGAUAUAUAUAGAAGAUAAUUCAACUAGAAACCAUGUGGAUGGAUAGUGAUAAGCGCCUUUCCUUUCUUUUUAGCAAUAUUUUGAAAAAUGGAUUGGACCAACCAAUUGAAUAGAUUCAAUUGCCAACCAAUUCACUUUCCGGGUUGGGUGACCUUUUCCAACCAUUUUGGGCUUAAAAUAGUGGAAAACCGAUCACUAGUAUUUGAUUAUGAUCAAAUAUUUCUAUCACAACAACCACUUUUUCUUCAAUCACUUUAAUAUAUUUUUGUCGCCUCUUGGUACCUCAUUAAGCAAAAUUUGCAUUGGAUUGACUUCAACAUUAUGUUUGGGUCAUCAAGAUUCAAGCCUUUUCAAUUGUUUGUGAUCCUCAACAAAAAAAGAUAUAUAAAUUAAAAAUUCAAUUCAUAUCAACAAAUUUUAGCAAACCACUUUAGAAUAUAUAAAAUUAAAAUUUGUGUUCUUGUAAUAAUGAUUCUAAGUUUUUUUUUCUCUUCAUUUUAAUAACCAUUUGAAAGUGUCAAUUGUGUUUUCAAUGUUAUAAGACUUUGAUGAAUAUUUGUAAAUAGUAUAUAUUCAUAUAUUCUUAAUUUUUUGAAAAAAUAAAAUAAAAAUUAGAAAAAAGAUUUAUUUAUUUAUUUAUUUGGAUAUAGAAGAUAAUUCAACUAGAAGCCAUAUAGAUGAAAGUGAUGGCCUCCCCUUUCUUUCUCCUUUCUUUCUUUAUAGUAUUUCUUUUUUAAGCAUACGCAGUCAAAAUUUUGCUUUUGGUAAAGUCUUCCACCUGUAAUUGAAAUGUAAAGAAUAAUAAUUCAAAGUCCAAAAAAAUAAGGACAAAAAAGUUGCUAUCUUCACUUAAAAACUUUGUUUUUGGAGUCGUGUCCUCUUGUCCUUUUGCACAAAACAAAACGUACCCCUUACUCUAAUGCAAGGAUGUAUAUUAAAUGAUAAAAUAUGAAUUCAUUAAUCUAAUUAUGAAGUCAAGAACUUAAUUAAUUAUUUAAUUAUAUUAAUUAAUUUAAUUGAAGUGUAAAGAAUAAUAAUUCAAAGUCCAAAAACAUAAGGACAAAAAGGUUGCUAUUUUCACUUAAAAACUUUAUUUUUGGUGUUGUGUUCUCUUGUCUUCUUGCACAAAACAAAAAGUUCUCUUUACUCCAAUGCAAGGAUGUAUAUCAAAUGAUAAUAUAUGAAUUAAUUAAUCUAAUUAUGAAGUCAAGACCUUUAUUAAUUAUAUUAAUUAAUCUAGUUGAAAUGUAAAGAAUAAUAAUUCAAAGUCCAAAAACAUAAGGACAAAAAAGUUGCUAUCUUCACUUAAAAACUUUAUUUUUGGUGUUGUGUCCUCUUGUCUUCUUGCACAAAAUGAAAGAUACUCUUUACUCCAAUGUAAGGAUCUAUAUUAAAUGAACAAUCUUCUCAUUCAUUAAAGGAACCAUUUUUAAUCAUAUCGACUACUUAAAUAAGGCUAGAGCUUUAACAGUUACCUUUAUUUGAACUUUAUUAUCAAGCAUUAAUUAACAAAAUAUUCUAUUUGAACUUGUAAGUGAUAUGAGAGUUUGAAUUAAUGAUUAUUAAUGCUUCUAUAUUUCAUCUAAUUUGUUGGGUUAGCCGUAUCUAAUCCCACAAUAUUGAAUGAUCAAUCUUAUUACUACUUGAUUAUAAAUUAAAUAUUUCCAAGCUUGAUCCUUAAAUAUGGUCUAUUAAGGCAAUAAUUUGAUCAAAACUAUUAAGGACUUAGGUUAAUAAUGUAACACUUCAUUUCACUAAUAGCAUAUAUAUAUGAGAAAAAUAAACAUUGAUGAAAUUUAAAUGCCUAACCUACCCUAAGUUAAAAUUUUGAUAUCAUGCAUGGUAAGCUCUGAUAAUUUGACAUGAUAAUAUAGAUCACCAAGCAUUUGGUUUAAAAAGAAUAAAAUCUUCCAAGUUCAAAUUGUGUAUAUUUGACAUGGUGAUAUAGAUCACCAAGCACCUAUUUGAAAAAUAAUAAAAUCUUCCUAGUUCAAAUUGAGUAUAUGAAGUAAGAAGCUGAAUGGGCAACCCUUUUUUUUUUUAAAAAAAAAAAAUUCCAAGGAAAAAGAUUCAGUUGAUGUUUGUUUUUUUUAACUUAAUUUGAAUGCAAUUUACUUUCAAGACUUCAAAUAUUUGUUUUUAAUAUUUUUUUAAACUUUUAACUUAUUCAUCAAUAUUUAGAAUAGAAUAGAACAAGCUAAAAUAUGUGACUUUUUACUUAAUCUAAAAAGUUAACCGAUUCACACUUCUAACCCCUCAUACCUAACUCACAUUGUGAAAAAACAAAUAAUAUUAAAUACUUUUAAGUUGUAUUUAGAACUAAGUUAAAUUAAGUUCUAUUUAGAUUUAAAUAAAAAAAAUCAUCUUAAUUAUGUUGAUCCAAACUUUAAUUGUGCAUGAUGUCUCGUUUUCCCUAUGAGCAUGACUUUGCUACUACUUAUCCCACACAAGAAAUAAUGGGCUUUUAGUUAAUUAACUACUAAGAAUAAUAAUAUGAACGUAUAGAUGACAUUAGCCCUAUAAAUUGAGUCAUGAAAAAACCUUCCUCAAAAUAUCACAGUCUUCAUGUUGUCCUAUGAAUUAGUAAUAUUUCACAAUCUUGUAAAAAAUUAAGGAAAAAUAAGAUAAAAUAAUCAAUAAGGCAUCAACAAUAGCAAACCACCUCGAAAUAAAUAAAAUAUCUUAAAAUUUUGAAAAUCUCUAUGAUGAGGUUAUCAUUUCUGAUAAAUUGAUCAUGCUCAUCAAAGCUAGCUCAGCACUACACAAUCCAAUCCAACCCAAUUAACAAAUCAACUAUUUAAAGUAUCCAAAUAUUGUGACCAUUUUUUAAAGACAUUUUUGUCAUGUCAUGUCUAUCAUGCAAUUUAAAGUAAUCAACUCAGCUUUGAAUAAAGAAAUUAUGUUUAUGCCCAUUCAUUAAUUUAUUAAUUUAUUCAAUGUUUAUGCCAUGUCUACCAAGGUGGCCAUAGAAAAUUUUGCAUUAGCUUGACUUUAACUCUUAUGUUUGGGUCAUCUAGAUUAGGGCCUUGUAAAUUAAGAUUUCAAUUCUUGUCAACAAAUUUUAGCAAACCACUCCAUAAGCUUUUUUCUCCUUUCAUUUUAAGAAUUAUUUGAAUGUGUAAAUUGCAUUUUAAAUUUUAUAGGACUUUGAUUAAUAUUUGUAAAUACUAGAUAUCUUUGUAUUUUUAACUUCUUUAAAAAUAAAAAUUUUUUAUUAAAAAGAAUUUUGCACUAGCAAUUCAUUUCCUCACAUGGAAGUGCUAGAAAAUUUUAAAAAUUACCUAAUCCAUUUUGUGCUUUUACAAAGUAUCAAUUAGUUGUGGUUAAAUAAAUUUAGUUUCCAAUCACUAAAUUAUACAUUUAGACAUAAGAUAAUUUGGGUAUCUAACAUUUAACAACUUCAUAAUUUCUUUAUUAAGUUGUGAUGACCCAAUUUAUUUCUAUGCUAAAUUUUUAAUUUUUAAUUAUAAUUCUAUCUUUAGUGUAAAAUUUCAUUCAUGCAUGAGGGUUAAUAAUCAUUUUAGAAGACAAGAAUGACAAGAUUGUGUGAGAAAUUUCUACAUGAAAUCUUGAGAUUGAACACCAAAUUGAAAGUUUGGACAAACCUAAGAAUAAUAACUAAUGCAUCAAGAUUUUAGAUACAACUAUUUCAAUAAUUAAAUAUUGUAGCUCAAUAAACAUACUUCAUAAUGUUUGGAAUUACAAUAAAUUUAUAUUUAUAAACUAAAAAAAAAAAAAAAAAACUUAGACAAAUUUUCCUAGAAACAUAUUCAAAUAAGUGGUUAGAGUAUUAUUGUCUAUGUAUACAUAGAUUAUAGUUAGAAUGUUAAGUGAUUUCAAAUUUAGACAACAAAUGUCAAGCCACUUAACCGUCUGAUUAGUCUUAUAAAUUAAAUAUAUAUAACUUAAUAAAUAGGAGUUGGAAGCAUAUGGUCAUUCGAGUCUUUGUUUUUCCUUUUUCACUCACUAUAAGGAUGGUUUUCCUUCCUAAAAAUAAAAUGAUGUAAAAAACCAUGAUAGAGAAUAAUAAUUAACAUGGAGAAGAAAACAAAGAGAAUGAAAACCAAAAAACAUACAAAGCACAUAAUGACUUACAUGGUUUUGUGUAAGGUUUACAUAAACAAGUAAAAUUGAAAAAGUUCAAAGGGAUUAUAAUCCUAAAACUCUCAAAUUCUAAAGUCCCAAUUACCACCUCUCCUCCCAACCCCUUGCCACUCUUAAAAAAAGAAAACUCUCUUUGAGUAAAAAAUUGUUCUUAUUUUCUUGAUAACAUAGAAAUAUUCAAUAUAAAAAAAUAUCUAGUUAUUAAAGAUUUCUAGUAAAUUUUCUUUAUAAUAAUAGAAAGUCUCUUGCAAAAAUGUAUUUUGAUGGGAAAAUAUCAAAGAAUUACAAAAUUGUCUCAAAAGAGAAUUUGAGAUACUUUCUAACAAUUUCCACCUUGGCUUUAAAUCCUAAGAUUAAAACAAAUUUGAAAGUCUUUCAUGUCACUUUGCACUCAUGCUCUUAAAGGAUCUUCAGAUGUUGUCAUAAACAAUUAAGUUCAAAACACAUUAAUUGGUUUCUCCACUACAAUGAUCUUUUUACUAGUGUCUACCAUCACUAGCAUACCUUUAUCUACCUCUUUGUUUCAUCUUGGUUAAAUUGUAUUGUUACUCUUGUUAUGCAUUUUCCUUAUCAAUGUUGAACCUCUUCUUCAUUUGGCGUUACUAAAUUCUUUCCUAUAGUUCCUCAAGCUUUAGGUUUGAGCUCCAACUUUUUCUCACUUUGAUGUUGUUGCUGUUUUUUUUUUUUUUUUUGGUGUAUCAAAUAGCUUCUUCCUAGGAUUAAUCAUUAUAGCCUCAUCAAGGGUCACAGCCACACUAACAAGAAAAAUGAAAGAUUUUGAAUUUGGGCACACAACAUAUACCCUUUAGAGUACAUUUUCUCCAUACCCUAAAAAUAUGCAUUUUCUUACCUUUGGUUCCAACUUACCUUUAUUCACAUGAGCAUAAGCAGGACACCAUAAAAUUCUUAAAUCUAUACAGUUAGCAAGGAAACCAAACCAUUCCUCUUAAAGAGUCUUAUAAUUAAUAUGUAGGAUGUCCUUUCACAAUAUAACAAGUUAAAUUUAUUGCUUCAACUCAAAAUUCCUUUCAUAACCCUACAUUCAAAAGUGUGCACCUUGCUCUCUUUGAAAGAGUUCUAUUCAUCUUAUUUGCAACACCAUUAUGUUGUAGAGUAUGUCUAACUAUGUCUCACAUUAUCUUUAAUAUUGCACUACUCAUUAAAAUAUUUUCCACUAAAUUCCAUAUCAUUGUCGAUUCUCAAGCAAUUUGUUUUCCCAUAUGUUUCUCCAUUAUCUUUUAUAUUGCACUACUCGUUAAAAUCUUUUCCACUAAAUUCAAUGUUAUUGUCAAUUCUCAAGCAAUUUGUUUUUCCAUACGUUUCUCCAUCAUAAUUUUCAAUUGUUUGAACUUCUCAAAGACAUCACUCUUAUGUUUAAGAUAUAUACCCAAACCUUUCUAAAGUAAUCAUCAAUUAAGCUCAAUGUAUAUGUUCCACCAACAUGUGAUAUAACCUAAUAAGGACCCCAAAGAACUAGAUGAUGUAAUCUAAAGUACCUUUAAUAUUGUGAAUAGUUAUACUCCAUCUAAUCGAUCAUUUUUCUCAAACAUAUAAUGCUCACAAAAAUCUAGCUCUUCCAUUUUCUAACCACCAAGAAAAACUUGUUUGCUCAAAAUUGUCUAAUGAAAAAGGAAGACUAAGUUUUUGAUAUGGAGUUUAUGUUUGAAAGUUUUGGGAUUUAAGAAUAUGUUCAUUAGAGUUAAAUUCAUUGGGUGUUAGGAUUUCUUAUAUGCACUUUACUUAUGAAACUGACUUGAAGCUUUUGAGUUGUUGAUUAUCUUGUAGUGAUACAUCUCAUUUAGUGAUUAGAGUUUACAAGUUCCUCAUAUUUAAAAAAGUUCAUAGAGCUCUAUUAUUAAUGAUCUUCGUUACCAUUGUAAAUACUAUCUCUAGCUGAAAAUGAACAAGGGUUUUAUUGAUUCAAUCCUUUCAUACGCUUGAGAUGGUUCCUUGUAUGACUAUAAGUUGAAUUACUAUUUCCAUAAUCUCUUGUAAUAAAACAACAUCUUGAAUAAUAUAUCUUCAAAAUGAAAUAGACUUGGAGCAAAUCACACAACAUUUAAUCCUUGGAAUGGUUUUGCAUUCUGGUGGCUUAAAUAGGAAGAAGAAGACCUUAAUUAAGACUGGUAUGGACCCAGAUUUUUCAUGUGCAUCCCCACUCACUGGCGAGAAUUGUUUUUAUUGGUGAAAAAUUAGUUUUGAAAAAGUUGGAGUCACCACUUAUUUUAUUUUAUUUAUAAAGGGAAAAUAAAACAAAAAAGAAAACACUAAAGAAGUGACUCUAUAGUUUUGGAAAAGCAUGUCUUGAAAAACUCGAGUCUUGGUCCAGAGAUCAGAUUACCUAUUGGGAAGGUACCUCAAAGAGGUAGCACCCCUCUAAGCCCUAAGGAGGUUUCUACUAGCUAGGUUGAGAGAAGUAUGACAAUUAGUUAUACCUAGGUAGGCUAAGGUGAUUUCAAAACUCUAUCAUCACUAUCAUGCCAAAUAAGAAUUCAAAACAACAUCAUAAAGAAGUGGCAGUUUGUGUACCUGAAUUGCAACUUAAGCGCUAUCAUAAAACAUCAAAGUUAGUUUAAGCAACAAGAUAUAUAACAUACAAUAUGCUUUUUACUCUAUUCAAAGAAUUAGGCACAAAUCAAAUCAAUCUGAAACACAAUCAAGCAUGAAGGUACUUCACACACAAAGCAUAUCUAUUUAUAGAACUUUGAAAGAUAAGAAGAGGAGAGACACACCUGGAUAGCAUGCAUAAUUUAUAAGGUUCUUCCAAAAAUGCUAGAGUGGUUAGGACAACCAUAAAUUAUACAACAUCCUUAUUAUGUCUAAUAUAUAGUAUCAGAGCCAAAGUCGAGCCAAGAUAAGUUAAAUGGCUCCAAAAUAAAUAACAAAUUCAAGAUAAGUACAAGAUCAUUAACAUGUAGUUAGAAAAGGAAGCAUCACAAAACAAUUUCUUAAAAAAAUAUCUUGGAGUGGAAUUUAAUUAUAAAAAAAAAAUCAGAAAAUAACUCCUACACAUCUAGAACAACAUACAAAAAACCAAACACAUUCAAAUGACAGACUGCAUCAAAGACACAUAAAAGUUGUAGAAGGUCCAGAUUAGGUAAACAAUAGUGACAUACAUAAACCGAUUUUUUUUUUAAAUAAUAAUAAAUCACAUAAAAUUGUACAAAAAAUCAUGCACAUCGAUCAAAGUGUCUAAACCACAGAAAAAAUGAAUCCAUAGUCAGAUAGAACUCAAAAUAUUUUUAGAACACCCAAGCUAAUUAGAUGUCCAGAAUCCAUCAUGUAUAGUAGGUAUGACUUUGAAAAAUCAUAUCUCCCUCAAAAAGGCAUAGUUUUUAAUAUUUUAUGUGUCAAAAUUUAAUUUCAAGAAGUCAAAAAUCUAGGAAAAAUAUUCAUUUAAAUUAGAAAGAUUAGAAAACACUUUAAGUUUUCAAUGAUCUCUUAAGUGUGUAGAGGUACUCCUAAAUAGAGAAUGCUGAAAGAGAUGAUCAUAACUCAACUUUAAGAAAAGAUUUCUGACUCAAAUAAUAUUCUAGAAUCAAGUUCAAGAAGUAAGGAAAAUCAUAAAAGCUUUCAAAUUUUUUUAAAAUACUCUAAAGUUGCUCAAAUGAAUUUUAAAACUAAAGGGUCAGUAAUUGAAUGAAAACUGACAACAAAUAAGAGUUUUAAAAAAUUUCCUUAUGUAAGGGUUCCAUCAAGUCCCCAUUCAAUUUCUAUAAGUUUUAUCUAUAUAUCCCCAUUAAUUUGGGAGUACAAGUCCAAACCUAUGUGAAUAAAAUAAAAAUAAAAACAAAAUUUUUGAAAAACCAACAAAGGAGAAAUGCAACUUAGAUAAAAUGAAUUGCAUAAUUUUAAUAGAAAAUGUGUUCUUUACCUAAAGCUAGAAUGAAUGUUUUUCUAAAGCCUUUUAUUGGUGAUUUAAAUGCUUUUGAAAAAGAUUUUAAGGGAACCAGAAAGAGACCCAAUGAUAGACACAAAAUAACUAUUUUUGAUUUCUAACUUAAAAAGGCUUUGAAAAUAAGAGAAAAGCCAAACUUAUGAUGGAAAAAAAAAAUCAUUUUUGACAAGUGAAGAGAAAUUUUGAUUCAAUAACAAUUGGAUAGUCUUUAAAAGGAUCGCAAACCAAACAAAAAUUUUAUUCAUAUUAAUUAAUUUUCCUAAAUCAAAUAAAAAAAAGAUUCAAUCAAAAUAAAUAUUUUAUUUGAAAAGAUUAAUUUUCUAAAACAAGUAAAUAAGAUUCAAUUGAAAUUAUUAUUAAUAAACUUAAGACAUAAACCAACCAAAUUUCCAAAUAUAAAUAAACAAUAUCAAAACAAACUCAAGACAUAAACCAAUUAAAUUUCUAAAACAAAUAAAUAGUAUCAAAAGGAAUGCUAAUGAACGUGAGAUGUGAACUAACCAAAUUUCUAAAAUGAAGAAUAGGGUCCAACCAAAACAAUUAUUUUAUUCGAUCUAACUAACCAAAUUUUAUGGAACAAGUAAAUUACGAUAAAAUCAACCAAGGACUAAUAUUAGUGGUCUUAAAACAUAUUAUAGUUACGUUGGAUCAAUCAAAAUAUAACCAAAAAAAUUCUAGGACAAAUAACUAAAUAAAUGCAAUCAAGGGUUAAUAUUAAUGACUUUAAAAAUACAAUCAUAGUUACAUAGGAUCAAUCAAGACUAGUAUUUUAAUUUUUUUUUAAAAGGGGGUUAACCAUGAGAUCAAUUAAAUUAAUAACUCAUAAUUCUAAUAUAUAUAUAUAUAUAUAUAAACUAAAAAAAAUCAAUUAAAGACUAAAAUCUAUUAACUUGGACAUGGAUAUAUUCACAGGAUCAAUUAAAUUAAAAAACUAAAAUUCCGAAGACAUGUAAAUUCGAUAAAAUAAUCCAAGGACUAAAAUUUAUUAACUAAGUUAUGGAUUUAUCCACGGGCUCAAUAAAACAAUAAACUAAAAAAAUGCUAAAGCUAUCUAAACUAAAGUAGGACGGAUUUAAACUAAGUGAGAACGGAAUUAAAACAUGAACUAAAAGCUAGAUUAUGAACUAAAAUUAUCACGUGGAAUCAAUUAGUAAGAUGAACUAAAAUUCUAAAAUUAUAAACAAGAUGAGGUGAACUCAAAACUAAAAGCUAGAUUAAACAAAGAUCCGAGUUUUCUUUUUCGGUCAAAUAUAAUGAAUCGGAAACUAGAACUAAAUAAGAUUCAAACUUUUUAAAUCUAAAACAAAGAAUCAAAUUAAACCGAAACAAGGAUGUAAUUUUUCGAUCUAAAACAAUGGAUCAAAAUUAAACAAAGUUUAGAUUUUCAAAACCAAAACAGAUUCUGUACUCACCUUUCUCCGCAAUCCCUUGGACUAUGUUAUAGAUGGUGCGGCCUGUGGAUGUGUUCACUUGCAGGUACGGCUGUGAUUGGGGAUCGUUGGAGAACGUGUGCUACUGCCUUCUCCGUUGAUGACGAUGUUGUCUAGAACUCCUUCGUUAGUGGGAGUGUUUCUUGUGAUUUAUAGCCCACCUUCCAGAUUCUCACGUGAAGGAGCAGUCCGCCCUUGUGAAUGUGCGUGAUUCACUUUUGGAUGGGAUGCGGCUGCUACUGAAUUCGAAUCAUAUACAGUCAAUGAAUGGUGCGUCAAUGGGAUGGAUAUAUUGUUGAGUGGGGUGUCGGUGGAGAGAAAUUUCUGAUCAGCAUGCGCGCUCGUGCCCUUGGAGAUGCAGCCAUGAAGAUCCUCGAGUGGCCUGCGUGCAUGAAAAAAAUAUAUACUGUGCACCAAAAUUUGUUUUUUUCAACUCCGCAGCUGCUUGGUGGUCCUUCAAAAGUGCGAGUAGGCUGCUCUAUAUGGUUCCAAAACCGACUGCCCUUCCUGAAUCUGUGCUGAAAGUCCCUCUUUUCUAAAACCACUCCCGAAGUCUGCUCUCGGCUCUCUGUGUUUUCCUCGCACUUAUCCAAAACACCAGCCCCAUUUUCAUUAGCGUUUGGCAACCGUCCCAUGCGUGGAGGACUCCUCCUUUCUCCAAAUUCUAUGUUUCCUCCUCUUAAUAAAAUCAUUUUAAAAUAAUAAUAAUAAUAAUCAUAAUAAUCUGUGCAUAUCACCCAUGGAGUCCCACCUUUUUCAAAAACUUCUUCACCUCUAUUUUAACUCCCUGGUGAUCUUCAAUAAGGCCCUUCUUUUCCUUUUCAAAGUCUUACCAAAAAUUAACUCUUCCUUACCCGUAGGUAAAUUUUCCUAUAAAAACAUAAGAUUAUUAAAUCAAGUAAAUGAAUAAAAAAAAUUAGAGAAAGAUAAAAUAAUAAUAAUCAAUAAAUGAAUAAAUAGCAAAAUAAAAAUAAAUAUAAUAAAUGAUUAAAUAAAAGUGAUUGAUAAUAAUAAUAAUAAAAAUAAAAACAAAUAAAUAAGUAAAUAAGAAAAAUGAGCCAUGCAAGGCAUGCAACCAUGCAAGUUAUACAAGUCACGCUAAGAAUGUCUAAUGGGCCAAGUGACCUAGGUGGGCCUAAGAUGGGGCCUAAUGGGCCAAGUGUACCUAAAUGAGCCUAAGGCGAGUCUAAGUGGGCUUAACUAAGUCUAACCUAAAGUGCACCUGAGUGAAGCUUAAUCUAAACUCGAAUGGCAGCCAAGAUCACAAUGAGGAGUCAAAUAAACCUCUCAACCAAAGUCUCCGAGGUGGCUAAGAGAAGACAAGCUAAAUGAGUAGUAAUGGCCCAUUGGGGAAUUGCUAUAAAGUACCAAACGAACACUAAUAGGAAAUGUGCUAGGAAGGCAAAAUGGAAGGUCUACAACUCGACUAAUUAAUUAGCAACCUAGGCUAAUUGAAUGAUAUUUUUGAAGUACUGUUCUAAUUGAUUAAUUGGAGUCAUGUUAUGUUAAUUAAUCAAUUAGCAAUCUUUUUAGAUUGGAUUAAGAGACCCAAACUCAUGGUGGACAAUGGACCACAUUUUUCUCACAUGUUCCCACUUGAUGGUAAGACUCACUUUUUUAUUUGUGAAAAUUUAAUUUUUAGAAAAAGACUUGGAAUCGCCGCUUAUUUUUCUUUUAUUUUCUUAAAGGGAAAACAAAAUAAGAAAAAAAAACCCUAAGUGUAAAUCUUGAAAGGAAAGACGGGUAUGUGAAAAUUGAGUUGAGUCUGGGGGUCAGGUUACUUAUCGGGAAGAUACGGUAAUAAACUAUAACACUCCUCUAAGCCUUAAAGUUAGGUCUCUACUAAUUAAGGUAAGAUAAUUAUGGCGAUUGAUUAAUUAAUCUGAUGGAUACCGAGGAUGAUCAUGAUAAUAAUAAGGAAUAACUAAGCAAGAUAGAUUCGAAGUGUGCCUUAGUAGUGAGCAAUAAUAUGCUUAAAGAGAAAAUAGGGUUAGUGCACAACAAUAAUAAGCAUAAAAUAUCUCAUGUAUAUUCCAAAGCAAGGCUAAAUCAGUCAUUUAUUUAAUAAACACAGUAAUUAGAAUGAAUUAAUAAAGGAGUACGUCAUGUAUAUUGGGUUCCACUAUUUCCCAUUCUAUUUCUACAUGGACUAAUUAUAUAAAUUUCACUAAUCUAGGAAUUAUAAAAUUUAUUUAUGUUUAUUAAAAACAAGAAUAUCAGAAAAUUAUUAAAAACAAAUUCAGUGAAAAGUGCUUGUCGAAGGAAAAUGGUAGCAAAUAGGACCAGGGUGUAAGCAAAAUAAAUAAAUAAAAAAAAUCAAUCCAAACCAACCACAAUAGAUCAUAUCGGUUCGGUUUUCAAAAAUAAAAAAGGUGAGGUCGAUUUGCAAAUUUUGAAAACCGAUCUUAUCGGUUUGAUUUUUUAUUUUCUUGUUUCCUGAUUGAUAAAAACUGAACCAAAUAAAUAUUCUAAAACUUAUAUAUAAUUGCUUCCUGAUUUUUGAAUUUCGAGGAUCGAUCCGACGUCAUUUUGGCGCCGCUGAUGAUGCCGUUAUUGGCGAUCUUGGGGUCAUUUAAGGCCGCAGUAAAUAAUAAAAAAAAAGGUAUUAAUAUGGUUUGGAUUGGGCUACCAUUUUGGAUGGAUUGGGUUGCACCAACUUGGGUCAAGGAAUACUUUUGAGCCCUGUUUCAUCCAUCCCAUGGUAUCAUAUCUAAAAUAGAUAGAUAUAUCAUUGUUUUACCAUCUGUUUAAUUAUCAAAUCUAAAACCUUUCAUUAAAAAAAAAAAAAAAAAGCCACUGUGGGGCUCAAACCCAUGAGCCCAAGGUUGAGAACAUUGCGCUCAACCAACUGAGCUAUGAGACCCUUCUAUUUGUUUAUGAUUCUGUACUUUAAAAAUUGUGAUUCAGAUAAAUUUUUGUAUUAUCUUUUCUGUACCACAUUAAAUAUAGGAAUUUAUCAUUUCUUAUUACAUUAAUGUUUAAUAGUUUUAAAAUAAUUGAAUUAUAUAUAUUUGUUACCAAAAGUAACUUAUAUUAUAUAAUUUUAUUUAUUUUGAAAGAUGUAAACAUGUUAUUAUUGUAUCAAAUAAUCGGCUCAAAGGAAGAUUAUUUUAAUAUAAUAAUAAAUAAAGUAGUCAUAAAUAUGUGACAUAUAAAGUUUAUCUUGCAUGAUGUAUGUCAGUCCAAAGAUAGGCAUAUUGCUUCGGUUUUAUUAUCAAUAUUUAUGAAUUAAUUUUGCAAAGGAUACCAAUUACAAGUUAAUAUUUAUUGUCCAAAGACUGAAUAUUAAUGUUUGUGUUAGGUAUCUUGUAAUAGGCCCACAUGCAUAUACAUAUAUAUGUUAAAAUUUUAUUUAUUCAUGUAUGUAUGAUAUUUUUGUGACUGAUUCUAGGCUUUAUUGUUAUGAAUUCAGCAUCUUCUACAUCUGCAAAUGUUAAUAACAUUAUUGUGCUUAAUGGCACAAACUUCAAGAAAUGGAAGGAGCACAUUAUAAUUGUGCCCGGGUGCAUAGAUUUGGACUAUACAUUAAUAGAUGAUCACCCUCCAGACCUUACUAGUGCCAGCACUAUUGAGCAAAGGGUUGUUAUGGAAAAAUAGGAGCGAUCCAAUUGCAUGAGUCUAAUGAUAAUGAAGCACUCAAUUCUAGAAGCUAUAAGGGGUGCAAUACCUGAGGAAACCCAAUCCAAGACAUUCUUGGACCAAAUAGCAAACCGAUUCGCUGCAAAUGAAAAGGUUGAGACAAACACUAUUCUUAGUAAGCUUGUCUCCAUGCGGUACUAAGGGAAAGAGAAUAUAAGGGAGUACAUAAUGGAAAUGUCCAAUCUUGUGACUAGACUCAAGGCACUAAAGUUAGAGUUGUUAAAAGACAUAGUCGUGCACUUAGUCUUGAUCUCUCUGCCUACACAAUUUAGUGCAUUCAAGAUCAGUUACAACACACAAAAGGAAAAAUGGACUCUAAAUGAGAUUAUUGCUCAGUUUGUACAAGAGGAGGAGAGAUUGAAAUAAGAGAAGAUAGAAAGCGCUCAGUUGGCUUCUACAUCUUAGGGAUUUGAUACCAGCAAGAAAACAAAAAGGGACAAUAAAGGAAAACAAACUGAAUUUUCUGGGACAUCAAAGCAAAAGGUGCAGAAGAAACAAGAUAAGGAGAUCACUUGUUUCUUUUGCAAGAAGGUUGGUCAUAUGAAGAAGACAUGUACUAAAUACGCUGCUUGGCGUGAAAAGAAAGGUACACUUCUCAACUUUGUUUGUUUAGAAAUUAAUUUAGUUAUAGUGCCUACUAACACUUGGUGGAUAGAUACGGGUGCAACUACUCACAUAAGUGUCAAGAUGCAGGGGUUGCCUAAGGAGUCGAAUGCCAACUGAUAGUGAAAGAUACAUCUAUGUGGGAAAUGGCAACAAGGCUGCAGUCAAGGCUAUUGGUCUUUUUAGAUUACAAUUAGACUCUGGAUGUACUUUGGAUUUGGAAGAGACUUUUGUAGUACCAUUGUUUAGACGGAAUUUAAUUUCUGUUUCAUGUCUAGACAAAUGUGGAUAUUAUUGUUCAUUUAGAAAUACAAUGGUUAGUCUUUAUCUAAAUUCAAAUGUUAUAGGUACAAGUAGUCUAACAGACAAAUUAUAAAAAUUGAACAUAAAGGCCUCUAGUGGAAAUGAAACCUUGCAUUCAAGUAAUUAUGGCAUUAAGUGAAAAUUAACAAAUGAGAAUUCAUCAAUGUUAGGGCACAUACGUUUUGAUCAUAUUUCAAAUCAACGUAUUCAAAGGCUUGUGUCAGAAGGAAUUCACGAUCCACUUGAUUUCUCAUACUUUCAAGUCUAUAUAGAGUGUAUUAAGGGUAAACAAACAAAUAUGAAGAAAAAUGAUGUCAAUAGGUGCAGUGACAUCUUGGAAUUGAUACAUACAGACAUUUGUGGUCCAUUUCCUACCCCUUCUUGGAAUGAACAACAAUAUUUUAUCACUUUCAUUGACGAUUACUCAUGCUAUGGCUAUCUUUAUUUGAUUCAUGAGAAGUCUCAGUCAUUGGAUGUGUUCAAGAAUUUUAAAGCUGAAGUUGAGAAUCAACUAUGCAAGAAAAUAAAGGCCAUUAGAUCUAAUCGUGGAUGUGAAUAGUAUGGUAGAUAUGACGUAUCCGGUGAACAACGUCCAAGACCAUUUGCCAAAUAUUUGAUAGAGUGUGGUAUAGUUCCUCAGUACACCAUGUUGGGGACUCUAAGCCAAAAUGGUGUAGCAGAAAGGCGAAACCAUACUCUUAAGGAUAUGGUAAGAAGUAUGAUCAGUCAUUCCACCUUACCAGAAUCACUUUGGGGCGAAGCUAUCAAAACUGUAGUUUACAUUUUGAACAGAGUCCUAAGCAAAGCAGUAGCCAAAACCCCAUAUAAGUUAUGGACUAGCAAGAAACCUAGUAUUAGGCAUUUGCAUGUCUAGGGUUGUCCAACUGAGGCUAAACCUUACAAGCCAAAUGAAAAGAAAUUGGACUCCAUAACAAAGAGCUGCUACUUUGUAGGGUAUUCUGAAAGGUCGAGAGAUUUCAAGUUUUAUGACCCUUAAACUAGAUCUUUCUUUGAAAUGGGCAAUGCUAAGUUCAUUGAGGAUGUUGAGUUAAGUAGGAGAUAGUCAUUAAGAAAGGUGGUCUUUUAAGAGGAAUCUGUUAGUAUUCCUAUUAUUACAACUAGACAUGGUCAUAUUAUGUUUGAUGACACUAUCCAUAAUGUAUAACCAAUAACAAAGAUUGUAGACAUACCUGAGAUUCCUCCUACUCAAGUUAUAGAACUAGUUCAAGUUCAUGAAGAGGUAACUCAACAACCUCAAGAACCUCAAGUACAAGUGCCACUGAGGAGAUCCAUUAGAGAAAGGAGAAGUACAAUUUCAGAUGAUUAUGUUGUAUAUCUCUAGGAACAUGAGUUUGACAUUGGUCUAGAAGACGAUCCAAUUUCAGUUAGUCAAGUCAAACAAAGUUCUGACUUUGAAAAGUGGAUAGAAGCCAUGAAAGAUGAGAUGAAAUCAAUGAAAGACAAUGGUGUUUAGGACCUAGUAGAGUUGCCUGAAAGUGUAAAAUCGAUUGGUUGUAAAUGGAUUUUUAAGACUAAGCAAGAUUCAAAAGGCAACAUUGUUAGGUAUAAGGCACACCUUGUCAUAAAAGGUUUCACUCAAAAAGAAAACAUUGAUUAUAAGGAGACCUUUUCACCGGUUUCGUUAAAGGACUUCUUUAGAAUCAUCAUGGCACUUGUGGCUCAUUAUGAUUUAGAGCUGCAUCAAAUGGACAUUAAAACUGCGUUUCUUAAUGGUAACAUUGAUGAGACAAUAUACAUGGAGCAACCGGAGAACUUUGAAUCUAAUGAUUCAAAGCAACUUGUAUGCAAAUUAAAAAAGUCCAUAUUUUAAAGUAGACAUCCCGAAAAUGGUACCGAAAGUUUGAUCAGGUGAUUACUUCAUUUGGUUUUAAGGAGAACAUCAUUGAUCAAUGCAUAUAUCUCAAGUUCAGUGGGAGCAAAUUCAUUAUCUUGGUGCUAUAUGUAGAUGAUAUUCUACUUGCUAGUAGUGAUGUAGAACUUUUGCAUGAAACCAGGCUAUUUCUAUCUAGUAAAUUUGACAUGAAGGAUCUUGGUAAUGCUUCUUUUGUGUUGGAUAUACAAAUCUAUAAGGAUCGUUCAAGAGGUAUACUUGGGCUAUCACAAAAUUCCUACAUCGAUAAGGUGUUAAGUAUGUUUGGCAUGAGCAAUUGUGCACUAGGAGACACGCCUGUGGCAAAAGGCGAUAAAUUUAGUUUGCACCAAUGUCCGAAAAAUGAACUUGAGAAGAAGGAUAUGGAUAGGUUUCCCUAUGCCUCGGCAAUAGGAAGUCUCAUGUAUGCACAAGUUUGUACGCAUCCAGAUAUUGCGUACAUUAUUGGAAUGUUGGGCAGAUAUUUGAGUAACCCAGGUAUGGAUCACAGGAAAAAGGUAAAAUGGGUUAUACGGUAUUUACAAAGAACUAAAGAUUAUAUGCUCACAUAUCGAAGAUCCAGUCAUUUAGAGAUCGUGGGAUAUUUGGACUCCGAUUUUGUGGGAUGUCUUGACAGUAGGAGAUCCACUUCCGACUACGUCUUUAUGUUGGCUGGGGGAGCAGUUUCAUGGAAAAGUGUUAAACAAACACUUAUUGCUUCUUCCACCACGGAGGCAAAAUUCAUAGCCUACUAUGAGGCAUCAAACCAUGGGAUAUGGCUGCGGAAUUUUAUCACUCAGUUGCGAAUUGUUGAUGGAAUUGAGAAACCAUUGAGAAUCAAUUGUGAUAAUAAGGCCGCAGAAUUAUAUUCUAAGAACAACUGAAGUUCGUCAAAGUCCAAACACAUUGAUAUCAAGUUCUUGGUUGUAAAAGAAAGAUUUCAAAGUCUUCAAGUAUCAAUCGAACACAUAAACACAAACUCCAUGAUUGCGGAUUCACUCACUAAGGGUUUGCCACCCAAAGUAUAUCAUGAGCAUGUCACACAUAUGGGUGUUGUACAUAUUGAUGAUGUGCUAGUAUAGUGGGAGUUUGUAUUUAGAUUUUGUGUUUGUUUUCUUGAUGUGUUAUUAUGUUUGUGUUAUAUGUACAGACCUUGGUUUUAAAGACUAUUGUGUUUGAAUACUCUGAAUUGAAAUGAUGACUUUCAGAAGCAGUUUAGCAUCAAGUGUUGAAAGUGGAAUUUGACUAUUUUUAGUCAUAAAGUAGGACCAAUUAGAAAUAGACAUAUUAAAGAUCAUAUUCUAUGUAAUUUCCAUGCUACACAUCCAUACUCGAUCCAUGUUGCUAAUUUUGUUAAUGUUGUGAUCAUUGAUGGGUUUAGUUAUAAUUAUGAUUAACGAAAACCGCUUUAAUCCUAUGUUAGCAUAAUUAGUAAACCCGAUUGUUUAAGGAUAUUUAAAUAGAAUAGCAAAGAUGAGCUCAAUAAAGUACUAUCAUGAACAUUGUUCUGUAAUAUAUGUGGUCUAAGUAGGAGAUUGUUAAAAUAACUAUGGACUCACAUAUGGAGCAUAGUUCUUGAUUAAGCUAUCCGUAUCUAUUUAAAUUUGUGUUCAUUGAGUAUGGGCCACCUUAUAUGUAGAGCCCAGUGCCAUAACAGGUCUUAGAUGAUGGGCCUAAGACACGUGAGGCCCAACAGUCUAAAGGGUAUGGUCCCUAAGGCAUAGAGGGUAUAUAAGGCAGGUGUCUCUUCAAUUUUUGAAUAUCUUUUGAAUAGAACAAAAUGCGCUCUCUCCCGCUUCCCAACGUUAGAGAGAUUACAAAAAUGGUGGUUUCCCCUCUAUAGCCUUAGAAGAUUCAUACCUUGUUCAAAACCAAAAGGCAAAAUGGACUCAAGUUCGUUCGUUUUCUAUAAAGAUGUCUGGCAUAAGUUCUUCAUAUGAUUUAACAUGCGAUCUCAGUCUGUUAUUGGAUUUUUGAAUGGACUUCUUUCAAAAGAAAAAUCUAGUUGGCUAUGUAGAUCAACAUAAAUGAACUUUAAUGCGAUACAGUUCCAUAUUCUGAAACCUGACCCAAUGAUGAAAUCAGAAAACCAAAGAGUAAUGGGUAGAGGAUAAAACCAAGCCAUGGUUAGCAUCUUGCAUUGGAGACACGAGAAUUACACGAGCUGCGGAAGCGUCAUGAUUGUUGACGUAUUUAAAUUCUAGACUCUUCAAAGGAUCACAAGCAGACAUGGUUUCCUCCAAAGGAGCCGAACCAUCUAAUCAAUUGGAAAAAUACCCAUAGUUCUAAGGACGGAAAGAACGUUAAUCGUGCUGUUGGAACAUGACCUUGAUUGUCAUUGUUAGAAUGAAGAGACAUUUGCUAGAGUUAGUUUGGUGAAGUAGGUGUUAGGCAUUGAAGCUAAGUUACAGACAAAGGAGGCAAUAACAAAUGAUUUUGAGAUGUAAUUAGGCCCACCAUGGGUCUUCGCCUGUUCUAAAAUCUGUCUCAACCCAAGGAACAGACACUACCUUUCCAUCAUCAAUACAUGCAUGCGUCAGUGCCAAUGACAGAGAAACAAGUCCUCUAAUAACUUGACCCUGGCUAUUGUACUGAGAUCCAUGGCAUGGACAGAUGAACUUGUUCUCAAUUGCAUUCCAUGAUGCAACACACCCAAGAUGGGUGUAGACCGCAUUAAUUCCAUAGGUGGCAAGGGUGUGGUCAUUCCCCACAAUAAGGUAGGUGGGGUCUCCCUUCAAUGUGAUAAUGAAACAACACUGAAUUUUUUAAGGUAAGGUUUGUGGAUAGGUGAAAACACGUGCAUGGGGAGUUGCACCGAAGACUGACCCUACAUGAGGAAGUGACAUGCGUGUGGGGUAAGAAUGGAUUUAUUCUUUUAUCAGAAAUGCUGGGUCUUGCAAAUAUUUAUUGGUUGUCUCGAGGGAUAAAUCAAGUGAAUCAAUGGCGGGCCAACCUAUAAAAGAAAACUGUAGCUUCCAGUUUACCGCAUGCAGACAUCUUUCCUUGAAUUUGGUGCAAUCUAUGUUCUUUCAGCCAUCAUCACAAGCAAGUAAUCUCAUUUCUCAUAGGCAGUGUAAGACUUCUUUUGAUUCACAAAUUUUCUGGGAGAUUUCCUAUUUGGAAAACAUCAAUGCAACAGCCUGAAUUAUCUUUCCCAUGCCCAGGUGACAGUCAAGUGAAGAGGACUCAGUGAUGCUUCUGAAAAGCUUCUAAGAAGAGACCAUACAGGAGUGGGCCCCAAGGAUGAUGUGAUCCAGAGAAUUGGUUACCAAUAGUUUCAUUCAGUAUUAACGCCUUUGACUGUAGUUGGGCCAUCAACAAGGCUUUUUUCUAUCCUCAUCUCUCAUAGCUCAUGGACUUUAUAAAGGGGAUAUAGUAAGCAGUGGAGCAUCAUAGAUUUCUAGAGAGGGUUCUAUUUGACGGAAGCCUUUCUGUGAAUGCUCUCCCUUCCAUUGUCGGUGGCCUAAAUAAAGGAGCCCCCUUCUAUUGACCAUAAUAUCAAGUUGGAUUUUGAUAACCAACUUCCUAAUGUAUCUCCACACGUCAGCUACAAAUGGAUGACUUUUUGGACCAAAAUUCAAACAUUCUCAUGUGAAAAAAACACUAAGAGCAAGGCCCACUCAAGCACAUAUAAGGCAUCAGCUUUAUCUACUGGAGAGAUUGACAUGAAGCUAAAUCCAAAAUAAAUGAAGACCAACCGAUUGGCACCACUCUGUAUCAACAUGCUUGAUGUGGGGAAACCAUCAAGAAUAAGACCACAAUCACGCAAGCUUUCUGAUUGCACCACCAAACUGCUUUGCAAUAUCAUACAUCCAUUCUUCAGCAAAAUCAUGCAACCUAAAAUCAAGAAAUAUAUCUUUGACCACUAGAUCCUCCAUAGACUCAAACGUUAGUGCCUACAGCUCAGGGUCCACAGUGUUCAGUAUUGGAGUUGCUACUCCUAGAAGACCCCAAACACACCAGAAAUAGGGAGUACAAAAAAGAGCAAGAAUAGAAUAAAAAAGAGCAUAAAUAAAUGAAUCAAAGACCACUAAACUUAGCAUUCAUGGGUGCCGAUAUGCUACACACAGAUGAGAUCACCAGAAUAUGAUCCAUGGAAGUAAGGAUAGUAACAAGAUGCCCAAGUGACAUAGUAAAGAUGAAACAAAGUUAUGAUGCUCUCAAACCAAUCUCAAAAGAAAAUGAAUAAACCAACAAAUAAUAAGCUCACAAGUAUCCGAGAAUCAACAUAAUACAAAUCCAUAUCUUUUAACAUCCAUACCCAACCAAAUAAUACACAGAUAUAGCAAGAGAAGAGGGAAAAAAUAUGACAAUAAAGAAAAACAAGGGGUCUAUGACAGCCAUACCUGAAAGUGUUCCUCUCCAAAACGAGCUGCUAAUGGAGAUGACAUCCUCCUCCGGAUCUGAAAAUAUCCAGAAGUCCAAGAUCUCUGAUUGUGGAUGUCAGUAUGUCACGACCCAAAUUCCUGGCCACCUAGAAUUUGGCCUAUGACCCCAGGUCAAAAGUUUGACCCUAAGGGUUCUUCCUAAUCCAAGUUGGCGGUCAACCAAAAUGCCCUAAUUUUUUGUUUUUUGUUUUUUAAACAUAAAUCACACUAAAACUCCCUCAAACUAACAUUCCAAUUCAUCAAUAUGCAAACAACUCAAGAUCAAUAACAAUAAGAUUUCCAACCCAAGUUUAAAAUGGAGGUCCAUAAUAUGAGUAAGUUUAAUCCAAAAUAAGUCCAUAUAAGAUUACAUAAUUUAACAAUCUGUUAGAACAUGUUUUCAAAUGACUAAACACAACAAAAUAUGACAAGUCCUCUAAGCUACUCCAAAAUCCCCUAGGGUAUCCUGAAGCUCUCCUUGUCCCAUUUGUGGAUCCUUAGGAGUCACAUCUACAUCUAAAAAAAAUAUAAGAAAGAGGGGGUAAACAUUCCACAUUGCUCAGUAAGGUGCCUUACACCCAGGGAGGAGGAGGUUAAUUGGGAUUACUGAGUUUAAAGUGUACACAAAAUAUACAUUCCACCACAAAUUAAUCAACCCAAACAUUUUAAUUUCUAUAAUUAUAACAAUUCAAUCAUUUUCAACAAUUAAAUAUAAUGCAUGUGGAUAUGUGACACAUAGUCGUACAAUACACUGUCACUCUUGGGCUUUUACCGAAUCAUAUGCGUCCAUACCCAAAUACACUCCUCAUUCGAAGUCUUCUCGAGGUAGAUUUUUAGGUCUCUCACCCUAGGGAUCUUACUCCCUUCUUAAUUCGCCUCUCAUGGACCUUUACUUUUCAUCAUCAUUUUAUUAUUCUUUCAUUUAACUUUUCAACAAUUUUUAUUUUCUUUCACACAACCAUAAUGCAUAUGAAAUGCAAUGAAAUUACACAUCAUCAUUCACAAAUAUCAAAGAAAAUUCUCAUUAAUCCAAAUAUUAGUAAAACACAAUUUAUAUCAUAAUUUUUAUUUUAUUUAUUCUCAACAAUCUCAUUAAUUUUAAUAACCAAACACUAUCAUUUUCCACAAUUGAAUUACCAACAACAUCCCAAUAAAUUCUCAAUAAUCUCGAUAUCAAUCAAACAUAAUUUCUACCAUAAUUUUAACAACCAAACACAAUCUUUUUCCACAAUUAAAUUAUCUCAUUAUCCCAAAAAUUCCAAAGAAAAUUCCUAAAUCACCCGAUAAAAUUUCUCAUAUCACUAAUAUUACAUAUUAAACUUUCAACAAUGAGAUUUAUAAAUUUUUUUAAAGAAAAAUGCAUUAAAUAAAUGUUUUAAUGUUAAGACUCCCUACCACAAAUCUAAUAAUCCAACUGAAAACGAAAUCUGACAUUGUACAAAUGUUCUUUGUGUUCAAUAGAGUGUUCCCUUGAAAUUUCACACGAAAUGGAUGGCGUUUGGCUGUCAAAAUGGUCGGCCAAGGUGGACGUCACUUUCUUCUUUUCACAGUUGCCAUGCAGCUCCCCCUUUUUGUAAGUUUUUUUUAAUUAACUAGUUUCAAUUAUUUUAUUUUAUUAUAUUCUAUUAUUAUUAUUAUUGAUUACUACUCAAAAAGUGUUAUUUGAUAGCCUUUAAUUAAUCCUUUUUAACACUUUUGAGUAGUAGUUUAGGCCUUUUAACUCAAUUGGCAUGUUAAGGAUCCUUUAAAGCAAUUUUGAUCACUUUGUGCAAGUUUUGGUGUUUUUGUUAGUAUUUUGAUCACCAAAGCAAGUCAAGAAUGAGGAGAGCUAUGAGGAAUCAUGGGCAAAGCUUAGAAUUCAAUUGCCAAGAGUGAAUCCGGAUUGCAAGGAGAAAAAGCAAAGAGAAUCUGUCAUGGAGCAUAUUCUUGAUGACAGUCGUAGCAGCCACUUUUGGAGUACUUUCUGAAGUCCAAAUGAUGCAAGCUAUAUACCAUUUCAAAGCUCAGGAAUUCAACAAUCCAAUGCUUCAAACGGUGCACGAUUCGGAGUUGAAACGAAGAAGUUGCAGCCAUUACAAGUCAAUCACUCUAAAGUGUUGCGGAAUCAGCAUUUUGUUGCGAGAAUUUCGCAGCACUUUUGUACAGUAAGGUGUUUCUCCUUCUGACGAUGCACGAACCAUGCCGCGAGAAGGGAGCUGGAAACUUCAAGGUGGAAGCCAACUUCGCAGCCCUCUUGGGUGUCUGCGAAAUUUCGCAGGCACCACUUUUCUCCUGCGAAAUGGCUCCUGAAGCCUCCCGAAGCUUGCUACCGACAUUGGGAGAUAUUUUCCAUUAGAUUUUUGUUGUCUAAAUCCCAAAAUAAUCCUUGUAAACCACCAAUUACAUGAUUCCUUAGUUUUUAAGUUAGUAAAAAGACCAAAUAUCUAUGUAAUAAUUAGUUUUAUAUUGCUUUGAUAUAAAUACCUCUCGGGAGCAUGUUCUCGAAGAGGAGUUCUUUCUGUAACCAUUUGGUAAGCAAGUAAAGUCUUUUCUUUCUACUGCCUUACCUUCUCACUUUGUAUUUUCAUUUUAUUUCUAAGUUAUGAAUUCUCUGAGGAGUUUUCCCCAGAGAAUGAGUAACUAAACCUCCAAUUCCUUGGAGCUAAGGUUGCCGGGGAAGGUUCCAAGUGCAAGAAUGCAAAGCUCUGUGGUUUUAGCUAGUAAUGAAGAGGAAGUGAAAUCCUUUAGUGAUUUCAAUGUUUUUAGUUAACUUAAAACACCUUGGAGUCACCUGGGCCAAUACUUGGUAAGGCAAGUGAUUUCCAACCGUGGAGAUGCACUAGUUUACCCCUUGCGAGCCUCUGGUAGGUGACUUCAAGGUAGGAUUUUCUGGAAUUACCAACACUUGGUAAGCUUUUGGACUCUUAGGAGGCAUCCAUUAGUUAUCUCUUGCGAGUUUGUGAAGGGGAAUCCAAGGUUAAAGAUCACCUUGAAUGGUAAGUGCUCGUGAGAGGCAUGAACCAUUGCAAGUUGCAUCAGUGAGAGAAUUAAAGUGAAAUCUAAUUGAAGGAGUCUCUGUACAUCACCGGUUAGAGAAUUGACUCUAAGUUGAAUCUCUAAUGCGAGGAAAUGAACCAUCUGACCGGAGCUAUGUAUUUUGCAUGAGGAACCACCCCAGUGAACCUAAAUCUCCAAGGAAUGCUUUUCUUCCUAAAUUAUUCCAAACUUCUGUUAAGUUAGUUAGUUUAAGUCUAAACCUUUACCAAUCAAACUUUGUGUUUUACUUCUUAAGCUAACCGUGAAAUGAAACAAGACCAAUUCACUUGGAAUUGGUAUCCUUGAUUGCUUGUUCAUCAUUCCCAGUGAACGAUCCUAGAGCCACUAUACUAUAGUAGCUUUGUAUUUGCUACCCUAGUGUAUGGUGUUAUAGGUAUAAAUUUUGUUGAUCACUUCCUCAAUCAAGGAGCACCAGCUGAACACAAAUCAGCUGAGACACCAAUUGGGCAUGAGUCAAAUGGCGCCGUUGCCGGGGAAUGAGUGUCAAGUUCAUUAUGAAACCAUUUUUUGAGCACUUGUGAUUUUCAUCACAAGUUGGUAAAGUUUCUUUCACUUCACUAAUUUUCAUUCUCUCUUUGUUUAUUUACAAUCUAAGUUUAUCUUUUUAAAUUUUAGUCUAGUUUAAUUUUUCUGUUGUAGUCCUCUGUUCUUGUUGCCCUCUGUUUGCAUUUUAGUUGCAGCUGAAUACUAGUUGUGUAUGCCCAAGUGGAUACGAGACAUUGGAGGUAGGCUUGUUAAGUGUGAUACACCUCAGAGAUGAGAAUUUGAAGUAAUCUUGAAUAUCAUGGAGGCUGCAUCUGAAGAUCAGCAUAGUCACCAAGGUCGUCAAGACAAUCUCAAUGAAUUCAGAUCAAUGAGGGACCGUAUGCAUCCACCUCGUAUGAGUGCACCAUCAUGUAUAGUGCCCCCUACAGAGCAACUAGUGAUCAGACCAUAUCUUGUUCCACUUCUACCAACUUUCCAUGGGAUGGAAAGUGAGAAUCCAUAUGCACACAUCAAGGAAUUUGAAGAUGUUUGUAAUACAUUCCAAGAGGGAGGAGCUUCAAUUGACUUGAUGAGGCUUAAGUUAUUUCCUUUUACUUUAAAGGAUAAGGCCAAAAUUUGGCUUAAUUCUUUAAGGCCAAGGAGUAUCCGCUCUUGGACUGAUUUACAAGCUGAGUUCCUUAAGAAAUUUUUUCCUACUCAUAGAACAAAUGGCUUGAAAAGGCAAAUUUCAAACUUCUCAGCUAAAGAGAAUGAGAAAUUCUAUGAGUGUUGGGAAAGAUACAUGGAAGCUAUAAAUGCUUGUCCUCACCAUGGCUUUGAUACUUGGCUAUUGGUGAGCUAUUUUUAUGAUGGUAUGUCCUCCUCAAUGAAGCAACUCCUCGAGACAAUGUGUGGAGGAGAUUUCAUGAGCAAAAAUCCAGAGGAAGCUAUGGAUUUCUUGAGCUAUGUAGCUGAUGUUUCAAGGGAUGGGAUGAACCAACUAAAGGAGAAGUGGGAAAGAUGAAGUCUCAGUUGAAUGCUUACAAUGCAAAAGCUGGGAUGUAUAAUUUGAGGGAAGAUGAUGACAUGAAAGCAAAGUUGGCAGCUAUGACNNNNNNNNNNNNNNNNNNNNNNNNNNNNNNNNNNNNNNNNNNNNNNNNNNNNNNNNNNNNNNNNNNNNNNNNNNNNNNNNNNNNNNNNNNNNNNNNNNNNGGCUGAAAAGGCAAAUUUCAAACUCUCAGCUAAAGAGGAAUGGAGAAAUUCUAUGAGUGUUGGGAAAGAUACAUGGAAGCUAUAAAUGCUUGUCCUCACCAUGGCUUUGAUACUUGGCUAUUGGUGAGCUAUUUUUAUGAUGGUAUGUCCUCCUCAAUGAAGCAACUCCUCGAGACAAUGUGUGGAGGAGAUUUCAUGAGCAAAAAUCCAGAGGAAGCUAUGGAUUUCUUGAGCUAUGUAGCUGAUGUUUCAAGGGGAUGGGAUGAACCAACCAAAGGAGAAGUGGGAAAAAUGAAGUCUCAGUUGAAUGCUUACAAUGCAAAGGCUGGGAUGUACAAUUUGAAAGAAGAUGAUGACAUGAAAGCAAAGUUGGCAGCUAUGACAAGAAGAUUGGAGGAGCUGGAGUUGAAAAGAAUACAUGAAGUGCAAGUUGUUGCUGAAGCACCAGUGCAAGUGAAGUUGUGUCCCAAUUGUCAAUCGUUUGAACAUUUGGUGGAGGAGUGCCCUGCAAUUUCAGCUGAAAGGGAAAUGUAUAGAGAUCAAGCAAAUGUUGUUGGACAAUUUAGGCCCAAUAACAAUUCACCAUAUGGAAAUACCUACAAUUCAAGUUGGAGGAAUCAUCCAAAUUUCUCAUGGAAAGCCAGAGCAACUCAAUACCAACAGCCGGAUCCACCAUCUCAGAAAUCUUCAAGUAUUGAACAAGCAAUAGCUAAUCUCAGCAAGGUAAUGGGAGAUUUUAUUGAAAAGCAAGAAGCCACCAAUGCUCGAGUUGAUCAAAGAAUGGAUGGAAUGCAAAAUGAUAUGAACCAAAAAUUUGAUAACAUCCAAUAUUCAAUUUCAAGGCUUACAAAAUUGAAUACACUGCAAGAAAAAGGAAGAUUUCCUUCUCAACCUCACCAAAAUCCCAAAGGUAUCCAUGAAGUGGAAAGCCAUGAGGGAGAAUCAUCACAGGUGAAAGAUGUGAAAGCUUUGAUCACUCUAAGGAGUGGUAAGAAAAUUGAGCAGCCAACACCCAAGCCACAUGUUGAGAAAGAAGAAGAGAUGAAGAAAGGGAAGGAAAUGGAAGAUAAAGGCAGUGAAAUCAGUGAAGAAAAGAAGGACUCUGAUGCAAAAAUGAAAGCAAUUCCAGAGAAAGAGCUUCUGAAGGAAGAAAUGCUGAAGAAAUCAACUUUUCCACCUUUUCCUCAAGCAUUACAGGGGGAAAAGGGGGUUAGAAAUGCAGCUGAAAUCUUAGAAGUAUUGAGACAAGUGAAAGUUAAUAUUCCACUGCUGGAUAUGAUCAAACAAGUUCCAACGUAUGCAAAAUUCCUAAAGGAUUUGUGUACUAUCAAAAGAGGGUUGACUGUAAACAAGAAAGCCUUCUUGACUGAGCAAGUAAGUGUAAUUUUACAGUGUAAGUCUCCUUUGAAGUAUAAAGACCCUGGAAGUCCUACCAUUUCAGUCAUGAUUGGAGGAAAGGUAGUGGAGAAAGCCUUGCUAGACUUGGGAGCAAGUGUGAAUUUGCUUCCAUACUCUGUCUACAAGCAACUAGGACUUGGAGAGUUGAAGCCAACAACAAUCACUUUAUCUUUGGCAGAUAGAUCAGUGAAAAUUCCAAGAGGGGUAAUUGAGGAUGUAUUGGUUCAAGUAGAUAAUUUCUACUAUCCUGUAGAUUUUGUUGUUCUUGAUACAGAUCCUACUGUAAAGGAAGCUAAUUUAGUUCCUAUCAUCCUUGGAAGGCCAUUUCUUGCAACUUCAAAUGCAAUCAUCAACUGUAGGAAUAGGCUUAUGCAACUCACUUUUGGUAAUAUGACACUGGAUCUAAAUAUUUUCUAUAUGUCUAAAAAGCAAAUCACUCCGGAAGAAGAAGAAGGUCCAGAAGAGCUAUGUAUUAUUGAUACUUUGGUAGAGGAGCACUGCAAUCAACAUAUGCAAGACAAGUUGAAUGAAAGUCUUGAGGAUAUUGAGGAAGGUUUUUCUGAAUCUCCUAUUGGGCUUGCUACUCUACAAAGUUGGAGAAAGAUAGAAGGAAUUCUACCUUUGUUCAAUAAAGAAGAGGAGGCAGCUGUUGAAAAAGAAAUUCCAAAACUCAAUCUGAAUCCUUUACCUGUGGAGUUGAAAUAUACAUAUCUUGAAGCAAAUAAUCAAUGUCCUGUUGUGAUAUCCUCAUCUCUGACCAGUCAUCAAGAGGAUGGUUUAAUGGAAGUUCUCAGGAGGUGUAAGAAGGCAAUAGGAUGGCAAAUAUCUGAUUUGAAAGGCAUUAGUCCUUUAGUUUGUACUCAUCAUAUAUAUAUGGAGGAGGAAGCAAAGCCAAUUCAUCAAUUUCAAAGAAGGUUGAAUCCUCAUCUACAAGAGGUGGUGCGAGCUGAGGUGCUGAAGCUACUUCAAGCAGGAAUCAUUUACCCUAUAUCUGAUAGCCCUUGGGUGAGUCCUACUCAAGUGGUACCAAAGAAGUCAGGGAUCACAGUUAUUCAAAAUGAAAAAGGGGAAGAAAUUACUACACGCCUCACUUCAGGUUGGAGGGUGUGUAUUGAUUAUAGAAAGCUGAAUGCUGUCACUAGGAAAGAUCACUUUCCAUUGCCAUUUAUUGAUCAAGUGCUGGAGAGAGUCUCUGGACACCCAUUCUAUUGUUUCUUGGAUGGGUAUUCAGGGUAUUUUCAAAUCGAAAUUGAUUUGGCAGAUCAGGAAAAGACCACUUUUACAUGUCCAUUUGGAACAUUUGCUUAUAGAAGAAUGCCUUUUGGUUUAUGCAAUGCACCUGCUACAUUUCAAAGAUGCAUGUUGAGUAUUUUCAGUGAUAUGGUGGAGAGAAUUAUGGAGGUUUUCAUGGAUGACAUCACCGUAUAUGGAGGUACAUUUGAGGAAUGUUUGGUUAAUUUGGAAGCAGUUCUUCAUAGAUGCAUUGAAAAAGAUUUGGUGCUGAAUUGGGAAAAAUGCCAUUUUAUGGUACGUCAAGGAAUUGUCCUUGGCCAUAUCNNNNNNNNNNNNNNNNNNNNNNNNNNNNNNNNNNNNNNNNNNNNNNNNNNNNNNNNNNNNNNNNNNNNNNNNNNNNNNNNNNNNNNNNNNNNNNNNNNNNNNNNNNNNNNNNNNNNNNNNNNNNNNNNNNNNNNNNNNNNNNNNNNNNNNNNNNNNNNNNNNNNNNNNNNNNNNNNNNNNNNNNNNNNNNNNNNNNNNNNNNNNNNNNNNNNNNNNNNNNNNNNNNNNNNNNNNNNNNNNNNNNNNNNNNNNNNNNNNNNNNNNNNNNNNNNNNNNNNNNNNNNNNNNNNNNNNNNNNNNNNNNNNNNNNNNNNNNNNNNNNNNNNNNNNNNNNNNNNNNNNNNNNNNNNNNNNNNNNNNNNNNNNNNNNNNNNNNNNNNNNNNNNNNNNNNNNNNNNNNNNNNNNNNNNNNNNNNNNNNNNNNNNNNNNNNNNNNNNNNNNNNNNNNNNNNNNNNNNNNNNNNNNNNNNNNNNNNNNNNNNNNNNNNNNNNNNNNNNNNNNNNNNNNNNNNNNNNNNNNNNNNNNNNNNNNNNNNNNNNNNNNNNNNNNNNNNNNNNNNNNNNNNNNNNNNNNNNNNNNNNNNNNNNNNNNNNNNNNNNNNNNNNNNNNNNNNNNNNNNNNNNNNNNNNNNNNNNNNNNNNNNNNNNNNNNNNNNNNNNNNNNNNNNNNNNNNNNNNNNNNNNNNNNNNNNNNNNNNNNNNNNNNNNNNNNNNNNNNNNNNNNNNNNNNNNNNNNNNNNNNNNNNNNNNNNNNNNNNNNNNNNNNNNNNNNNNNNNNNNNNNNNNNNNNNNNNNNNNNNNNNNNNNNNNNNNNNNNNNNNNNNNNNNNNNNNNNNNNNNNNNNNNNNNNNNNNNNNNNNNNNNNNNNNNNNNNNNNNNNNNNNNNNNNNNNNNNNNNNNNNNNNNNNNNNNNNNNNNNNNNNNNNNNNNNNNNNNNNNNNNNNNNNNNNNNNNNNNNNNNNNNNNNNNNNNNNNNNNNNNNNNNNNNNNNNNNNNNNNNNNNNNNNNNNNNNNNNNNNNNNNNNNNNNNNNNNNNNNNNNNNNNNNNNNNNNNNNNNNNNNNNNNNNNNNNNNNNNNNNNNNNNNNNNNNNNNNNNNNNNNNNNNNNNNNNNNNNNNNNNNNNNNNNNNNNNNNNNNNNNNNNNNNNNNNNNNNNNNNNNNNNNNNNNNNNNNNNNNNNNNNNNNNNNNNNNNNNNNNNNNNNNNNNNNNNNNNNNNNNNNNNNNNNNNNNNNNNNNNNNNNNNNNNNNNNNNNNNNNNNNNNNNNNNNNNNNNNNNNNNNNNNNNNNNNNNNNNNNNNNNNNNNNNNNNNNNNNNNNNNNNNNNNNNNNNNNNNNNNNNNNNNNNNNNNNNNNNNNNNNNNNNNNNNNNNNNNNNNNNNNNNNNNNNNNNNNNNNNNNNNNNNNNNNNNNNNNNNNNNNNNNNNNNNNNNNNNNNNNNNNNNNNNNNNNNNNNNNNNNNNNNNNNNNNNNNNNNNNNNNNNNNNNNNNNNNNNNNNNNNNNNNNNNNNNNNNNNNNNNNNNNNNNNNNNNNNNNNNNNNNNNNNNNNNNNNNNNNNNNNNNNNNNNNNNNNNNNNNNNNNNNNNNNNNNNNNNNNNNNNNNNNNNNNNNNNNNNNNNNNNNNNNNNNNNNNNNNNNNNNNNNNNNNNNNNNNNNNNNNNNNNNNNNNNNNNNNNNNNNNNNNNNNNNNNNNNNNNNNNNNNNNNNNNNNNNNNNNNNNNNNNNNNNNNNNNNNNNNNNNNNNNNNNNNNNNNNNNNNNNNNNNNNNNNNNNNNNNNNNNNNNNNNNNNNNNNNNNNNNNNNNNNNNNNNNNNNNNNNNNNNNNNNNNNNNNNNNNNNNNNNNNNNNNNNNNNNNNNNNNNNNNNNNNNNNNNNNNNNNNNNNNNNNNNNNNNNNNNNNNNNNNNNNNNNNNNNNNNNNNNNNNNNNNNNNNNNNNNNNNNNNNNNNNNNNNNNNNNNNNNNNNNNNNNNNNNNNNNNNNNNNNNNNNNNNNNNNNNNNNNNNNNNNNNNNNNNNNNNNNNNNNNNNNNNNNNNNNNNNNNNNNNNNNNNNNNNNNNNNNNNNNNNNNNNNNNNNNNNNNNNNNNNNNNNNNNNNNNNNNNNNNNNNNNNNNNNNNNNNNNNNNNNNNNNNNNNNNNNNNNNNNNNNNNNNNNNNNNNNNNNNNNNNNNNNNNNNNNNNNNNNNNNNNNNNNNNNNNNNNNNNNNNNNNNNNNNNNNNNNNNNNNNNNNNNNNNNNNNNNNNNNNNNNNNNNNNNNNNNNNNNNNNNNNNNNNNNNNNNNNNNNNNNNNNNNNNNNNNNNNNNNNNNNNNNNNNNNNNNNNNNNNNNNNNNNNNNNNNNNNNNNNNNNNNNNNNNNNNNNNNNNNNNNNNNNNNNNNNNNNNNNNNNNNNNNNNNNNNNNNNNNNNNNNNNNNNNNNNNNNNNNNNNNNNNNNNNNNNNNNNNNNNNNNNNNNNNNNNNNNNNNNNNNNNNNNNNNNNNNNNNNNNNNNNNNNNNNNNNNNNNNNNNNNNNNNNNNNNNNNNNNNNNNNNNNNNNNNNNNNNNNNNNNNNNNNNNNNNNNNNNNNNNNNNNNNNNNNNNNNNNNNNNNNNNNNNNNNNNNNNNNNNNNNNNNNNNNNNNNNNNNNNNNNNNNNNNNNNNNNNNNNNNNNNNNNNNNNNNNNNNNNNNNNNNNNNNNNNNNNNNNNNNNNNNNNNNNNNNNNNNNNNNNNNNNNNNNNNNNNNNNNNNNNNNNNNNNNNNNNNNNNNNNNNNNNNNNNNNNNNNNNNNNNNNNNNNNNNNNNNNNNNNNNNNNNNNNNNNNNNNNNNNNNNNNNNNNNNNNNNNNNNNNNNNNNNNNNNNNNNNNNNNNNNNNNNNNNNNNNNNNNNNNNNNNNNNNNNNNNNNNNNNNNNNNNNNNNNNNNNNNNNNNNNNNNNNNNNNNNNNNNNNNNNNNNNNNNNNNNNNNNNNNNNNNNNNNNNNNNNNNNNNNNNNNNNNNNNNNNNNNNNNNNNNNNNNNNNNNNNNNNNNNNNNNNNNNNNNNNNNNNNNNNNNNNNNNNNNNNNNNNNNNNNNNNNNNNNNNNNNNNNNNNNNNNNNNNNNNNNNNNNNNNNNNNNNNNNNNNNNNNNNNNNNNNNNNNNNNNNNNNNNNNNNNNNNNNNNNNNNNNNNNNNNNNNNNNNNNNNNNNNNNNNNNNNNNNNNNNNNNNNNNNNNNNNNNNNNNNNNNNNNNNNNNNNNNNNNNNNNNNNNNNNNNNNNNNNNNNNNNNNNNNNNNNNNNNNNNNNNNNNNNNNNNNNNNNNNNNNNNNNNNNNNNNNNNNNNNNNNNNNNNNNNNNNNNNNNNNNNNNNNNNNNNNNNNNNNNNNNNNNNNNNNNNNNNNNNNNNNNNNNNNNNNNNNNNNNNNNNNNNNNNNNNNNNNNNNNNNNNNNNNNNNNNNNNNNNNNNNNNNNNNNNNNNNNNNNNNNNNNNNNNNNNNNNNNNNNNNNNNNNNNNNNNNNNNNNNNNNNNNNNNNNNNNNNNNNNNNNNNNNNNNNNNNNNNNNNNNNNNNNNNNNNNNNNNNNNNNNNNNNNNNNNNNNNNNNNNNNNNNNNNNNNNNNNNNNNNNNNNNNNNNNNNNNNNNNNNNNNNNNNNNNNNNNNNNNNNNNNNNNNNNNNNNNNNNNNNNNNNNNNNNNNNNNNNNNNNNNNNNNNNNNNNNNNNNNNNNNNNNNNNNNNNNNNNNNNNNNNNNNNNNNNNNNNNNNNNNNNNNNNNNNNNNNNNNNNNNNNNNNNNNNNNNNNNNNNNNNNNNNNNNNNNNNNNNNNNNNNNNNNNNNNNNNNNNNNNNNNNNNNNNNNNNNNNNNNNNNNNNNNNNNNNNNNNNNNNNNNNNNNNNNNNNNNNNNNNNNNNNNNNNNNNNNNNNNNNNNNNNNNNNNNNNNNNNNNNNNNNNNNNNNNNNNNNNNNNNNNNNNNNNNNNNNNNNNNNNNNNNNNNNNNNNNNNNNNNNNNNNNNNNNNNNNNNNNNNNNNNNNNNNNNNNNNNNNNNNNNNNNNNNNNNNNNNNNNNNNNNNNNNNNNNNNNNNNNNNNNNNNNNNNNNNNNNNNNNNNNNNNNNNNNNNNNNNNNNNNNNNNNNNNNNNNNNNNNNNNNNNNNNNNNNNNNNNNNNNNNNNNNNNNNNNNNNNNNNNNNNNNNNNNNNNNNNNNNNNNNNNNNNNNNNNNNNNNNNNNNNNNNNNNNNNNNNNNNNNNNNNNNNNNNNNNNNNNNNNNNNNNNNNNNNNNNNNNNNNNNNNNNNNNNNNNNNNNNNNNNNNNNNNNNNNNNNNNNNNNNNNNNNNNNNNNNNNNNNNNNNNNNNNNNNNNNNNNNNNNNNNNNNNNNNNNNNNNNNNNNNNNNNNNNNNNNNNNNNNNNNNNNNNNNNNNNNNNNNNNNNNNNNNNNNNNNNNNNNNNNNNNNNNNNNNNNNNNNNNNNNNNNNNNNNNNNNNNNNNNNNNNNNNNNNNNNNNNNNNNNNNNNNNNNNNNNNNNNNNNNNNNNNNNNNNNNNNNNNNNNNNNNNNNNNNNNNNNNNNNNNNNNNNNNNNNNNNNNNNNNNNNNNNNNNNNNNNNNNNNNNNNNNNNNNNNNNNNNNNNNNNNNNNNNNNNNNNNNNNNNNNNNNNNNNNNNNNNNNNNNNNNNNNNNNNNNNNNNNNNNNNNNNNNNNNNNNNNNNNNNNNNNNNNNNNNNNNNNNNNNNNNNNNNNNNNNNNNNNNNNNNNNNNNNNNNNNNNNNNNNNNNNNNNNNNNNNNNNNNNNNNNNNNNNNNNNNNNNNNNNNNNNNNNNNNNNNNNNNNNNNNNNNNNNNNNNNNNNNNNNNNNNNNNNNNNNNNNNNNNNNNNNNNNNNNNNNNNNNNNNNNNNNNNNNNNNNNNNNNNNNNNNNNNNNNNNNNNNNNNNNNNNNNNNNNNNNNNNNNNNNNNNNNNNNNNNNNNNNNNNNNNNNNNNNNNNNNNNNNNNNNNNNNNNNNNNNNNNNNNNNNNNNNNNNNNNNNNNNNNNNNNNNNNNNNNNNNNNNNNNNNNNNNNNNNNNNNNNNNNNNNNNNNNNNNNNNNNNNNNNNNNNNNNNNNNNNNNNNNNNNNNNNNNNNNNNNNNNNNNNNNNNNNNNNNNNNNNNNNNNNNNNNNNNNNNNNNNNNNNNNNNNNNNNNNNNNNNNNNNNNNNNNNNNNNNNNNNNNNNNNNNNNNNNNNNNNNNNNNNNNNNNNNNNNNNNNNNNNNNNNNNNNNNNNNNNNNNNNNNNNNNNNNNNNNNNNNNNNNNNNNNNNNNNNNNNNNNNNNNNNNNNNNNNNNNNNNNNNNNNNNNNNNNNNNNNNNNNNNNNNNNNNNNNNNNNNNNNNNNNNNNNNNNNNNNNNNNNNNNNNNNNNNNNNNNNNNNNNNNNNNNNNNNNNNNNNNNNNNNNNNNNNNNNNNNNNNNNNNNNNNNNNNNNNNNNNNNNNNNNNNNNNNNNNNNNNNNNNNNNNNNNNNNNNNNNNNNNNNNNNNNNNNNNNNNNNNNNNNNNNNNNNNNNNNNNNNNNNNNNNNNNNNNNNNNNNNNNNNNNNNNNNNNNNNNNNNNNNNNNNNNNNNNNNNNNNNNNNNNNNNNNNNNNNNNNNNNNNNNNNNNNNNNNNNNNNNNNNNNNNNNNNNNNNNNNNNNNNNNNNNNNNNNNNNNNNNNNNNNNNNNNNNNNNNNNNNNNNNNNNNNNNNNNNNNNNNNNNNNNNNNNNNNNNNNNNNNNNNNNNNNNNNNNNNNNNNNNNNNNNNNNAAUUGGAGCCGAAACAGAGCAAAAACAGGGGAAAAACAGAGCUCUGCGAAAUUUCGCAGGGUGAAGGAAACUUCUGCGAAAUGUGAUUUUUGUUGCCAAACCACUCCGCAGCACUGUAGAAGCCUCUGCGAGUGUAUUUCGCAGCUGCGAAAGUGGAUUUGGCACACGAGUGCCACUUCGCAGUACAGUAGCACCUAUUUCGCAGCUGCGAAACCCAUUGCGAAAUGGAAAAGCAUGAUUUCGCACCAAAAGUCCCAUUCCGCAGGGCAUUUCGCAAUUGCGAAAGUGGUUUUGGCACACGAGUGCCACUUCGCAGCACAGUGACAUCAAUUUCGCAGCUGCGAAACUCACUGCGAAGUUGUUGCGAAAAUGGCAAGUUGCUGCGAAAUUGGCGUUUUGUUGCGAAACGUAAUCUGACCCCUGGGCUUACGUUUUUCCUAUUUAUACCGGUCAAAAGUGCUGCGAAAAGGGUUUCAAAAAUUAGAACGCCAUUCUCGCAGCCCCUUCGUCUUCUUCACCAAGCCACGCCGUCCGUUUCUCCGGUCGUCUUCUCCGCUUAGCAACGUCGGCCAAAGAUCGAUAUCUCCAAAAUGGCACGAACGCGAGGAGCAAAAUCUUCAUCUCCUUCGAACCGCAAAAGGAGUCUGCGAAAGGAGCCAAGUCCAGGCUCUGUUCCAGAACCUGCUCCACAGCCUUCGCCGUCGAGACCAAACCCUCCUCCAGUGAAGCCGGCGCCACCAAAGCCGCCGGCAAGGCGAUAUUUAACCAGGUCAGGUGGUCAGCCAUUGAAGAAGAAAACCAGGGUUGAGAGCUCUAAACCAAUAGAUUUGACUGAGCAAUCCCCUGAGAAAUCCCCAAAGCUAACACCGGUUCAAUCUCCGGUAUCUUCACCAAAUCCUUCACCGGUACAAAUUCCAGAACCGUCACCGGUUCCCUCGCCAAUUCUCUCACCAAAGGCAACUCCAAUUCCAUCGCCGGUACCAUCUCCGGCACCCCAAGAAAAAGCUCAGGAGCCUCAAGCGCCAAUUCCAGAGCCCCAAAUUGCAGCUGAAGCACCUCUGGAAGAAGUGAUCCGAAGGCCAAUGCUGCCCCAGCCCCCAAUCGAAGGAAACUUGGAUUGUCGAACUCGGGCAUUUCAUUCUGAGCUCUGCUUCGACUUAGCAGCAUUUAGAGUGAGGCCAGAGCUUGCCCAAUCAUUCCAGCUGCUGAGGAGAUAUCAUAUGGAGCAUCUGCUAGCUCCAAGGGAUUUUUUCUAUCCCCGGGUAGUCACGGAUUUCUACCAGACCAUGACAACCAAAGAAGUAAGAAAUCCAACUCUGAUUCAUUUUAUAAUUGAUGGAAGACAUGGUAUUUUGGGAGCAAGACAUAUUGCUGAAGCUCUGCAAAUUCCUUUUGAGCCAACCCAAUUCGACAAUUUUAAGGCUUGGGUAAAUCCAACUGAGCUAGAGAUGGUUAGCACCCUGUCCAGAGGAGCUGCCAAUCGGUCACACCUGCUGAGGGGGGAGCUACCUCCAGUGAUGUUUUUGAUUGAUGCCUUUUUGAGGCAUAAUAUCUAUCCCCUGCAGCAUUGGACCCAAAGAAGGGGAGUUCUCUUGGAAGCUCUAUACAAGAUGUCUGAAGGAUUCUUCUUUGGGCCUCAUCAUCUUAUCAUGGCAGCCCUUCUAUACUUUGAGGAGAAGGUUCACAAGAAGAAGCUUCAAAGAGCAGAUUGCAUUCCACUCCUCUUCCCACGGCUGCUAUGCCAAGUUUUGGAACAUCUCGGAUACCCCUCUGAGCCUCAGCAGGAAAGAAAGAGAAUAUGCCGUGAGCCAUUUACCCUUGAUAAAUGGAAUAAUAUGACGGCCUAUAAAAUUGAUCAGCCUGGGCAGCCUCAGCCAGCAGCAAGGAGAGCCUCCCCAAGACAUGCACCUGAAGGUAUAACACUUGCUACUCCUGCCAUCCCUCGAGCUCCACCAGCUGCACCUGCUCCAUCACAGCCAUCCACAUCAGCUGAGCCGAGGAUGGCCAUCCCUAUAUCCGAAUAUCGAGAGUUGUGCCGUGCAUUGGAGACUCUUACAGCUUCCCAGAGCAAUCUUGCUCAGGAGUUGGCAGCCAUCAAAGCAUGCCAGGAGCAGAUGUUAGCCUCUCAGGCUCAAUAAGCUGCCAUCCUAAGGCAGCUUCAAGUCCAUUUCGAUCUGCCACAAGCUGUAGAGCCCUCCACUGAGACUCCACCAGAACCACACUCUCAGCCUUCAGAGUCUCAAGCUCCAGAGCCCGAAGCCCCAGCUGAUCCACCUACUGAGGAGGCAGAUCCUUCUGCUUAGCACCAUCACCCCACUCAUCAGACAUUAUAUAUAUUUGCUAUUUAUGUUUUUAUGCAUGUUUGUUUUGUUUUAGUUGAAAUGAAAUCCCAGUAUUUUGGUAUUAUAUAUGGGAUUCCUUGUGUUACUUGUCUUUAGCAUUGUAAUCAAAUGAAUACAAAGUAAUACAAGUUGACUAUUUCUUGUUAAAAGUUAGCAUAAAGUUUCCUUAUUUCCUUUUCUCACAUAUUCUAUUCUUUUUGAAACAUGUGGUUUUCCCCAAUCAAUAUUCGAAUUUGAUAUCAGCAUGGAGGUACCACUUCCUCCCUUUUAUUACAGUCACUCAAAUCACAUUGAGGACAAUGCUCAGUUCGGUUGGGGGGUAUGAGGAAGGAAGUAUUCUAAACCUUUUUGGUAUUGCAAUUAUAUUGGUUAAUUAGUUGUAGUUUUUACUUUUUACUAGUGUUACUCUAUUCUCCAUGAAUUUUGAGGAAAAAUUUUCAAAUUAAACCAAGAGAAAUUGAACUGUUGUUUUUCACUUGACUUAGAGUAUGGAUUAUGCUUACUAAAGUGGUUCAAUUGUUAAACUUCUACUGAAAUUGAAUUGAGUUCUUCUACUUUAAGCUAUCCACACACUGUGCACAUUAGUUUCCGAUUAUAAGAUGAAAAGCUAUUUCCCUCUUGACUUAGGAUAAUUUUGAGACUUGGUAUAUUUGACCUCAUUUGAUAAAAAUUGAAACACCCUGCAAAAGGCCAAUGAGCCUUUGAAAUAAAGAAAGUUGUUUGCUUGCCUUGAAACCCGAGCAAGGUCUGAGGGGUAUAUGGUGAAAAUCUUUUAAGCCUGGUGCCCUAAGCCUUAAUUGGUUGGGAGACACCGACCUCAAUGCUCGUUACAAGGGUGAAUAGGUAGAGCUAGCAUAUGGUAGAUGCUUGGGUAUUAGAAAUUCAUUCUUAAAAGUCCGGGGAAAAAUCCGAGGAGUUAGUGGUUGAAAGAUCCUUAAAACUUGGUGCCCUAAACCUUAAUUGGUUGGGAGUCAUCGAUGGACCCCCAUUACAUGGACAAGUCAGAAAGAGUACCCCAUAAAGCUACCUUGAAAAAAAAAAAAAAAAAAAAUGGAUGAUGAAAGAGUGUUCUUUUCUUAUUGAUUUUGGUCAGUUUGCUAAAGUGUUGAAAAGACAUAGGUUGGGGGGUGAGACUAGUUUGGCAUAUUAUUCUCGGAAUCUAAGGAACCAAUACACAUAGAUUUUUGUGGAAGAUUGAAGUUUAGUUCUUAGAAAGUGAAAUGAUUUUAAAACUUCAGUUUGCAUAAUGCACUCCCUUGAUUGACAGUGCUUAGCAUAGUUUGUUAUGACUCUUGUUGAGAUUUGGGUUUGUAUUUCUUCAAUGCUUCAUGUGAGAGUUAGAUCAUCAUGCCACUUGAGAAUUGAUUUUGUUUAGCAUGAUGUUGUAAAUUUUAGAUUAGUUGCUAUUUAUUUUCUUUUUUCUCUCCUUUAUUGCUAAGGGACUAGCAAUAUGUCGGUUGGGGGGAGUGAUUACUACUCAAAAAGUGCUAUUUGAUAGCCUUUAAUUAAUCCUUUUUAACACUUUUGAGUAGUAGUUUAGGUCUUUUAACUCAAUUGGCAUGUUAAGGAUCCUUUAAAGCAAUUUUGAUCACUUUGUGCAAGUUUUGGUGUUUUUGUUAGUAUUUUGAUCACCAAAGCAAGUCAAGAAUGAGGAGAGCUAUGAGGAAUCAUGGGCAAAGCUUAGAAUUCAAUUGCCAAGAGUGAAUCCGGAUUGCAAGGAGAAAAAGCAAAGAGAAUCUGUCAUGGAGCAUAUUCUUGAUGACAGUCGUAGAAGCCACUUUUGGAGUACUUUCUGAAGUCCAAAUGAUGCAAGCUAUAUACCAUUUCAAAGCUCAGGAAGUCAAAAAUCCAAUGCUUCAUACGGUGCGCGAUUCGGAGUUGAAACGAAGAAGUUGUAGCCAUUACAAGUCAAUCACUCUAAAGUGUUGCGGAAUCAGCAUUUUGUUGUGAGAAUUUCGCAGCACUUUUGUACAGUAAGGUGUUUCUCCUUCUGACGAUGCACGAACCAUGCCGCGAGAAGGGAGCUGGAAACUUCAAGGUGGAAGCCAACUUCGCAGCCCUCUUGGGUGUCUGCGAAAUUUCGCAGGUACCACUUUUCUCCUGCGAAAUGGCUCCUGAAGCCUCCCGAAGCUUGCUACCGACAUUGGGAGAUAUUUUCCAUUAGAUUUUUGUUGUCUAAAUCCCAAAAUACUCCUUGUAAACCACCAAUUACAUGAUUCCUUAGUUUUUAAGUUAGUAAAAAGACCAAAUAUCUAUGUAAUAAUUAGUUUUAUAUUGCUUUGAUAUAAAUACCUCUCGGGAGCAUGUUCUCGAAGAGGAGUUCUUUCUGUAACCAUUUGGUAAGCAAGUAAAGUCUUUUCUUUCUACUGCCUUACCUUCUCACUUUGUAUUUUCAUUUUAUUUCUAAGUUAUGAAUUCUCUGAGGAGUUUUCCCCAGAGAAUGAGUAACUAAACCUCCAAUUCCUUGGAGCUAAGGUUGCCGGGGAAGGUUCCAAGUGCAAGAAUGCAAAGCUCUGUGGUUUUAGCUAGUAAUGAAGAGGAAGUGAAAUCCUUUAGUGAUUUCAAUGUUUUUAGUUAACUUAAAACACCUUGGAGUCACCUGGGCCAAUACUUGGUAAGGCAAGUGAUUUCCAACCGUGGAGAUGCACUAGUUUACCCCUUGCGAGCCUCUGGUAGGUGACUUCAAGGUAGGAUUUUCUGGAAUUACCAACACUUGGUAAGCUUUUGGACUCUUAGGAGGCAUCCAUUAGUUAUCUCUUGCGAGUUUGUGAAGGGGAAUCCAAGGUUAAAGAUCACCUUGAAUGGUAAGUGCUCGUGAGAGGCAUGAACCAUUGCAAGUUGCAUCAGUGAGAGAAUUAAAGUGAAAUCUAAUUGAAGGAGUCUCUGUACAUCACCGGUUAGAGAAUUGACUCUAAGUUGAAUCUCUAAUGCGAGGAAAUGAACCAUCUGACCGGAGCUAUGUAUUUUGCAUGAGGAACCACCCCAGUGAACCUAAAUCUCCAAGGAAUGCUUUUCUUCCUAAAUUAUUCCAAACUUCUGUUAAGUUAGUUAGUUUAAGUCUAAACCUUUACCAAUCAAACUUUGUGUUUUACUUCUUAAGCUAACCGUGAAAUGAAACAAGACCAAUUCACUUGGAAUUGGUAUCCUUGAUUGCUUGUUCAUCAUUCCCAGUGAACGAUCCUAGAGCCACUAUACUAUAGUAGCUUUGUAUUUGCUACCCUAGUGUAUGGUGUUAUAGGUAUAAAUUUUGUUGAUCACUUCCUCAAUCAAGGAGCACCAGCUGAACACAAAUCAGCUGAGACACCAAUUGGGCAUGAGUCAAUUAUUAUUUAUUUAUUACCGCAAAUUUUCAAUUUUUACGAUCCUAAGAAAUUUCCUACUAAAGACUAAUGUGGCACAAAAUUCAACUCGUUUGAUUGACCAAUAAAAUCUUUCAAAUUUCGUCAACCUAAAAUUGACACGUGUUCUCCAAUUACCUUUUUUUACUUUUCAACUACCGUUGAAUAGAAGAAUUUUCAAACUUGAAAUUCCAUGGCCUAAAAUACCCGGUCAUUAUAGUAGAAAAAAAGAAUGUGCCAUCAAAAGAAUCCUCAUUCUCUUGCGGGAGUUGGAAGAUAAUCUAGCUAAAACCGGUGUAUGAUGGAAGUGAUCAGAUGGAUCGUGGAGAACUGAUCCUUCUCUCUGCUACUCAAUGGAGGUCCAUCCUCUCUUUGUUUCUCUUUCUUUUUCCUUCCUUUAUAGCUUUCUCUCUCUUUCAACUCAUUCUCGGUUUCUUACCUCCCUAAACUCCCUCUGUGAACUUUUCUUUCUGUUUCUCUCUCAAAAUUUUCUGAUCUCUCUAUCAUAUUCCCUCUCUCAACCCUAACUGAAGCCUCUCAAAUUCUUUAGACAUGCCAUCCUUAUGCUACUCUCUGCCAACUACCAACAUAAAGAUCUUUCUUCUAUUUCUAACAUACUUCGGUUUCCCGAAUCACUCAGAAACUCUCUCCCAAAAUGAUCAUAAUGUGAUGUCCCAGGAAAAAAUGGUGAUCCUCUCCGAAUGUCUCAUGGUCAUUUUGAAUGCAUGUCUCUCUCUUACUCGGAGCGCAUGUGUGAUAGCCAUCCAGAAUGCACAUGCCUCUAACCUCCUAGAGUCUUCUGGAUUCCAUGAAUGAAGGUUUUCCUCUUCUGUGGUACACACUCGAAAAUCCAUGUGAGCAAUCUCAUAUAACAAUAACACUAUCAUCUUGUGCAAAUUGCAACAAAUUUUCCAUCUUGAGUGAAAGAAAUGCCCUUAGAUGCAUGCUUUGGCCAUUACACUUGUGUUCAUCCUAUGUUCACAGUAGGGUCUCUAUCUAUUUUUAAUAUCCCUUCAAACUAAGUCCCUGACCACUUUUGGGCCAUUGGUCUUUUAUAGAGACGACAAAGUAUGUAUUCUGAAAUGAGAGCCCACUCAAUGUGGCUUAUCUCAUCCAAGCACCAAAAAAAUUGCACAAAGAUAUCUUUUCCAAAUCCACAUGUCCCUAUCUCAUGACCUCACAAAAAAUAAACAUGUAGCACUUAUCAAAUCCCAAAAAAGAAAUAAACAAAAUGAAGUAAAUCCACAUGCAAAAAUAUAAAAUCCAAAUUACACACAUCUCAUACAAUACUAAAACUUAGUCUCAUGCAACCUAAAAGAAAAACUAAAAUAAACAAAAUCAUAUAGUAAGAGAAAACAAUGAAAUAUAUCUAUCAAAAAAAUUAAAAUUCAAACUUAUGAAAUCACACUAAAAAAACUUAAAACUUAAACAAAAAUCCUAAACUAAAAGUUAGAGGUUACUAAGAAAUCACACUAAGGAUCCCUUAAAAUCCCUCCAUGAUUUCUCUAAAGAAAGUUCAAAGACAAUAAUCAAACGAGUCAUAGUGGACCACCCAUGGAGACUCAAAAAUAGUUCAGGAGUGGACCCUAAAUGUAUAAUGAGCUAAUAUAUGCCAAUAGGACAAAAUGAAGGGUCUACGAACUCAACUCUCUUAAGCAUAGUAGAAAGCCUAUAAAUACCCCUAGUAGAGGUUAUGUUUUCAAGUCUUGUCAUUUCUCCUUGCAGUCUAAAGAGAGAACCCUAACCUUCGACCCCUAAGAUCUCCACCAUCUCAAUUCUAAGACUUAAGGAGGAGUUAUUGGGCGGAUGAUUAUGAGUUUAUGAGAUCUUCUGCAAAUUUGGAGCUUUCUAUAUCAAUAGGAAUUGUCGGGAACAUCCAUAUCAAAAGUAUGACACUUUUCUCUAGAUCUUUGAUAUGUUUUUGGUUUUAAAUGCCAAGUUUUUCGCUUUGCUUAAAUCUAGAGAAGUCUAGGAUAGGAUUACAUACACCCUAGCGAUCCAAGACUUGGGAAUAUAGUAAUCCAAGAUUUCCCAAUAGUUCAAUCUACCAAGAUAUGAACAAUAGCCUAACAACCAAAGUCAUCAAUCGAAAUAGGAAAAAUCAACCACAAUAGCGUCUCAAUAACUCCAACAAUGUUGGGAAAAAUACUUUAUGGACUUAGUCUAAAACUAGAACAUUUCACUUCACCAAUAACUUGAACAAAUGAGAAAAACAAACAUCAAGAAAAUUUAAACACUUUGUUAAGUCAAAAUUUUGAUACCGUUUUAAGCUUUAAUAAUUUGAUACAUCACCAAAUGCUUAGUUUAAAAAGAAUAGAAGCUAACCUAAUUUCAAACCUAUGUAUCCAAUGGCGACCUGUUUUUGUCCUUUUAUUUUUGUCCUUAUUUAUUAACGUAUCAAUUAAAAAUCACAUUUAAAUUUAUUAAGGAAAUAUACUUAAGCUAUUAUCUCUUAAAUUUUUCUUAAAAGAAAAAAAAAAAUCUUGGCCCAAACUUUAACUUUGCACGAUGUCCACUUGUCCCUUUGAGAAUGAAUUUGCUAUUGCUUGUCCCACGCAAGAAACAAUGCUUUUAGUUAAUUAAAAAUAAAAUUAGUCCAUACAUAUAGAUGAUCAUAAUACAUUUGGUGUUAUUACAAAGUGUUAAUUAGUUAUGCUUAAAUAAAAGAAUUGCUUUAAAUAAUUAGUUGCCUCCAACCACCAAAUUAUGCAUUUAGACAUAAGAUAAUUUUGCUAACUAACAUUUAAUAGUUUUACAACUUCUUUACUUAAAUCGUAAUGAUCCAAUUUUUUACCUAUUUGUUUUCAAUGAUCUUGUAAUUAUAGUUUUAUGUUUAGUGUAAAACUUUGUUCAUGAGUGGGAGUUGAUCAUUAAUUUCAAAGACAAACAGGCAUUGUAUGAAAUUUUUUUACAUAAAUCAUGAGAUCAAACAACUAAAUUGAAAGUUUUGAAGACAACUUAAUACCAAGGAUUUAUAAUAUUUUGGAAUUACAAUAAACUUAUUUUUAUAACAGAGUCAAAAAGAAAUUGAUAAAUUUUCUUGAUAACAUAGUUAAAUAAGUGGUUAGAAUAUUGUUGUCCACACAUAUAUAGAUUACAAUAAAAAUAUUUGUUAAUUUUAUAUUUAGAUAAUAGAUAUCAAACCACUUUGCAUAUUGGACGAUGACUCUUAUAGAAUUAAAUAUAAGACUUGUUAUACACUAUUUUGAAACAUAUAUAUAUUCAUUCAAGUCUUUACUUUUCCUUUUUGACUUGUUAUAAGGUUGGUUUUGUUUCCCAAAGAAUAAAAUAUUUGACCAUAUUUUAACAAGUUGAAUAAAAAAGUUAACAAAUUCUUUACAAGUCAAAAAGCUACAAGUAUUUUAUUAGAGUAGGUGGCAAUGCAAUUUAAACUAAUUCAAUAAAUUCUUUGCAAGUCAAAAAGCUGCAAGUAUUUUAAUCAAGUAGAUUAGAAUAAAAUUUAAACUAAUCAUAUAAAAACCUGAAUAUGAUUAGAAUAAAUUUUGUUUUUAUCUACUUUUUUCUUGUUUUUCAAGAGAAUUUAGCUCUAAUUUUCGCAUGAGUUGAUAACUAAAAAAAACAAAAACAACAAUAUAAAAGUGAAAUCAAUAUAAAAUAAAUCCUCAAAUUUCAAAAUUAUAAAACUAAAAUUCUACUAUAUUUAAAUACUAUUUUGACAUUAAAUUUCACUUUUUUUCAAUAAAAUUUUGCCUAAACAGAAAAAGUGAAUCUUUUUAUUUUUACUUAUAAAAAGUCAUUUAUUCUCUUUUGUCUUAUCAAUCGUCUACUUUAUUAUAAUGCUCAAUUCUAAUUUCUCAUACAAAAUUAAACUAAAUUUAUUUUCAAAAAUUUUAGAUAACUCUUGCUUCAAAAUCUAGUUAAACUACUUUAAUAAUAUAUAACUGAAUAAAAAAAUAUGAAUUUAUCAUAAAUUAACAAAGAUGUCAUUAAAAAAAAUGAAUAUGACUUGAAGAAGUUUUAUUUUUAUCCAUUUUUUUCUUUUGUUUCUUGUUAAGGUUGAAUUAGUAAAUCCAAAUUGAGAACAUUGGUUGACAAAACCAUGACCUUUCAAAGAUUGGGCUCCCACUAAAUUGUCGGGCCUCCAAGACAAGCCUUGACUAUCACACCAACCUGUCUAUGCUAGACCAAGCCUACCUUAAGUGUCGAUAAGGAAAUAAUAAGGAAUGUCUACCUGCUCAACCAAUGGGGAGAGAUGGUGGUCGUUUAUAUUAGGUUUUCCAUUGCAUCCGAUUAUUGAUCUGUGAAACUUCUUUGAAGGUUUAUUUUGGUAAACUAGUAACUGGUCUUGGUUUUUUUCCAUUUAAGUUAGACAAAAUUUUUGGAAAAACUCAAUAAAUGAGAUAAUGUUGAAAUUUUGAUAAAAUUUAUCAUUUAUAUUUAUUUGAUAAAAAAGUUAACAAAUAUUUGACCAUUUUUCACUAAUAUCAUGAAAGCUAAAAAUUAAUAAAAAAAAAUUAUUUUCAAAAAUAUGAUUUGGAAAACAUGUGAGUGUUCAUUACAAAUUUUUGAGACACUUUUUCAUAAGCAUAGAGCAAAAUAUUUGUCUUUGAAUGAAAUAACGGUUGAUAUUCUUCUCAAUCUUAAAGUACGUAGUUCUUUACAAAUGUGAUUAAUUUCACUUCUAAAGCUUGCAAUCAUACAAUUGAGUGUACAUAAAAUUAUAGAUAAAACUAUAUACAAAGAAUUACAAACAGAACUAUCACUAACGCCAUCUUCUUCUCAACCACAAUGAUUUAUCCACAUAACUGAAAUAGGUCUCACACCAAGAUUUCUUGAUUGUUAAAAUAAAAAAUGGAACAAAAAUGCCCACUACAAAUCCUAGCCCAAUACUCAAGUAAAACCAUUUAUCAAUGAAUCCAUCAUCAUUUUCAUCCUCAACGUUGCUUUGCACUUGCCCUUGAUCUAAAUCAUCACCUUGGCAUUUAGCAACAAGUGGACGUCCACAAAGACGAGGUUUCUAGCAAAGGUAGAUUCCCUAAAAGUUAUCAUUUGUCCCAUAAAGGGGAUCUUACCAGAGAAGUUGUUCGAUAGAUUCAAAUAGCUCAAAAAUUUUAAUGAAGAAAUGCUCAAAGGAAUGACAUUGUAGAGAUUGUUACAUGAUAAAUCAAAAGAUAAUAGCUCAUGUAACCUCAAGAUGUUUUGAGGAAUUAAGCCAUUAAUGUGGUUCCUUGACCAGUUGAAAAUCAUUAAACCAGAUAAUUUUGUCAUUUAUGUUGGAAACUCCCAACUAAAGUUAUUGCUGAAUAGAUCUAUGCUAACUGUGAGAGAAAGAAACUCUAUAUAUUCUAGCUCUUGGCCUUUUGCUUUUACGGUCAAACUAUCGUCAAAUGAUUUAUCUAUCAUAGAAAACUGGUAUAGAUAAGGCCUUAAAUAUUUCUUUUCAGCCAUUGCUUUAAGAUCACACAAAGUGGCUGGAAUGCUACCACUUAAAUUGUUUUCAACAAGGUCUAAAAUAUGUAAUGAACUUAAAUUUGAACGAUAAAAAAUAAUUCCUCCAGAAAAUGCAUUAGACCUCAAGUCAAGAAUUCUAAUGGUUGUGAAAGCAGCUCCAAUCCAUGUUAAAAUAUUACCCCAUAAUUUGUUGUAAUUGAGAUCAAGGGUUAAACUUGACAAGCUUUGGAAAGAUAAAGGAAGUUUUCCUGAAAGCUAUUUUUGCCUAGGUGAAUUGAUCAAAGCCAUUCUAACUAGCCAAAAGAUUUUGGAAUAGUCUUGGAUAAAUUGUUCUUUUCAAGUGUUAGAAAGUACAGGUAAGAGUAAUUACUUAUGAAUGAAGGAAUGCUUCCUAUUAAACUAUUCCUUGAAAGAUCAAGGAUUUCAAGAUGGCUCAUAUAUCCUAUAGACUUUGGGAUAAUUCCUGUUAUUUGAUUGCUUAAAAGAGAGUAUAGAAAAUUUGGGAUGGAUUCACCUAUAUUAGGUGGAAUAGGACCAGAAAAUCUAUUGUUGGAUAGAUCAAUAAUUGUCAAAGAGGUCAUAUUCAAUUGAUUUGGCAACUGACCUUGCAAUUGAUUGAAAGAAAUAACUAAAAUACCUAGUUGAGAAAAAAUAUUCUAGAACCAAUUGGUUAUUGAACCUAAGAUGCUAGCAUUUGACAACUCCAUAAUGGAGACCUCCUUUUGAAACUUGAGCCAAGUCGGAAAUGAAGGACUUAAAUUGCAUAAAUCCAUAUCGAAAGUAGAGAUUUGGAAUGGGAGGACCCAGGUGGCACUAACAUUCAGAACAAGACCUGAAUUUCCACUCAUGCACAACAUCUUCAACUUACUUAACUUUGCAAAAUGUUCUUCAGAAAGAACUCCAAUCAAGUGAUUCCAAGAAACAUAUAGGACAAUUAAUUCAAAAAAUUGUCCAAAGCUAACAGAGACACUCUCAUUUAGUUCAUUCCAUCCAAUCUCCAUAUACUCCAUGAUUACUACUCAAAAAGUGUUCUUUUAUAGCUUGAAAUUAAUUGUUUUAAACACUUUUAAGUAGUAGUUAAUACUUUUUAACUCAAUUGGCACAUUAAGGAACCUAGCAAGGGUUACUAAUCAGUUUUUGGCUAGUUUUGGUGUUUUUAGUAGCUUUUUUAUCAUUGAAACAAGCAAAGAAUGAGGGAGAAUUUUGUGCAAUCCAUGGCAAUGCAAGUUGAAGCUCAAAUACAUGAAGAAUCAGAGUUUUGGAGCACUUCAUAGCCCUUUGCCAAGCUUGGCAAUAGGUUGCCAAACCAAUCAGAGAUGCAAGGAAGAAAUCCAGAGGAAGAAAUCUAACAUGUAGAAAUUUCGCAUGUCUUUGCGAAAAUUUUGCAUAGCAUGUGAAAUCAAGAAGAGGAGCAGCUGUAGGACUGAGUGAAGGACAAUUUUGCAUACCUUGCGAAACCACAAGAUGCAGAAAAAAAUGAAUUUCGCAUGGUCUGCAAAAUCUUCUUGUGCACCGACUCCGUUAGAUUUUUAUCUCUAGAUUUUUUGUGUAAAUUACUAUUUUCUCCUUGUAAUGAACCAAUGAUAGGAUUUCUUGGUUAGGAACUAUAAAGGGGGAUUGGAAAGACCUCUCUAUAGAAUAUCUUUUUGUAUAAUAUUUUGGAUACAAAGGACACGAGUAAUUCCUGUAGGAAGAAAUAUAUAGAGCCCUUGCUCUACCUUUCCUUCUCAUUUUGUUUUCAUUUUUCUUUCUAGCCAAACAACCUCUGAGGAUGAUUUCUCAAGGGAUGAGUGGCUAAGUUUUAUGUUUCUCGGAGUAAUGGAAACUAGGUGAAGGACCCGGAUGCAAAGGUGGGAGUUUUCCUUGCUUUAAAUGAAGGUAGUUGUUAACCAUUAAUGGUUUUUAUUUCAAGGUUUAGCUUUAGAUCCCUUAGAAUCACCUUGAAUGGCCAAUACUUGGUAAGCUUUCCGGAUUUUAUGGAUUCUUAUUGCUAGAUCCAUGGAUGUCCAUUAGUUAUCAAGUACGAGCCAUUGGAAGGUGGUUCAAGGUGAGAAUCACCUUGAAUGGGCAAUACUUGGUAAGCUUUCCAGAUUCUAUGGAUGCUUAUUGCUAGAUCCUUGGAUGUUCAUUAGUUAUCAAGUACUAGCCAUUGGAAGGUGGUUCAAGGUGAGGGUCUUUAGUGUUUAAAGCCAUUAAUGGGAAGCAACUACCAUUUUUUAUGAACCCUUUGGAUCAAAUCUUAAUUGCUAAAUACAAAAACCGGUUUGGGAGAUAAUCAUUCUUUAUGUUAUUGUCCCUAAUGCAAGGAGAAGAUCCGGAAUCUCCCCAUUUGCUUAAAGAACCCAAUCCUAGUGACCUAAAGCUCUAAGAGACAUUCUCUUUGUAGUUAACUUCAAUUGCUAUUUUUGUUUAACUUAAAAUCAACUUUUUCAACCACAAUUCCAUUUUCUUUAAAAGCUAAUUUUCAUAAGGAAAAGCACCAUUUCAUUACCUUCACUAAAGUCAAUUGUACGAAGAAAACUCAUCCCUAUGGAUGAUCCUAAAGCCACUAUACUAUAGUAGCCAUGCUACCCUAGUGUAAGGUGAUUUAGGUUUUAUAAAUUUUGUUGUUAACACCCGUCUGGCGCAAGAAUCAAAUGGUGUCGUUGUUGGGGAUGAAUCAAAUGGCGCCGCUACCGGGGAUGGUGCCAAAGUACAUUGACAUUACUUUUGGUGAACACUUGUGAUCUUCAUCACAAGUUUGGUGAUUUUUCUUUUACUAAUUCUUUUUCUUUGUCUCUAUUUUAGCUUAUCUUUUAUUUAAUUUUUAGUUAACCUUAACCACUUCCUAGAAUUGUAUUUCUUUUGUUUUCUUUGUUUUUGUUUUAGUGAUCUCUAGUUGUGCAUGCCCUAUUGGAUAAGAGAUAUUGAGGGAAGACUUGUGAAGAUUGAAACUCCUCAAGAAACUGAGUUGGAAGUGUGCUUGAACAUCAUGGAUGUUCCAUCUGAAGACCAGAAUACCACUCCCACUGAGCAGCUAGUAAUUCGACCCCACAUUGUGCCACUCCUACCUACUUUCCAUGGGAUGGAAAGUGAGAAUCCCCACUCGUAUAUUAAGGAAUUCGAGGAGGUUUGUAAUACAUUCCAAAAAGGAGGAGGUUCAAUUGACUUGAUGAGGCUCAAGCUAUUUCCUUUCACCUUGAAGGAUAAGGCCAAGAUUUGGCUCAAUUCUCUAAGGUCAAGGAGUAUCCGAACUUGGACUGAUUUGCAAGCUGAGUUUCUCAAGAAGUUCUUCCCUACUCAUUAGACCAAUGGUUUGAAAAGGCAAAUUUCGAACUUCUCAGCUAAAGAGAAUGAGAAAUUCUAUGAGAGUUGGGAGAGGUACAUGGAAGUUAUUAAUGUUUUUCCUCACCAUGGCUUUGACACAUGGUUCUUAGUGAGCUAUUUUUACGAUGGUAUGUCUUAUUCAAUGACGCAACUCCUAGAAACUAUGUGUGGAGGAGACUUCAUGAGUAAGAAUCUGGAGGAAGCCAUGGACUUUUUGAGUUGUGUGGCUGAAGUUUCAAGAGGAUGGGAUGAACCAAAUGCUAGAGAGGUGGGAAGAAUGAAGUCUCAACCUAAUGCUAAGGGUGGAAUGUAUGUCUUGGAUGAAGACAUUGACAUGAAGGCAAAAAUUGCAGCUAUGGCAAGGAGAUUGGAAGAGCUAGAAAUGAAGAAGGUACAAGAAGUGCAAGCCAUUUCUGAGACAUCAGUGUAAGCUAUGCCUUAUUCCAUUUGUCAAUCUUAUGAGCACUUGGUGGAGGAAUGUCCUACCAUUCCAGUAGUGAGAGAGAUGUUUGGUGAUCAAGCAAAUGUUAUUGGUCAAUUCAAGCCUAAUAACAAUGCUUCAUAUGGAAACACCUACAAUUCAAAUUGGAGGAACCAUCCAAAUUUCUCUUGGAAACCAAAGCCACCUUAGUACACACAACCUGCUCAAGCACUUCAGCAAGCCUUGAAUCUUGAACAAACUAUUGUGAACCUUAGCAAGGUUGUGAGAGACUUUGUGGGAGAUCAGAAGUCCAUCAAUGCUCAACUGAAUCAGAGAAUUGACAAUGUGGAGAGUACAUUGAACAAAAUGAUGGAUGGGAUGAAAAAUGAUCUGUCUCAAAAGAUAGACAAUGUCCAAUACGCAAUCUCAAGGCUUACCAACCUCAACACAGUGCAAGAGAAAGGAAAGUUUCCUUCUCAACCUCAUCAAAAUCCCAAGGGUAUCCAUGAAGUGAAGGCUCAAGAGGGAGAAUCUUCAAAGGUGAGGGAAGUCAAAGCAGUUAUCACCUUGAGGAGUGGUAAAGAGGUUCAUCAACCCACAUCCAAGCCAAAGUAUGAUGAAGAGAGUGUAGCAGAAAAAGAAAAGAGUGAGAAAAUUAAAGGAAAGAGAAAAGGGAAAAGUACAAAGAAAGAUGACCAUGAUUCUAGUGUGGAUGAAGAACCCCGAGAGGAUAGUCAUCAAGGAAGAUAUGAUGAAGAAACACAUGCCUCCACCUUUCUCUCAAGCUUUGCAUGGCAAAAAGGGAACCAAUAAUGCAUCAUAAAAUUUUGAAGUGUUGAGGCAAGUGAAGGCUAAUAUCCCUUUGCUAGACAUGAUCAAACAAGUGCCGACAUAUGGAAAAUUCUUGAAGGACUUAUGCACUAUAAAGAGAGGGUUUAAUGUGAACAAGAAAGCCUUCUUGACUGAGUAAGUGAGUGCCAUCAUAUAGUGCAAAUCUUUAAUGAAGUACAAAGAUCCGGGCUGCCCUACCAUCUCAGUGAGUAUUGGAAGGACUUGUGUGGAGAAAGAUUUAUUGGACUUAGGAGCAAGUGUGAAUUUGUUACCCUACUCUGUCUACAAGCAGUUGGGACUUGGAGAGUUAAAGCCAACAUCCAUCACUCUAUCUCUGGCAGAUAGAUCAGUGAAGAUUCCAAGAGGGAUGAUCGAAAAUGUCUUGGUUCAAGUUGACAAAUUCUACUAUCCAAUGGAUUUUGUUGUUCUUGAUACGGAUCCGGUUUUCAAAUGAACUAAUUAUGUUCCUAUCAUACUUGGAAGACCAUUCCUAGUUACAUCAAAUGCAAUCAUCAAUUGUAGGAAUGGAGUCAUGCAACUCAUGUUUAGCAACAUGACAUUAGAGCUCAACAUCUUCCAUUUGUGCAAAAAGUAUAUCCAUCCGGAAAAAGAAGAAGGUCCAGAGGAAGUGUGCAUGAUUGACACUUUAGUGGAGGAGCAUUAUGAUCAGAGAAUGCAGGAGGAUUUGAUUGAGAGUCUUAGGGAUCUUGAUUAAGGGUUACCUGAACCCUCAGAUUUGCUUGCUACCCUGUCUCCUUGGAGAAAGAGAGAAGAAAUUCUACCCUUAUUCAAUGAGGAGGAGACACAAAGAGCUGCUAAGGAGGAGCCCCAAAAGCUUAUUCUUAAGCCACUACCCACAGAGUUGAAGUAUGCAUACUUGGAAGAAGACAAGCAGUGCCCUAUUGUUAUAUCUUCAGCUCUUACCAUUCAUCAAGAGGAUUGUCUACUUGAAGUCCUUAGAAGAUGUAAGAAGGCAAUAGAGUGGCAAAUUUCUGAUUUUGAAAGGGAUCAACCCUUUAGUUUGCACCCAUCAUAUUUACAUGGAGGAUGAAGUUAAGCCAGUUUGUCAACCUUAGAGAAGGUUGAACCCUCACAUGCAAGAGGUGGUGUGAGCUGAAGUUCUUAAGCAGCUUUAGGCCAGUAUUAUCUACCCCAUAUCAGAUAGCCCAUGGGUGAGUCCUACUCAAGUUGUGCCAAAGAAGUUUGGGAUCACGGUGGUGCAAAAUGAUAAGGGAGAAGAUGUCUCUACACGCCUCACCAUAGGUUGGAGGGUGUGUAUCGAUUAUAGGAGAUUGAAUGCAGUGACAAGGAAGGACCAUUUCCCGUUGCCCUUUAUUAAUCAGGUGCUUGAGAGGGUCUCUGGGCAUUCUUUUUAUUAUUUCUUGGAUGGCUACUCCAGGUACUUUCAGACAAAAUUCAUGUUGAAGACAAGGAGAAAACCACUUUCACGUGCCUAUUUGGCACCUAUGCAUAUAAGAGAAUGUCUUUCAGCUUAUGCAAUGCACCUGUAACUUUCCAAAGAUUCAUGUUAAGCAUUUUCAGUGAUAUGGAGUGUAUUAUGGAAGUCUUUAUGGAUGAUAUCACCAUAUAUGGAAGUGCAUUUGAUGAAUGCUUGGUCAACCUAGAAGUUGUUCUGAAUCGAUGCAUUGAGGAAGACUUAGUGCUUAACUGGGAGAAGUGUCAUUUCAUGGUACAACAAGGGAUUGUCCUUAGGCACAUCAUCUCUAAGCAAGGCAUUGAAGUUGACAAAGCAAAGAUUGAACUCAUUGUCAAGUUAUCAUCCCUAACAAAUGUCAAAGGAAUAAGGCAAUUCCUUGGCCAUGUCGGGUUCUAUAGGAGGUUUAUCAAGGAUUUCUCUAAGCUUGCAAGGCUUCUUUUUGAACUAUUGGUGAAAGAUGCCAAAUUCAUAUGGGAUGAUAGAUGUCAAAGGAGUGUGGACCCGCAUUUUUCACGUGCGUCCCCACUCGAUCGGCGAGACUUGCUUUUUAUUUGUGAAAAAUUAAUUUUAAAAAAAAGUUGGAGUCACCACCUAUUUUAUUUUUAUUUUAAAGGGAAAAUAAAACAAGAAAGAAAAACCCUAAAAAGUGACUCCAUAGUUUUGGAAAAAGCAUGUCUUUGAGAAACCUAAGUCUAGGUUUGGGGAUCAGGUUACUUAUUGGGAAGGUACCUCUAGGAGGUAGCACCCCUCUAAGCCCUAAAAGGUCUCUACUGACUAAGUUAAGGGAAGCAUGACAAUUAAAUGGUUGAUCAUGGAUACCUAAGUAGGCUAGGUGAUUUCAAAAAAAGUUGCAUGCUAAACAAGAUCAAAUCACAAUAAAGGAGAGUUAGGGUGCGUACCUGAACCGCUUCUCAAGCGCUAUCAUGAAACAUAAGAGAUUAGUUUGGAAAUACGACACAUUAUAUGUAUUUUAUCAAAGAUGAUUAAACAAACAUCAAAGCAAUCAAUCAUGCCAUCAAACAGGAUCAUAGCUCAUGAUAACGUACACAUUCAUAGAAUUUUAGAGUUUGUAGGGUGGGAAGAGCAUACCUGAUUAGUGAGCAUCCACACGUCUUAUGGGAACAAGGGCAUCUCAACAAUAAAUAUUAAUGAAUUCAAGUAUUUCGUCAAGCAGAAUCAAAAAUCAACAUAUCUAGCAAACAAUAGUGAUGAAAAUAUCAUGAAUGUCGGGCCCCCACCAAAGCCCUAAUUAAUUUCGCAUGAGUUGAUUCCAUAAAUUCCAUGACUUGGAAUUAUGAAGUUUUAUUCAUGCUUACUGAAAAUCAAGAAAAUCACGAAAAUAGUUAAAAAUCAAAGAAAACAGUGAAAGUGCAUACCCGAAGUAAAGUGGUAGCAAAUUGUGUGUUAAAAUUCGGAUUUUGUACCUAGAAGCUUCUAAAGAAGUUUAAAGAAAACUGGAGUUAUUUUGACAUAGAAUGGUUUUGAAAUCUGGAUUUAAGAUGUAUAAAAUCACAAAAAGAAGAAAAAAAACAAUAGAAGGAGUAUGAUGUGUGGUGAGGUGGCCAAACUGGAUUAGUGUCUAAGCUACUUUUGAGACUGAAUUACUUGGGUUGCCUGAGGAUGUUUCUGUAGAUUGCUGAAAUGGAAUUCUGCGUUCUUACAUCAGUGGUCGCUGUAUGCAAACUCAAUUCACUCAAAACAACUGUGGAGAAAUAAAUUUCACCGCCAUCUCUUCCUAAAGUUCCUGCCCACUGGCAUCACAACCCAAAUCAGAUUAGUGCACUCCAGUUGAUGUCUUCCAAUAUUUCUUCUAAUUCAGGUUCAGAGAAUGACAAGAAGUCAUUUGGAUUCACCACAUUGGAGAAAGUAGAACCAUUAUCAUCAUCCUAAAGAUGGCAGAAAAGAGGAAAUGCUGGCGGAAAAGCAAUUUCAGCUUAUCAUCUGAUCUGGAAACAUGCAUGAGCAAUUUCUCUUAUAUUAAUAUCUGAGUUCUAUUUCCGUUGUCAACUUGCUCACAAACAGUUUUCUUCAAUUGAGUACUUGCGUCCUGAUUGAUAUUCUGAUGUUCGGUUUCCCGAAUAAAUUUUCAUUCUUCUAGCAUAUCAAAUUGCCUAUGGUCAGAAAUUAACCUUCAGUCAAUAAGAUUCAGCAACUUCUUUGCAUGUGUGAAGGUAAAUGAGUAGUAGGCUAAGGACUUUCUGAUGGAUUCUGCAUUUCUGGAUUUUCGAGAGUGGCCGCCAAGAAGACACCAGGCUCCAUCAUUGAUGUUAUGGUUUCUGAGCCUUCUUCAGUCUACUCUCUAUGAGCAACAGAUACUUUCUGACUGCAAGUAUUAAUACUCAAGUGCCUGCUGCGAUUUUCUCCUGGAUCAUCAAAAAACAAUAUUGAGCCUAGUACAAUUUUCAGGACCUCAGCUUACAAUCCCUUAAAGAACCCUGACACCCUUUUUCUAUUCUAAAUAGCGUAAAGAACACUGUGUCCUGCUUUAUGGGAUUUCUAUGGAGUUUUGUUGGCUUCAUCAUCAUUUGAGUCUGCUGCUUGAAUCAUGACCUUACACCAGAUUGCUGACGAUACUCUUUGACAUCACACCUAACAUGAAAACCGAGAGGGCAGAAAGGGUUUCCGGGGAUGAGCCCUUCUCUGUUAUGUUUUGAUUCCUCUUCAGGCAUCUUUGCUUCGGCUGAUCAAAUACUGUAUACUUAAUUGCAGGGGUUCAUGGUCAGAAGAAGAGAAAUUCCAAGAUCAUCAAAGGCUUCACUCCAAGUUUAAGCUGUCAGGUUUUGUCAGAUUGUUUUGUUGUGGCAUGUUUGAGAUACUUUCAGCAAGCUUCCUGAAUGCAAUAGCAGCAGAGAACACCUCCAAGGCUUGUCAGAUGAUGGAUUAUCAGUACAACUAUACACCAUGUUCGGGAUACCUGUAAGCUAUGAUACCUAUCCAUAGGCAAUUGGGUAAUUCAAGAUUUUCAUCAAUGAGUAUAGCUGGAAGUGGGGCAGCUUCUGGUCUCGAGAAACUCCUCCAAAGGGGUUCAGAUUCUUAUAAUUGCUUGUUCUUUUCACUAGCUGUUAGGUAAGCGCCUCCGGCUUCCUGUAAACUCAACCUUCACACUUGGCAGCUCAGGAAUUAGCAUUUCCAGCCGAAACGCCAACUUUAUCGAUAUGUAAUCGAACCAAGAGAAAUCACUUCUCUCACAGCAAAAGGCUUAACUACAAAUUCAGAAAACAGGAUCGUUUCCGGUGUCAAAUAAGACUUCUCGGGAGUCAUAAUAGAGGAGAGAAAUAUGGUGAUUCGAGUUUCAACUUAUUCAACUCCUAUUGGACGGAUUUGGGGACAGGUCUUUCUGAUAAUUUGUGGAUCUCAGUAGCAAGAAAACUAGAGUGCUAGCAUGAAGAGUAUGACCAUCACCUGCGUUGGGGAUUUCUAAACCAGAAUUCACCAUCUCACAAUUAUUGGACUCAUCAUCCAUUCCUGAAGAUAUAUCAGAAUUCCUAGGCUCAAAUGGUGAACUGUACAGAUUUGCAAGUAUUUCAAGACUGCCUAGGCAUUGCCAAUCACUAUGCAAGUCUGUAGACAAAGUGACCAAUUCUGGCAUUCUUUCCACCUGUCCACUGGAAGUGCCAAUUCUAUCACUGAUUUUUGUACCAUCAUGCACAUUUGAUAUCUCAUUUGGCACAAGUGACUGAAUUGACAUAGGUUCACGUGCCUCUAAACACUCACCUACUUCUUAAAAAAAUUCUGGGGGUUCCUCUAGAAAAUGGACUAUGCACGUACGUGUGUUCUGUGAAAAUCAAAACUGUGCGUGGACUUCUUCAUGCGGCUGUGAAGACUUCCCGAAGUGGCGUGUUUCUGUUAGUGCGUGGUCCCCAUGGGAGUGCAGGCUGCCCCUCAAUCCGUGCUCUUGGAUUUCAAGUGUCCAUCCAAAGUGGCAACAUGAGAUGUUUGUUUCUCUUCCCAUUGUUUUCUGAGCAGGUUCUCAAACCUUUGGUGUCAUAUCCCAAGCUUCAUCCCAUCCAAGUCCUUCAUCAUUCAUCAGUAAUCGCGUCAAUUCUGGGAUUGCAAGGGUAGGAUGCGUAUCAUUCGAAUGUACUGCUAUCUUGUUGGGAAAUUCAGACCAUUGCCAUGAGUCCUCGUCUUUCCUCUCCAUGAAUCUGAAAAUAAUGUCUUGAAGUGGAGCAUUGCAUAGGAAAAAAUGUUGCUUUAGUCGCGAGAGCUUUCCAAUUUCGGUGUAGAGAAGUCAGCUGCAUCUUCCCAAUCAUCUGGCUUGGCCUUAGGCUGAUCAUCUUUAUCGCUUCCUAUAACAUCUUCUUGACCAGCAUCGGCACUGACCCGUUUUUCAUUACCAAUAGAAGUAUUUUCUGAAGAGAUGAUUAGUUUCCUUCCUCUCCUCUGGACCCUUAUAUGCCAUGUAAAGAUUAGAGGUUGUCUCAGCAGCGUCAGCUUUCUGAAGAAUUUCCUUCCUCGAGAUGCGAUCAAGACUAUUCUUGAUGUCAGCCAGCAGUUUUCCCUUAAGAAUUCUACACAUUUCAACUUGUUGUCUGGUCUUAAAAUUGUGUUCCCUCGAGCCUGCUAUAACAUUGAUCCGCAUGGCCAAUGGUGAAGCAAACCGUUUUCUGCAUUCAGUCCCAUCACUGUUUCUAAUAAAAUUCCCAUGUGACAAAGAUCUAGCAUAGACACAGCACCAUCCUUUACAACUAGCUCAGACCAGAUAUCCUCAAGCCAUGACUGAAUCAACCUUGUACAUCGUAAAAGCUAGGACUUCAUGCAAUGGAAAUCAUGGGCUAUAACCAUGAAAACUUCAUUGAAGGCGGUAUGAUCCUCUGCAACAAUAUGCUCUAUUUCCAGAACCAUGCUUCUUGUUUCUGUCAAAUCUGAAGCAACCUGCCUUUCAAGGUUUUCAUAUUGCUAAUUCUUCAAAUCGUUGGAGGGUUGCAAGCUUUGUACCCCACUAAUUAAACUACCCCUCUCUUUCUUCAACCUUUCUAUCUCAAGCUUCAUUAUUUCAUUUGUUAUCAUUAGUCCAUUGAUCAUAAUAUCUGCUUCUUUCGUUGUGUCUUUUGCCUCUUCAAAUGUAGAAAGAAAAACAGGGAGCCUCUGCAAUUUUCUGAGCUGCAACUAUCUUUGCAUCACCAUCUUGAGUCUAGAUUGUUCUUAGCCUUUCUCCGUUUGUGAUCAAAUAUUGUGUCUUCAGUCAUGAUUUGGGAUGUGCUCUCUAUUCGUUCAGGAAGAUCAGCUCUGUCGUCCAUGAAGUUCGUGAUGGCUACUAGUUGCAGAUUGGUAUCUUGUAGUUGGAUUUUUGCUGAUACCAGGUCCUUUCAGUUCAGCCUCUCUAGAAUAUAAAAAAUGGACUGACCAGGGUCCGUCUUGGAAUUUUUCUACUCUCUGCCUCUUCCAGAACCUCUGUGACAUGGAAUUCAAGCUGCUGUUCAUGAGUGCACCUUCUUGUGAGAGUCAACGCCUAUUCAUUAUCUUCAGUUUCAAUAGCAGGUGAACCUUCUUCUUCCGUCUCUUCAGCGUGCUAAAAGUCUUCUAAAAAAAAAUCCCUUUUUUUGCUAUCUUUUUUCUUCUCCCUUCCCUCCAAAACCUUCCAAGGAGAGUCCCACUUUCCUUAAACUCCCAUGGUAAGUUUCCUUGCAAAAACAUGAAAUUUUAGAAGUUAAAUAAUUGCAUGAAUAGAUAAAUAAGUAAAUAAAUUAGAAAAUGGUAAAAAUAAUAAAUAAAUAAAUAAGUUAAGGAAAAUAAUAUAAAGAGGAAGAUAACCAAUAAGAAGUGAAUGAUGAUCAUAAAACUAAAACUAAAAAUAAAAAAAUAAUAAUAAAAAUAAACAAAUUAACAAAAAAAAUGGGCCCUACGAGCCAUGCAAACACGUAGGUCAUAUAAGUCACGCUAAAAAAAAAGUCUUAAUAGGCCUAGUGUGCCUAAAUGGGCCUAGGGUGUCUAAGUGGACCUAAGUAGAUUACCCUAAAAGCUAUCCUAAAAAUGAAUGAAAAGUCUAAGUCUAAAUUAAGGCUGCCAAGGGUCACAAUAAGGGGUCAGAUAAUCCCUCGACCAAAAUCUCCGAGGUGGCUCAAAAAAAGGUAAGUAGUAUGAGUAGCAAUGGGCUACCAAGGAACUACAGUGGAGCACUGAAAACAAAUUUAAAAAAACAUGUGCUAAAGGGACAAAAUUGAGGGUCUAUAAGGAGUUUUGAAGAAUUGAAGCUAUUUUUGAAAACAACACCAAUAGUGAGGGCUCCCAACUAGCAACUGUCUUUUGAGGUAAUGUGUGAUGCCAGUGACUUUACCAUAGGAGCUGUGCUUGGGAAAAGAGAAGAUAGAAAACCCUAUGUGAUCUACUACACGAGCAAGACAUUGAAUGAGGAGCAAACAAACUACAUAACCACCGAGAAAGAAUUGUUAGUUGUAGUUUUUGCCUUGGAUAAGUUUUGUGCUUACUUGGUGGGGUCCUUCAUUGUGGUUUUCACUGAUCACUCUACUUUGAAGUAUAUGUUGACUAAGCAAGAUGUUAAAGCAAGGCCGAUUAGAUGGAUCCUCUUGCAUCAAGAGUUCAAUCUCCAAAUCAAAGACAAGAAAAUAAUGGAAAAUGUGGUAGCAGACCACCAUUCAAGGCUAGCUAUCGCACAUAAUUCCCAUGGUUUGCCCAUCAAUGACGAUUUUCCAGAGGAGUCUCUCAUGUUGGUGGAAGUUGCUCCUUGGUAUACUCACAUUACUAACUACCUAGUCACAGGAGAAGUUCCAAGUGAGUGGAAAGCACAAGAUGAGAAACACUUCUUUGCUAAAAUUCAUGCCUACUAUUGGGAAGAGUCAUUUCUAUUCAAGUAUUGUGCGGAUCAAAUAAUAAGGAAGUGUGUUCCUGAAGAAGAGCAACAGGGGAUCCUCAGUCAUUGCCAUGAAAAUGCAUGUAGAGGCCACUUUGCUUCUCAAAAGACAGCCAUGAGGGUGUUGCAAUCGGGUUUCUAUUGGCCAUCACUUUUCAAAGAUGCCCACACCAUGUGCAAGAGUUGUGAUCGAUGCCAGAGGGUUGGGAAGUUGACACACAAGAACAUGAUGCCUUUGAACCCCAUUUUGAUAGUUGAUCUUUUUUAUGUUUGGGGCAUUGACUUCAUGGGAUCAUUCCCUAUGUCUUUUGGCUACUCUUACAUCUUGGUGGGAGUAGAUUAUAUUUCUAAGUGGGUUGAGGCAGUCCCAUGCAAGCACAAUGACCAUAGAGUGGUUCUCAAGGAGAACAUCUUCUCAAGAUUUGGGGUGCCCAAAGCCAUAAUUAGUGAUGGGGGUACUCAUUUUUGCAACAAGCCUUUUGAAACUCUCCUAGCCAAGUAUGGGGUGAAGCAUAAGGUAGCUACACCUUACCACCCUCAAACUAGUGGGCAAGUUGAGUUAGCAAACCAAGAGAUUAAAAACAUAUUGAUGAAGGUGGUGAACACGAAUAGAAAAGAUUGGUCUAUCAAGCUCCUUGAUUCACUAUGGGCAUAUAGAACAACUUACAAGACCAUUCUUGGGAUGUCUCCUUAUCGCCUAGUCUAUGGCAAAGCAUGUCAUCUCCCUGUGGAAUUGGAAUACAAGGCUUGGUGGGCAAUCAAGAAACUCAACAUGGAUUUGAGCAGAGCUGGGAUGAAGAGGUUCUUAGACCUCAAUGAGUUGGAGGAACUGAGAAAUGAUGCCUACAUCAAUUCAAAAAUUGCAAAAGAGAGAUUGAAGAGGUGGCAUGAUCAGUUGGUUUCUCGUAAAGAUUUUCAAAAGAGACAAAGAGUCUUGCUCUAUGACUCUAAGCUCCACAUCUUUCCGAGCAAGCUGAAAUCAAGGUGGAUAGGUUUUUUUACCAUUCACCAAGUGCAUUCAAAUGGAGUAGUGGAACUACUCAACUCCAACAAGACCAGUAGUUUCAAAGUGAAUGGCCACCAUCUCAAGCCCUUUGUGGAGCCUUUUUCUCGUGACAAGGAGGAAUUCAUCCUCCUUGAUCCACAUCAAGCUCGACAAGACCAGUUUUUGAAUGGACUUAGUCUUUCUAAACACUAUCAAGUCCAUAUCUUUUUGUUUUAUUUUUUAUUUGAGAGUUUUCUUGUAUUGUAACUUGUUUUGAUUCUGAUUUCUCAUUUAAUUUCAUUUUGGUUUGAUUUAACUUAGGUUUUUGAUGAUCAAUUUCAGGGGGGGACUUCAAAGCAGUUGGGCAUGUCCUUAAAGAUUCUUGGCAGAGGAAAAACCCUGAAGAAAAAAAUUCACCAAGGCAUUUCACACACCCUUGCGAAAAUUUCGCAGGGUAUGUGAAACCCUUCUCAAAUAGUAAGACUCCAUUUCACUCAAGAUGUACCACUUCCUCCCUUUAUUUUCAAUUGCUCUUGACACAUUGAUGGCAAUGUUGAUCUUGGUUGGGGGAAGAGUUGACGAAGGAAGUAUUGUUAAUAAUGCUAGGUUAAUUUGUUAAUUUAGUUACUUUUUACUUAAUUUUAAAAGUUUUUACUCUACUCUCCAUGGUUAUUAAGGAAAAAUUCUCAAAAUGAAAUGGGAGAAAUUGAGUUCUUCCCUUUUUACUUGAAUCUUAGAGUUUGUAUCAUGUUUAUUGAGGUUGAUGAAUUAUUGAAACUCCUAUUGAAUUCAACCUUAUUUCUUCCACUUUAAUCUUACCACACACUGUGCAUACUAGGUUCCAAUUAUAAGAAGAAAAAAAACUAUCUCACCCCCUGAACUUAGAAAAAUUUCAACUUGGUACCUUUGACCUCGUUUUAAUAGUGUUGGGACACCUUAUAAAAGGCCAAUGACCCUUAAAAAAAAAAUAAAACAACAAAGUGUUUCACUUGCCUUGAAACCCGAGCAAGGUCUGAGGGGUAUAUGGCUGAAGUCUUUAAAACCCGGUGCCCUAAGCCUUUAUUGGUUGGGAGUCACCGACCUCAAUGCUCGUUACAAGGGUGAAUAGGUGGAGUUUAACUUAUUGUAGGUGCUUGGGUAUUGAAUUUCAAUCUCAAAAAUCCAGGGUGAAAUAUGAGGAGGUAGUGGUCGAAAGAUCCUUAAAGCUUGAUGCCCUAAACCUUGAUUGGUUGGGAGUCAUCGAUGGAUCCCCGUUACAUGGACACUUUAGAAAACAAUACCUUUAGCAUUGCACUCCUACAAUGAAAAAAAAAUAUAUGAAAUAAAAUAGGUGCAUUCUUAGCCUAUUGGAGAUUGGUUAGUUUGCUAAGGUUUGAGAAAGAACUAGGUUGGUGGGAGAGAAUAGUUCGACAUACUAUAUCGGAAACUAAUAAGCUUAACACUUAGAUUUUUGUGGAAGAGUAAGGAUUGGACCUUUGGGAGUGGAAAUUCUUUUGAUGCUUGAAUUUUCAUAAUGUCUACUCUUUAUAAAUUGUGAUUAAGCAAGAUAUUUGAUGACUCUUGUUGAAGGUUGGGUUUUGCCUCUUUGAUGUUCCAUGAGAGAGUAUGAUCUGCAUCAUGCCACUUAAAUUUUUUUUGAAGUGAUUAGCAUGAUUUUGUAAAUUAUUUUACUAUCUAUUUUUCUUUAUCUCUCCUUCAUUGCUAAGGGACUAGCAAUGUGUCGGUUGGGGGGAGUGAUUACUACUCAAAAAGUGCUCUUUUAUAGCUUGAAAUUAACUGUUUUAAACACUUUUGAGUUGUAGUUAAUACUUUUUAACUCAAUUGGUACAUUAAGAAACCUAGCAAGGGUUACUAAUCAGUUUUUAACUAAUUUUGGUGCUUUUGGUAGCUUUUUUAUCAUUGAAACAAGCAAAGAAUGAGGGAGAAUUUUGUGCAAUCCAUGGAAUUGCAAGUUGAAGCUCAAAUACAUGAAGAAUUCGAGUUUUGGAGCACUUCAUAGCCCUUUGCCAAGCUUGGCAAUAGGUUUCCAAACCAAUCAGAAAUGCAAGGAAGAAAUCCAGAGGAAGAAAUCCAGCAUGUAGCAAUUUCUCAUGUCUAUGCGAAAUCAAGAGGAGGAGGAGCUGCAAGACUGAGUGAAGGAUAAUUUCGCACACUAUGCGAAAUUUCGCAUGGUCUGCGAAAUCUUCCUGUGCACCGACUCCGUUAGAUUUUUAUCUCCAAAUUUUUGUGUAAAUUACUAUUUUCUCCUUGUAAUAAACCAAUGAUAGGAUUUAUUGGUUAGGAACUAUAAAGGGGGGUUGGAAAGACCUCUCUAUAGAAUAUUUUUUUGUAUAAUCUUUUGGAUACAAACGACACGGGUAAUUCCCAUAGGAAGAAAUAUAAAGAGCCCUUGUUCUGCCUUUCCUUCUCAUUUUGUUUUCAUUUUUCUUUCUAGCCAAACAACCUCUGAGGAUGAUUUCUCAGGGGAUGAGUGGCUAAGAUUUACGUUUCUCGGAGUAAUGAAAACUAGGUAAAGGACCCGGAUGCAAAGGUAGGAGUUUUCCUUGCUUUAAAUGAAGGUAGUUGUUAACCAUUAAUGGUUUUUAUUUCAAGGUUUAGCUUUAAAUCCCUUAGAAUCACCUUAUAUGGCCAAUACUUGGUAAGCUUUUCGGAUUCUAUGGAUGCUUAUUGCUAGAUCCAUGGAUGUCCAUUAGUUAUCAAGUACGAGCCAUUGGAAGGUGGUUCAAAUAAAAUUUAAACUAAUUCAUAAGACCUUUGACCAUAGUGUAAUUGUCUUCUUAAAAUAAUAGUAGUAUUAUAAUUUUAAUAAAAUAAAUGGUUAACAACCCACAGCCAUGUUAGGUUGGCUGAAGAAGGUGUUUCUCUUUUUAGUCACUUGUUUAUGCUAUGGUGUUCAUGCCUCUUGCUCGUCAUAAUUUUAAUUUGAUGUAUUAAGUGUUAGGAAAGAAUCCGCAAUGGAUCAUACUAUCACAUCAAAGGAUAUCAAAUCCCUUAAUUCAAGCUUCUCCAAAUAUAUCUACAUAAAUUAUGAUUAUCAUGUAUAUAAGGAUAUAUACAUAAAUUGGAAUCUAUAUCUUAUGAUGCAUAUUUUUAUUCCAUCAAUUUCAUUGAAUCUUGUUAAACUCGGAAAUAUAACUGUUUGGAAGGAGGUAUGAAGUUUUCUAGGAAUUUACAUCAUCUUUUUAUGAAGUUGACUAAUUUAAAAGAACUUUAAACAAGGAAAAGUUUUUCGUGUGUCCAACGAUACAAUUUUACCCAAGUGGAGUUUUUAUGGAUGUCAAUUUUCUAGGGAAAUUGAUUAAUCAUGAAAAUUGACCUGCCAUGGUGAAAAUUAAUCCUUAGAUUUAAUGGAAAGUUACUAGUAUGUAUCCCGCAACUAGGAAUCUAGUCUAGUCCAAUCAAUAGAGUACUUAUGUUUGGUUAAGAAAAAAAUAAGGAAAAAAAUACUAAAGAAAGAAAAAGAAAAAAAUAUUAAAAUAUUUUUCUUUCUAUUUUCUUUUAAAAGGGUAGAGAAAGUACAUUCAUUGGAAAUUUAGUUUUUUUUUCCUUUGAAUUACAAUCAAAUAACAAAAUAAUUUUAUAUUCUUUUUUUUUCUAGUACCAAAAUAUAAGAAAAUCACCCUUUUAGAUUUUUUUUUUCCUAUAAAGUUCCAAGGAAUAAUAAAAAAAAUUUCAAUGUUCUCAUUGUAAAUCUAUGUUUAGUGUAAAAUUUUGUUUAUAAAUGAGGAUUCGUCAUCAAUUUAAUUGGAAGAUGAAAACAAAAUUAUAUGAGAAAUUGUUACACAAAUCAUGAGAUUGAACAAUUAAAUUGGGAAGUUCAUGUACAAUUACCUCAAUCCUUAGGUCUUGCAAGUCAAUAAGAAGGCUUCAUAAUAUUUGGAAUUUAAAUAAAUUUAUUCUCAUAAGAUAGUUAAAAAAUCAACAAAUUUUCUUGAUGAACACAUUCAAGUUAUUAGAAUAUUGUUGUACGUCCAUGCGUAGGUUACAAUAAAAACAUUUAAUAAUUUCAAAUUAAUGUCAAAUCACUUUGCAUAUUUCAUUAGUUUUAUAAAAUUAAAUAUAUGGCUUGUUAUACACCAUUUCAGACAACAUAGUCAUGAAAUCUCUGCUUUUCCUUUUUGAUUUGUUAUAAAGCUAGUUUGUUUCCUCAAGAAAAAUAUAUUUGAUCAAAUUUCAAAAAGAAAUAAAAAAUAAAAAAUAAAAGAUUGUGGAUCCGCAUUUUUUUGCAUGUGUUCUCAUUUGAUGGUAAUACUUACUUUUUAUUUGAAAAUUUGAUUUUUUUUUUUUUAAAUGGUUUUAGAAUUGCCAUUUAUUUUUAUUUAUUUUUAAAGGAAAAAUAAAAUAAAAAAGAAAAAUCUUAAGUAUGACUCAUGAUAAAAAAAAAAAUGUGGGUCUGUGAAAAUCGAAUUUGGGUCUGAGGUUAGAUUAUCUAUCAGGAAGUUACGGUAAUAAGUUGUAGCACCCCUUCUAAGCCCUAACAAUAAGUCUCUACUAAUCAAGUUGGGCAAGCAUGACAAUUGACUAAUCAAUUGAUGGAUAUCGAGGAAUGAAAGUCAUAGAAUGCAAGCAAAUCAAGCACAAGAAUGAAUAAAUAAGCAAGAUGGAGAUGGGAGCAUACUUGAGCGACGAACGAGCGUUCAUAUGGAAACAGGGUUAGUGUACAAGUAUAGAGUAAUCAUGUGUAUAUCACAAAGCAUAUCAAAGUCAAUCAAUAUUCAAUCACAGAUGUUGGGCCGCCCCGCUAAAACCCAAUUUAUCUGCAUGAAUUAAUUCUCUAAAAUUCCAUUAUUUUUGGAAUUAUAUAUAGAAUCUAUUCAUGCUUAUUAAAAAUCAAGAAAAUUGAAAAAUUAUUAAACAUCAAGGAAAUUUGUGAAAGAUGUUUGGCAGGGAGAAAAAUUGCAGCAAAUUUAUUAAAAUUGGGAUUUUAUUGCUUAAAAGAGUCUAAAGAUGAAUUUUUUAAACCUAGGUUUAUUUUAGUUGAAAACAGUUUUUAAAUUUCAAUUUAAAAACCUGUAAAUUCUCACCAAGAUAGGAGAAGCAUACCUAGAGGAAGGAAGGUGGUCAUGCAGUAGGAAAAAGAAGCACAAGUGGGAAUGGGAGUAGAAUGGUGCUGGUAAUGUUGAGGUUAAGAAGUGGACCCAGUGCAGCUUCAGAGAGAACAGGGACUCUUCCUUUUCCGUAUCUUCUUUGUCUUCCGCUGCGUUUUUGACUUCCACACCUUCAUACCCAAGCAACCCAUUGACAGAUUCUGUUCAAGGCAUUGCCGAACACCUUCCAAAAUUUGAGGUGCCCGCAAGUUCUGGUACCUCUGAGUCGCAUUCUCACUAGUAGCCACCAUGAGUCACUGGCACAGAAGUUUGAACUCUUUGGGUGGUGAUGUUGGGCACCAGAUUACUAACAGUGAGUUCCGUACUUCUAAAAUUAGUUUCCUUCUUCUGGUGCGUGCCAGUCACUGAGGUCACCUGCAACUGAUCCAGAUUUUAUUGAAAGUCCCACAUUGACUGCUUCUGCUUCGUCAACUUCAUGUUGAUGAUCUGCCGGAUUGCUUUCCUUUUGGUCUUAUAUUGCCAGAUUAAAUCCUGCACAAAGCUUAACCACGAGUCUUCCCACUCUCAAAUGUAAGCUCCAGAUCAUUCAGUAAGAAAGCGAGAUGUUCUUGAGAAUUAUGCUGAGCAAGUUUUCCCUUAAACACACGUGGUGCAUCUGGUGUCCAGUCAGAGGACCAUAAUUUCUUCAACAACUCAACAAAAGCAAGUGCAAGCUCACCAUUCACUCCCAAUGGAUUUUGUUUGUUGAUCUCUUCAGCAUAGUCUUGCAAGAAAUGCCCAACUACAGGAUCCCAUAUCUCAUCACUUGAAGCAAUAUUCUGACAGCAUGUAUCAAGGAUCACAUCUUCAUACCAACUGAAUUCAACAGAUUUCACAUUGGAAGCCCACAUUGUCUUCACCUCGUCAUAGAACUUGCUGAACGAGAGGUAGGAAGAACAAUAUUGCUCCAAUACACAGCUUGCGUGCUCCUUAAAUUCCCUAGGCUUGCAGAAGACGCUUGGGGAAUGCUGUUGAUAGCUUCACCUACCCAAUUUGCAUCCACAUCGUGUACAAGGACCACGACUGCUUAAGAUGAUAACACUGGUCUUAAAAGAUGAACCACGGACUUCCUGAACCUGGCUGCCCCACAGGCAACUUCAAUCCUUUAGCUUUCCUGCCCCGAUCCCGAACACCAAUCCUCCUAUACUGUUUGCACAAGCCUUAAGAGAUUCCGCCAUUUUUCCAUUUCAGAAACUUCUUGCUUUGCCACUUCAUUGGAAUUGUGACUUCUUUAAGCCCAUUCAGGACAUACAUUUAGCUGUUAGCAUUGGCCCGAUACCGGUAGUGGAAUUCUCAUACUCUUCCUCUUGUAACCGCUGCCACUCUCCUGUACUCGCUUAAUCUUGAGGAUGCAUAAACACAUCUAGGAACCCUUUGGAAAGAUGACUUCCUCAAGAGCAACUAAGCCUCCCUGAACAAUGAAGUGAAACUCAUGGUGACGAGUUCCAAGAUAACUGGCAAUCAAAAUGAGAACAAAUUGACUCACUGGCUCUUUGCUAUUUAAGUCAAUCAGAUCUUUCUAAGUUCUCAUUUUUAUUCAUUUCCUUGCUCUUCUUUUUGCGAUCAAACUCUCUAGCCUUCUGUUCAUUUCUAGCUCGGAAGUCCCAAGAUCCAUGAGAUUCUUCUGAUCAUCCUCUGUCCACUCAACAACCUUAUACCCAUAUUCAUCCCCUUCAUCUUCAUCUUCAUCUUCUGCUUCUUCUGCACUUUCCGCUUCCAACUUACUGCCACGACCAUCGAUAAACUUGUGACAGCGAUCAUCAAAAACCAUCACCCAAUUCAGAAACUAGUCUCUCAUCAAACCUCUGGACUUCUUCUGCAUCAUGCCCACUGAGAGAGAAACUGUCUUCUCCUUCCAGAUUAGAGCACUUUUCUACUUCUCAACACUCUUGAUGUCACUAACAACAACAAUUUAACGCAUGUUCGGAACAGCAAAACACCCAAAUAGAGGAUAUUUGGAGAAAGUCUUCACUGCCGUGGGUUUGAUGAGAAUCAUCUUAACAAAAUCAGAAUCACCAUCUUCCAAAAACUCGGGCUCCUUCUCAAGUUCCUGGCCAGAACACCUGUCAACCGGAACAUCCAAGUAUGGGACUUCUUUUCCCAAAGCCGAACUGAUUGUACUUCUGACAGAAAGUAUGACCAACUGUAUCAAGAAACAAACUACCAACUCCUCCAUGAAAAGAAACCAAGUCCACAGUCCACGGGAACAACAAUCCUCCUCGGGCUUAGAGAAAAUCUGUGGCUCUUCCUCAACUCAAAAUUCUAGGAAUCAAUUGCAGAAGAACAAGUGACUCCACAAUCAAGACCCCAGACCAGACCGUAUCGGCCAUGCAUGGCCAUGCAGAAGUGUACACGUGGAGGUAAUAAGGUGCUUAUAGGCAUUGAUGUUGAAGCUGUCCCAACCUCCAAUGACUUCCAUGGUUUAAUUUUUCAAUUCUUCCCAUCGUGAAUAGCAAGGAUUUUAGUGUCACUAAAAUGAACCACUUGUCGGAUUUUGGGUAUGGAAACAAAUGACUAGCCCAAAAGACCCAAACAAAAAAUAGAAGUAAUACAAAGAAAAACUUAUCGACUGAGGCAUGAUAAACACUGUUCUUGAAACAGAUCCACCAUCUUCGAAGACAAACUCAAUGCACUAGGGUACCAGUGGUCUACCUCUAGGAUUCAAUAGUCAAAUUCUGCAAGCGAGAUGUAUAUAGUUCGAGUUUUGAAAAAAUUCCUCCAGAUAGAUGUAUAAAAAGGCUCCUUGAAAAACUCUAAAAAUAUUGAUAUUCGUAUAUAGAGAGUGAGGGGUGGCCUGCUUUUAUAGGGCACUAACACAGUCCCAAUGGGACUCUACUUGUAAUGAGAACAUGACUCAAAAUGGAAGGAGAAUCUACUUAUAAGUGGAAUGGGACUCCACUAGCACAAUCCCAAUAGGACUCUUCCCAAAAAUGUAAGACUAAUAGAAUAAAAUAAAAUAAAAAUAAAAAUUAUGUACACUUUUCCUACAAUCCCCCAUAGAGUGUAAACGUAUUUAUUUAUUUAUUUAUUUAUUUAUUAUUAUUAUUAUUAUUUGAAGAAAAAAUAAUCCAAUGCAUCAGUACCGGUGCCCAAAGGCUAUGAACCAGUCUUAGGACAAAUAAGUAUUGAAUCACAAUACAUGGUGAAAAUAAACUUCUAUGAACUAGUGUUUCUUGAUGUAACUCAAGGGGCUUUUAUCCACAUUGGUUUUCUAAACUACACUACGAGUUAUACAAAACGGGUUGGCACAAAUAGACCAUGCGCCCUGCCUAGAUAUUCAUGAGAGCUCUAGAGAAUCUGCCUAGGUUCUCAUAGGAAGCAACCCCACCUCCACUCUCAUAUAGGUGAAUCCAUCAAGUAUGUUCCACAUUUAAACAUACCAUCCAUAAGAAAUAUGCUAUUCAUUAAGAGUAAACACUCAACCUUAAUCAAUACAGAAUACGCUCUAUCUACACCAUAGGGAUAGACUCUCAUACAAUUAGAGUUGAUAGAGCACCUCAAGUCAACAAGUGAUUUGUUAUUACCCAUAUGAACCUACUUCAUGGAAUUUCCAUUCUAAUAGGUUGGGUUACAACCACACUUGACUUCUGUAAUAAGCAUAAGCCCCAUCCCCCUUGAUGUUUCUUCUACUAGUUUUUUUUUUUUUUUUUUAAUUUAGUGGUUUGGUCAAAGGAUCAACUAAAUUCAACUCUGACCUCACAAAUUCUAGGAACAUAACCCCUGUUUCAAGCAAUUACUGCACAAUAUUGUGCCUUAGGAGUAUAUGCCUGUUCUUCCCAUUAAAUAUUUUACUCUUAGCCUUAGCAAUUGCAGCUUGGCUAUCACAAUGCAUAGACACAUACGGAGUUGGUCUCAUCCAUAAAGGGAUAUCUGCUAAGAGGUUUCUAAGUCACUCGGCCUUAAAACUUGCCUUUUCUAAGGCAAUAAACUCAGCCUCCAUAGUAGACCGAGUAAUGCAAUUUUGCUUGGCAGACUUCCAAGAAACUGCACUUCCACCAAGGAUGAAAACAUAUCCACUAGUAGAUUUCAUCUCAUCUGAAUCCAAAAUCCAAUGUGCAUCACUAAAUCCUUCAAGGACACUUGGAAAUCCACUAUAGCACAAACCAUAGUUAAUGGUGCCUCUUAAAUACUUAAGGACUCUAUGACCAGCAGUCCAAUAGUCCUGAUUAGGACUUUGGGUGUAUCGACUCAAUCUACCUACUGCAUAAGCAAUGUUAGGUUUGGUAUAGUUCAUUAAGUACAUUAGGCUCCCUAUGAUAUGAGCAAACUCUAUUUGGGUAACACUAUGUUCUCUUAUUUUCUUUAGUUGUGAGUUGGGAUCACAAGGAGUUGACACUGGUUUACAAUCAAAAUGUUCAAACUUCCUUAUAUUCUUUUCAACAUAGUGCUCUUGAGAAAGUUUAAGCUCAUUAGGUGUUCUAGUUAUUUUAAUUCCUAAAAUCACCUCUGCCUCUCUUAGGUCAUUCAUAUCAAACUUAGAAACUAAGAAUUUCUUGGUCUCACACACAACCUCUAGGCUAGUUCCAAAUAUCAACAUGUCAUCAACAUAAAGGCAGAUGACUACACAUGUGUUAUCCUCAUACUUGUUGUAGAUACACUUAUCAACAUUAUUAAUGGAAUAUCCAUUAGUUACUAACACAUGAUCAAACUUGUUGUGCCACUGUUUCAGAGCUUGUUUUAACCCAUAUAGUGAUUUAACCAACUUACACACCUUUUUCUUCUUCCUUGGAACUUUAAAACCCUUAGGUUGUUCCAUAUCAAUUUCCUCUUCCAAAUCCCCAUUCAAGAAUGCAGUCUUGACAUCCAUUUGGUAUAUCACCAAAUUAUGAAUGGAAGUUAGAGCAAUCACUAGUCUAAUUGAUGCUAUUCUAGUUAUAGGGGCAAAGGUGUCAUAGUAAUCUACACCAUUCCUUUGUUUAAAGCCUUUGGCAACUAAACGAGCUUUACACUUAUCUAUGGACCCAUCUUGUUUUAACUUUCUUUUAAAGAUCCACUUACACCCAAUAGUUUUUGCACCAGGAGGUAAAUCUACUAACUCCCAUGUAUAGUUAUACAUGAUUGAUUCGAUUUCACUAUUAAUGGCCUCCUUCCAGAAUGGUGUAUCAGGAGAAGUUAUAUCAUCUUUGUAGGAUCUAGGGUCCUCGUGUAUUAGGAAGGUGUAGAAACCAUCUCCAAGGUUUGUUUGUUUCCUAUCUCUUUUACUCCUUCUAGGUUCAAAUUCAGAAGGUUCAAUAGACUUGUCUCUACUUGUUUUCUGAACUUGUUGUUCACCAUUUAGUUUCAUAGGAAAGAUGUUUUCAAGGAAAUCUUCAUUCUUUGUUUCUAUUAUAGUAUUGACAUCUACAAGACUUUUUUCUGACUUAGUAAUAAAAAACCUAUAUGCCACACUAUUCAAAACAUAGCCAAUGAACAUUGCAUCAAAGGUUUUAGGAUAUAGUUUUCGUUUUUUAGGUUGAGGGAGAAGAACUUUAGCUAAACACCCUCACACUUUCAGGUAUGCUAUAUUAGGUGCAUAACGCUUCCACAACUCAUAAGGAGUUUUACCAGUUUUCUUAUAAGGUAUUCUAUUUUAAAUAUGACAUACGGAUAGGAUAGAUUUCCCCCCACAAGUUCAAGGGUGCUCUUGAACUUACCAACAUUGCAUUCAUCGUUUCUUUUAAGGUCUUAUUUUUCCUUUCUAUUACUCCAUUAGACUUAGGGGAAUAAAGAAGAGUAGUUUCGUGAAUGAUCCUAUGAUCUUCAAAAAAAGAAUUAAAGGGGUUGGACUCAUACUCUCCUCCCCUAUCAGUUCUAAGUCUUUUAAUUUUCUUACUUAGUUGAUUUUCCACUUCAUUUUUGUACUUGGUGAAAACAUCUCUUGCUUCCUCUUUGUUUCUCAAAAGAUAUACCCUUUUAUACCUUGAGUAGUUAUCUAUGAAAGUUAUGUAGAAUCAUUUACCACCUUUAGUGAUUGUAUUUUUUAGGUCUUCUAAGUCACUGUGUAUUAAACUUAGUAUAUCUGAUUCUUUUUCAACUGAUUUGCAAGAUUUCUUUGUGGUUUUAGAUUCUACACAAGAUUCACAUUUUCUAUGGUUUUCUAAGGACAAUUUAGGGAUUAAACUCAAUUCAACCAUUUUCUUCAUAUAUGAAAAGUUCAAAUGUCCUAGUCUACCAUGCCAAAUAUCACAAGAAUCAACUAUGUAAGUAGAAGAAGAAGAAGAUGCAUUAUUAUUGAUAAUAUAAAAAACAUUCAACAUAAAUAAACCCUGAUUACAAUAGCCCUUCCCCAUAAAUGCAUCAUUCUUAGUUAAAACUAUUUUAUCAGAGUCAAACAAGAUCCUUACUCCUUUUUUUUUUUUUUUUAAUAAUUGGGCUCUAGACCUUGUUUGAUGCAUUGGGCUUGGUCCUAAAGUUUUGGUUUCUGGACCUAUUGUUUUUAGGUUUGGGUUUUUCUUCUACUACAUUAGCCUUAGAAGACAAUUCCUUAGCUUUCUCAACAUUGUCCCUGUUUUGGUUUUGUUCCUCAAUCCUAAUAUGGAUUAUGACAUCCUCUAGGGACAUUUGUUACCUUUUAUGUUUCAAGUUAUUUUUAUAGUCUUUCCAAAACUCUUGAAGAGUCUCUACUAAAUAACCAGCCACAAAAGGUUCGGGUAAUUUAAUUUCUUCAAUAGCUAAGUCAUUAAUCAACAAGUGGUAGUCAUGGAUUUGAGAUGAUACAUCUUUAUCCUCGGUCAUUUGGAAAUUUCUAAAAUUCCCUAUGGCAUAUUUCUAAGUUCUUGCAUCUUCCAAAAUAUAUUUUUUAUUCAUUCCAUCCCAAAUUUCUUUUGCAACUUUAAAUUGACAAUAAAUAUAAAAAAGUUCAUUAGAAAGGGUACUUAGAAUAGCAUGCCUAACUUGUUUAUUUCUAGUUUCCCAGGUUGGCAACAAAUGAGAACCAUCUUCUGGUUUUGGGUCAAUCAAAAUGUGUCCCAAGUUCACUACAUCAAUUGCAGAGAAAACCCUUUCCUGCCAUCUAUUAAAGAAUGUCCUGUUAAAGGGAUCAAUUUUAGAGGUGUCAAGACGGGUGUGAACUAGGGAAGCUUCCAUUUGGAUAUAUUUCAAGAUUGUUGGAAUUUUGGGUAUGGAAACAAAUGACUAGCCCAAAAGACACAAACAAAUAACAUAAUUAAUAAGAAAAAAAACUUAUCGGCUGAGGCGUGACAAACACUAUCCUUGAAAUAGAUCUACCCUCCUCGAAAACAAACCCGGUGCACUAGGGUACAAGUGGUCUACCUCCAAGAUUCAACAACUAGAUCUUGCCUUGGGUGUACUCUAUAAGCAAGAUGUGUACAACUCAUGUUUUGAAAAAAUUUCUCCAGAUAGAUGUAUGAAAAGACUCUCUGAAAAACUCUCUGAAAAAUUCUUUGAAAAUAUUGGUAUUCGCAUAUAGAGAGUGAUGAUGGGUGACCUGCUUUUAUAGGCCACUAACACAGUCCCAAUGGAACUCUACUUGUAAUCAAAAUAUGGCUCAAUAUGGAAGGAGAAUCUACUUAUAAGUGGAAUGGGACUCCACUAGCACAAUCCCAAUAGGACUCUUCCCAAAAAUAUAUGACUAAUAGAAUAAAAUAAAAUAAAGUAAAAAUAAAAAUUAUUUACACUCUUCCUACAUCAUCCACAUCAGUCUUAAUGGAAGCUGAACAAAAUUCCAUAUUUGAUUUUGAUAAUGAGAAUUUAGAUUCUUCAAGGUUUUCAGAGUUGUAACUCUCUUCACCAGAAGCUUAUCGGUCAUAAAUAUCAAGCUUUUUCGGAAUUGAAGAAGACUUUUGGCUAAUGGGGCCAUAUCCCAAUUCUCUGUACUAGGCAUGGUCGCAACUGAUGCAUGAGAAAUCAGCACCAACAAAAUGGUGUAUAUUGCCUGAAUCCAUGCAAUUUAGAUGCUAACCACAUAAAUUUGUGGGACCUUAGGAUGCAUCCAGUCAUCACCUGAAAUCUUCAUUUUGCCCUACAUGAACAACUACCCUACACUAGCAGUACACGAGGAGUUAACAGAGCCAGUUGAGAUCACUGCAUGAUGUUCUAUCUCUGAAAUACCUCCACACGACAAGGAAGCCACUUUUCGUUCUACUUCUACUUGCCUGAAUUUUCCUUUAGAACUUCUGAUCUUUCUCAAGAGCGUUGUGGUAUAAAUCAGAAUUAGCAUUUUCCUUUCCUAAGGAACGUUGAUUUUCUACGAGCCGUGCCAGUAAGUCUUGUUAUAUUUAUAUAAAUAUAUAUAUAUAUAUAUAUAUAUAUAUAUAUAUAUAUAUAUAUAUAUAUUGUUGGUUAAAAAUAAAGUAUAAGAAGAGUUACACUUUUGAAAAAUAACUUUUGAAAAUAAAGUGUAAGAAGGGUUACACUUUUAAUGUGUGAAUAAACACAUGAUUAAGUUUUGAAAUGUUACAAAACUUGAAAGGUUAAGGAAGACAAUGAGUCUUCUCAUCUUUGUAACUUUAUAAAACUUAAGAGGUUAAGUGUAAGAGAGUUACACAUUUGAGAUUAAAUCAUGUUUAAUGUGUGAAUUAAACAUAUGAUUUAAUUUUUGAAUGUUACAAAGAUGAAGAGAUUAAGGAAGACAAUGGGUUUUUCUCAUCCUUGUAACCAUUUUUCAACCCUAAGAGUGCUAUAUAUGACUUUUCUUCUUUUUGAAAUCAUAUGCAAAAAAGUGAAAAGGCUUGAUCAAUCCCAAGACUAUUUCCAUUAGUUCCCUAAAGAUUUCUAGAGGUGGAAGGAAAUAGAGUUUUUGGACAAAGUUCCAAGAACUUGUUUGAGUCUUUCUUGUGUUCUUCUUCUUCUUGUUCUUAUUUUGUAACUUUGAGAGUUUUAUUGUAUCAAGGUGAGUGUUUGAGAGUGUUUAUUUUCUCCAUUGUAUCCAAAUUUUUUCUUAUCAAUCAAAGACUCUAAUUUUCAAUGGAAUGAGAGACUAUCAAGAUUAUGAACCAAGACCUUGUGAGGUUGGAUCGUUUUGAUGGUUCCAACUUCACUAGGUGGCAAGACAAGGUGAGAUUCCUUCUCACAGCACUCAAGAUUUUCUACAUCCUUGAUCCUACCUUGGCACCGUUACCGAAACCAAAGGAAAAUGACACACCUCAAGUGGUGGCAGCAAAGAAGAAGAGAGAGGAGGAUGAGCUCAUAUGUAGGGGUCACAUUUUGAACGCCUUAUCCGAUAGGCUAUAUGAUCUCUACACCAACACCUAUUCCGCGAGGGAGAUUUGGGAGGCUCUUGAAAACAAGUACAAAGCCGAGGAAGAAGGUACCAAAAAGUUUCUUAUUUCUCAAUACAUAGAUUUCAAAUUUUUUGAUGAAAAGCCUCUCUUACCACAAAUUCAUGAGUUGUAAGUAAUUGUGAAUAAGUUGAAAGUUCUCAAAAUUGAACUUCCGAAGGCCUUCCAAGUUGGUGCUAUUGUGGCUAAAUUACCAUCAAGUUGGAAAGGUUACCGGAAGAGGAUUCUCCACAAGAGUGAAGAUUACUCCUUGGAAGAGAUUCAAAAACAUCUUCGCAUUAAGGAAGAAUCGAGAUCAAGAGACAAAAUGGUGGAAGAGUCCAAUGGUGGGACUAACAAAGCCAAUGCGGUUUCAAAGGCCAAUCAUCUUAGAGGUAAAAAUAACAACGACAAAAGGAAUUCCGGAAAUUAUAUGAGCCCCAAGAAAAAUCAAGAGCAAUUUAAGGGCAAGAAAGGUCUUUGUUUUGUGUGUGGAAAACCCGGGCAUUAUGCUAGGGAGUGUAGGUACCGAAAUGACCUAAAAGGGGCUGUGGUGAAUGCAAUUGAUGAGGAGAUAAUUGCAACACUAAGCGAUGUGUGCGUUGUCCAAGGAAAGGUGCAAGGAUGGUGGUAUGAUACUUGUGCCACAGUUCAUGUUACCUAUGACAAAUCUCUUUUCAAGACCUUUGAAGAUGCAAAGGGAGAUCAAGAGGUUCAAAUGGGCAAUUAAGGAAGAUCCAAGGUGCUUGGCAAGGGCACUAUUGAAGUUGUUUUUACCUCCGACAAAAAGGUUACCCUUAUAAAUGUAUUGUAUGUCCCCGAUAUGAAUAAAAAUUUGCUUAGUGGGGAUUUGCUUGGCAAACCGGGUAUCAAAGCGGUGUUUGAAUCCGAUAAGCUAAUUUUAUCCAAAUCGGGGAACUUUGUGGGAAAGGGGUAUUCUUGUGAUGGGAUGAUCAAACUUUGUACCAAUGACAAUAUCAAUAAAAUGGCGUCUACUUCCGCUUAUAUGUGUGAUUCAAAUUCUUUAUUUUUGUGGCAUAAUAGGCUUGCACAUGUUGGUUUAAGCACUAUUAAAAGGAUUGUGAAAUGUGGUUUGAUUGCUUGUGAUACCAAGAAAUUUGAAAAGUGUGAAAUAUGUGUUAAAUCAAAGAUGAUUAAAAAGCCUUUUCAUAGUGUUGAGAGAUCAUCUAAUUUGCUUGAUUUAAUACAUAGUGAUCUUUGUGAACUUAAUGGCAUGUUAACAAGAGGUGGAAAUAGGUAUUUUCUUACAUUCAUAGAUGAUUGUUCUAGAUUUACCUAUAAGUUUUUGUUGAAAAACAAAAGUGAAACUUUCAAUGCCUUUAAAGUUUACAAAGCCGAAGUUGAAAAUCAACUAGAAAAAAAUAUUAAGGUGCUUAGAAGUGAUAGAGGUGGUGAAUAUUUCUCUAGUGAAUUCAAUUCUUUUUGUGAAGAAUAUGGCAGAAUACAUGAGUGCACCACACCCUAUACACCUCAACACAAUGGCAUAGCGGAGAGAAAGAAUAAAACAUUCUUGGAAAUGGUGAAAGCUAUGUUAUUGCAUGCUAAAUUGAAUUUCAAUUUGUGGGGUGAAGCUUUGUUGACUGCUUGCCAUAUUUUGAAUAGAAUUCCUAUGAAGAAAAAUGAGAUAUCUCCAUAUGAGUUAUGGAAAGGAAGGAAGCCUAAUAUAGGUUACUUCAAAGUGUGGGGGUGUCUUGCUUAUUGCAAGAAAAUGGAUCCAAAUAAAACAAAAUUGGGUCUAAGAGCCAUUAAGUGUGCAUUUGUAGGCUAUGCCUCAAAUAGCAAAGCUUAUAGACUAUUAGACUUGGAGUCUAAUGUGAUAAUUGAAUCAAGAGAGGUAGAGUUCUUUGAGAAUUUGUUGAGUGAUAGCAAUUCUCAAGUACCUACUAGUGUUGGAGAGUCUCUAGAGGAAACACCUUCAAAGGUUGUUGAGCAACCCAUUGUGCCUCGGAAAAGCCAAAGAGCUAGAAAAGAGAAAGUGUUGGGAUCGGAUGAGAUUGACUCUCAAAGAAUUUCCUUUUACUUAGUAGAGGAAAUAAAGAAGAUAUUAUAAGAAAAAUUCCUAUAGUACUUCAAAUAGAGGAGGAUCCCAAAACAUACAAAGAAGCUAUGGCUUCUAGAGAUGUUGCUUUUUGGAAAGAGGCUAUCAAUGAUGAAAUGGAUUCAAUUAUGUCCAACCAAACAUGGGAAUUGGUAGACCUUCCACUAGGAUCUAAACCAAUAGGGUGCAAGUGGGUAUUUCGAAGGAAAUAUCACACCGAUGGCAUGAUUCAAACCUUUAAGGCUAGAUUAGUAGCUAAGGGGCUUAAACAAAGAGAAUGUAUUGAUUAUUUUGAUACCUAUGCGCUGGUGGUUAGAACAACAUCGAUUAGGAUAUUGUUUGCUUUGGCAUCAAUUCAUAAUCUAUUUGUUCAUCAAAUGGAUGUCAAAACGGCAUUCUUGAAUGGGGAUCUCAAUGAGGAGGUCUACAUGGAACAACCGGAAGGUUUUGUUCUACUGGGGAAUGAAAACAAAGUGUGUAAGCUUGUCAAAUCAUUAUAUGGUUUAAAACAAGCUCCCAAAUAAUGGCACGAAAAAUUUGAUCAUGCUAUUCUUUCGGAUGGAUUUAGACACAACAAUGUGGACAAGUGCUUAUAUUCUAAGACUUGUGAUGACUAUAUGGUCAUAGUGUGUCUAUAUGUGGAUGACAUGUUAAUCUUGAGUGAUGACAUGAAAGGAAUAAUAGAAACGAAAAGGUUUCUAUCCUCAACCUUCAAGAUGAAAGAUCUUGGAGAAGUUGAUACUAUAUUGGGUAUCAAAGUGAAAAGAAAUAGUGGGGGUUAUGCUUUGAACCAAACCCACUAUAUUGAGAAAGUAGUUAGCAAAUUUAGUCAUCUCAAGAUUAAAGAUGCUAAUACUCCAUUUGAUUCAAGUAUAAAACUUGAACUACAUGAUGGUAGAUCGGUGGCUCAACUUGAGUAUGCAAGUGCAAUUGGAAGUCUUAUGUAUGCUGCUCAGUGUACCAGGGCUGACAUUUCAUUUGCAGUUAGCAAAAUAAGUAGGUUUAUUAGCAAUCCAAGCGUGGAACAUUGGAAAGCUAUUGGUAGAGUUCUUAGUUACCUAAAGAAUACCAAAGAACUAAGCCUCCAAUAUUCAAAGUUUCCUGCUAUACUUGAAGGGUAUUCAGAUGCAAGCUGGAUAUCGAGUGUGAGAGAUAAUUUAUCUACCACAGGUUGGGUGUUUACACUUGGUGGUGGGGCUGUCUCUUAGGGAUCCAAGAAACAGACUUGUAUAUCACACUCAACCAUGGAGGCAGAGUUUAUAGCUCUAGCUGCAACUGGAAAAGAAGCUGAGUGGCUUAGGGAUCUCAUGAUGGACAUCCCUUUUACUGCAAAUAAUGUGUCAACAGUGUCGAUACAAUAUUGUGACAGUCAAGCCACUCUAGCUCGUGCAUACAGUGGGGUGUACAAUGGGAAGUCUAGACAUAUAAGCAUUAGACAUGAGUAUGUGAGACAAUUGAUUCAAUAUGGAAUCAUCUCAAUCUUAUUUGUGAGGUCAAGUGGAAACUUGGCGGAUCCUUUUACUAAACCUCUUACAAUAGAUUUAGUAAGGAUAACAUCUAGAGGGAUGGGACUAAAACUCCUUAAAUAAAAUUCACCAAUGAUGGUAACCCAACUUAAUACUACGAAAUGACUAGUCUUAAGUUCAAUAGGUAAAAACAAGUCAUUGAUAAGUGGGUUGUGGCAGCAUUAGAACAUGUGAGUUCCAUCUGUGAUGAUUAAUGCUGGUUGUUACCGUUGGAGGGUUAAGCUUAAAGCUUUUAAUGAAAUUCAGUCUAUGUGUGACAAACAUCUUAAAGGUAACAAGGAUGCUGGAAGAAUUUCACCUAUGUGAACUUAGGGGUGGUGCCGCCUCUCAUGAGAGUUGGAGUUUUCUUUCAAGAAAGUUCAUGAAUGGAUUGAGCACAUGGCCAUAAAAGUGCUAAGCAAGAAAAUAAUGGGCACUCGUAUGGUUAGUGGAAGUGUGUGUUGUUACCGGUUUCGUUACAAGGAAUAAUUGGUUCAAUGCUACAAGCAACCUGGGAUUUUAACGGAGCUUUGUGACAAUUACACUAAGGUAAAAUUCAAAUCGAAAGAUAUUUUAUUUUAUGCAUUUUCACUGUUGAGGUUAUAAGGGUUGAUGUUUAAUUUUAACCAAGUGGGGGAUUGUUAUAUUUAUAUAAAUAUAUAUAUAUAUAUAUAUAUAUUGUUGGUUAAAAAUAAAGUGUAAGAAGAGUUACACUUUUGAAAAUAAAGUGUAAGAAGGGUUACACUUUUAAUGUGUGAAUAAACACAUGAUUAAGUUUUGAAAUGUUACAAAACUUGAAAGGUUAAGGAAGACAAUGAGUCUUCUCAUCCUUGUAACUUUAUAAAACUUAAGAGGUUAAGUGUAAGAGAGUUACACAUUUGAGAUUAAAUCAUGAUUAAUGUGUGAAUUAAACAUAUGAUUUAAUUUUUGAAUGUUACAAAGAUGAAGAGAUUGAGGAAGACAAUGGAUUUUUCUCAUCCUUGUAACCAUUUUUCAACCCUAAGAGUGCUAUAUAUGACUUUUCUUCUUUUUGAAAUCUUAUGCAGAAAAGUAAAAAGGUUUGAUCAAUCCCAAGACUAUUUCCAUUAGUUUCCUAAAGAUUUCUAGAGGUGGGAGGAAAUAGAGUCUUUGGACAAAGUUCCAAGAACUUGUUUGAGUCUUUCUAGUGUUCUUCUUCUUCUUGUUCUUAUUUUGUAACUUUGAGAGUUUUAUUGUAUCAAGGUGAGUGUUUGAGAGUGUUUCUUUUCUCCAUUGUAUCCAAAUUUUUUCUUAUCAAGUCUUGGCAAGUCAAGUUUGUUCUUCAUAUCAUGCUGAACCAAGAAAGCCUCAAGCUCCAAAUCUGAUUUAUCAUAACCAGAAAUCCCAUUAUAGUCCUUGGCGAUCUUACACUUCAAUUGUUCAUAAACGUCAGGCUUGAAGUAGGAACUGAAGAACCAGGCACCCCGGAUGCUAUCGAGCCACUUGGAGCAUCAAAAAUUCGGAAAGCCACCCCUGUCUCAUUAAGCUGCCUAUGAAGAUUAAGGGAAAUUUCUCCUCUUGAUCCGCAUAUCUAAAGAAUAAACCUGGAGGAGCAUUCAGAGCUUUCUUUUUAUCAAUCUUUUCACUAUUCCAGAGGUUUAAGACACCAUUUUCUAUAGAGCUUCCAAAGAUAGAAGCCUUGUCCACUUUCUUGAAUUUGAUUCCAAUCGAAAUGAGCAUUUUGGUCAAGUUCCCUUUCAGUAGUAGUCAUUUCAAUCUUCGAACUUCACAGCAAGAGGGCAAUCUGCCUCCUUGUAACACAACAUGUCGGUUGUCACAUCAAAUAAAAUGGUAGGACCAAUAAAGUUGCCUUAUUCACAUCUAGGAACCUCAAUAUUUCUUCCAUCAAGCACGUGUCUGGCACCACUCUCCAACUCAGCUUUCUGCGUUGCCUACUCCUGUAAGAAUUCCCACUCCAGACUCUGCAAGCAAAGCUUGAUGUUGUCAAACCACCAAGAAUAAGACCACCAUCAUGCAAUUUCCCCUUUCACUGACGAACCUUCCUCAUGUUCAAACAUCAGAGUCUGCAGCUAAGGAUCCACAUAAUAUAGUACUGGAGUUGCAACUCUCAGUAACACCCCAACCAAGAUGGCCAACCUAGCUGGGGUACUCAACACCCCAAACUUACCAGAAACAGAGGAAUAGAAAGCAGAGAUAGGGGCAGAGUAAAGACUGAGGAAAUGACAAAAAGGAAAUCAAGCAUAUGAUGAAUGUACUAAGCCUCAUUUCAUAUGACAUCCAUGGGCUAAGGACAGGUGGAAUUAUCAGAAAACAAUGGCAUGAUUUUCAGGUAAGCCCAUAUACAAGAUAUCCUCAAUCAUGACUAAGGAAACCCAUAUAGAGCUAAACCAAAGCAAACAUGCAGGCAAUCUCAAAUUUCUACAAAAAUAAUCAUAUGGCCCUUAAUGUCCAUACACAAACAACAAAUAAGGCCCAGAAAUCAUUAGAGAAUAGAGCAAAGAAACAAUGAGAAAAUGAAGAAAAUGGGACUCGAACUGAUCUUUACCAGAUAACCUCCCCCUCAAGCAAAAAUUUGCUUGGCUUCAAGCUGGCUCUCCUCUCCAAAAGGCUCCCUAAACAGCUUCCUCUCUUCUGCAGCUCUCUCACUCAGUUUUUUUUUUUUUUUUAUAUCUCCCGCUCAGCCAAAACCAUCCUUUGUUCUACUCCUAUUUCUUCUCUAGCACAAACCCACCAAAAAUCGAUUUCUCACUUCUCUCCCAUCUCAACAACCAAAACCCACCAGGAAAAUCAGAAUGCCCCUCCCCUCAGGUCACCAGCAGCUGCCAUCUUCUGCUGCAGCCUCUCUAAAAUGUCUAUCCUCUCCAAAAACUCCUGAGAAUCCCCUCUGCUUCCUCUCUUUCUUUUCUUUGUUCUCUUCUUGCUCUCCGGUUCCUCUCUUACUCUUAACUUUCUCCCUAAAUUCUUCUCUAACGAACCCAAGAAUCUCCCCCCCUCUGUCUUUCUCUGUGUUCUAAAACGUCCUCCACCUAGAAGGAUCCCCCAUACUCUCUACCUUACUACACUAUCAAUCAACCUCUUAGCAACUUUUCCCUGCUUCCACACUUUCUGUUUCCCCUCUAUAACUUACAUUGCCCUGCAACAAAGAAUGCCUUCCUAUCCUGCAGAAAAACAAAUCUCCACGUGGUCAGAAAGUGCUCCCCAAAAGUCGGGGAAAAAGACCCCCACAAAAGGCCAAAAAAACUGCCCUAGCUGCUAACAACUCUAAAGUCAUAAAAAUGUAAUUAAAAAAAUAAAUAAUGAUGCUCAUACCCGAAAUAAUGCUCUAAUGGUUUCUAAAAUAUAGUUCAAAGCCAAGCAAAUAUGGAGCACUAAAGAACAAUAAAAAAAAAAAAAAAAACCUCAGUAAAGAAAGUCCUAAAUACACAUAAGAAAAGAGUGGGGUGACAGAAAAAAUAUGUAUGUGUGCUAGGGACAAAAUAAACGAUUUACAAAAUAACCUGUGUCGAAUACAAACCCGAUUUAAUAUUUUUAUAAUAUUUAUAAUGUAUUUAUGUUAUAUUCAUUUUCUUUUUAUAUUUUUAAAAAAAUAUUAAAUUAUAUUAUUUCGUAUACUUUUCAUUUUUUUUGGAAAUAUAUGCAAUUUUUUUUUAUUACUAAAACUUUUUUUUAAAUUUACUAAUUAAAUUUUUAUAUAAAUAUAUAAUAAAAAUUCUUUAAAAACAUUAUAGAUGGAUUUUGAAUUAUGCAAUUGCAUCAACUUGUUUAUAUAUAUGAAUAUAAGGUAACAAACCAAUCAAAUAAAUCCUCUAAACAAUCACAAACCCCAAAGAAAAUCCAACAAAAAUAAAGAAGAAGAAAGAAAGAAACCUAGCUAAGUGUUGGAGACAAAGAAAAAAAAAUCAUAAGUAUAUUUCAAAUUAAAAGAAUUAUUAUUAUUAUUAUUAUUAUUAUUAUUUUGAAGAGAAUCGUAUUAUUUUUUAAUGGGAAGAGUUUUUCAUUUUUUUUAUUAUGAUUUUGAUAUAAAAAGGGAGAGUAAGGUUGAGUUUUUCAUUUUCUAAAAACAAAUUUUCUUUUAUUUUAUUUUAUUUAUUUUUUAAAAAAAUAAGCAUGAUUAAGAAAAAGAAAAUUAUUAAUCAUGGUUCUCAAUAUAAAAAGAAAAGCCAAAAGAAAAAAAAAGUUAAAAUCACAAUAAAAUGAAUAAUUUCUCAAAAAAAUAUUAAAUAUUAUCAAUUAUAUUAAUUAACUCUAUUUUAUAAGCUAGUUAAACUACCUUCAUGUAGUACAAUUUAAAUAAAAAAUGAAUUUACUAUAAAUUAAUAAAAUUAUCAUUCUCAAAAAUUUAAUAUGACUAAAAUAAAUUUUGUUUUUAUCUAUUUUUCUCUUUUUUUCAAGAAAAUUUAGAUCUAAAACUUUCCCAUGAAAUGAUAACUCAAAACCACACCAACAAUAUAAAAGUGAAAUCAAUAUAUAUAAAAUAAAUCCACAAAUUUCAAAAUCAUAAAACCAAAAUUCUAUCAUAUUUAACUCCUAUUUUGAACUUUAAUUUCAAGUUUUUUAAUAAAAUUUUACCUUAACAAAAUCAUGAAAUUUUAUUUAUUUAUUUUGACCUUAAUAAAAAAUUUAUUUUUUGCUCCUUUAUCUUUUCAAUCUUCAACUUUAUUAUAAUACUCAAAUCUAAUUUUAUACAAAAUUAAACUAAAUUUAUUUUUGAGAAUUUUAGAUCACUCUUGUAUCAAAAACUAGUUAAACUACAUUAAUAUCAUACAACUUGAAUAAAAAAACGAGUUUAUCAUAAAUUAACAAAGAUAUAAUAAAAAAAUGAAUAUAACUUAAAUAAAUUUUAUUUUUAUCAAUAUUUUUUUGGCAAAACCAUAACCUUUCGAUAGCCUACUUGUGCUGGACUAAGCCUAACUUUAUGUAGGGGUAAGGAGAUAAUAAGAAAAGCUUGUUGCUCAACCAAAAGGGAGAGAUUGUGCCGACUUAUAUUGUGUACUUCCAUUGUACUGGAUUAUUGGUCUUUGAAACUUCUUAGAAAGUUUAUUUUGGGUGUUUUUUUAGUCCUUUUUUUAGUGUAGGAUUAGUAAAAAAAAAAAUUGCUUUAAUUGAAUCUUUGUUGUGCUCUUAAUUCAUACAAGAGAAUGACAUCUUGUGGGAUGAGAAUUCUUUGAUCCCUAAAUUUUUUAUAUCACAAGCUGCCAACAAACAAAUUGCAUACACCAAUGUUUUAAAAAUGUGACCAGCCAAUCAAAUUAGUUGGCUCUACUCAGUCUGGAUUCGACUUGGUGAUUGGUAAAUUGGUAGAACCAACUGGGUUUGGAACUGGUCUAGAUAUUUUUCCAUUUAGGUUAGACAAAAAUUUUGGAAAAAAUCAAUAAAUAGAAAUGUUGAAAUUUUAAUAAAAGUUAUAAUUUAUAUUUAUGUUCAACUAUGUUUCAUUAUAAUAUAACUGGAAAAUGUAGUUGCAAACUAGAAGAAUAUAGUUGGAGGAAUGGUAUAUGCUCUAGUGGAUGGUGUCUCAAACUCAAUUCCCAUGGAUGGAGGAGUAAGAGUCAGAGACACAACAGAUGGAACUAGCACUAAAAUGGGUUAUGAAUCUUAUUGAGAAAUAACCAACCUCAUGAUAGACGAAGGAACAAAUGUGCUAGGAAGAAUUGGGGUUUUGUCCUUGAUAUUGUUCUCUAUAGGUUGAUGAGUUCUUCAGUCUAAUACAUGUAAUUUUCUCACUUCUGAAACUUCAUUUUUAGUUUUGAUCCAUUUUAGAGAAAAUAUGUGACACAAUCCAAAAUGGGGCUACAUUGUUUCUUAUUUUUGUCUGUUGUUAUCAUUUGUUGCCUUCAUAUGCUAGGAUGAUGUUUUUUAAUGAAAACUUCUAUGACCAAGUUGAAUUUGAUACUUGGUUGGAGCUUAUUUGUUUAAAUAUUCAUGUUUUGGUGGAUACAGGUCAUUGUAAUUGAGAAAAAAAUGCAUAUAAUGUAGAAGAUGGAUAAAAUUAAGUUAAAUACUUACAAAAAGUUAAGAUUAUAGGACUCUUCAAUUUAAUAAAAGUUUUGUUGUACUAAGGAUUACAGGCUAUGCAUUCAAUUUUGGGUAGAAGGAAAAUACCAUCCAAACAAGGCCUACAUAUAAUCCAAAGCAUUCCCAACCCCUAAAAGCUUAGAGAACGGAUUAGAUUAAAUAAGUUAGCUUAAAAGUGAUGCAAAAUAUGGGUAUGUUUUAUAAAAACACAUAUUUUCUUCUUGUUUUUAACCCUUCAAAAAGCUAUGAUUUGCUUAAUUUGAUUGGAAAAAAAAAUAUAGUAAUUUUUUUUCCCCAAUUAUAAAUUUUAGCUGUUUUUUGUCAAAAUUAACUUGAAUUCUAUAGACACCAAAAGAGGGAAAAAGGUCCCAGAUUUAGGUUAAUAAAGAAAUAUAGUUGGGACAAAUAAUUAAAAUAUCUUACAUUGGACAAUCAUCAUAUCCUAAUCAAAUUUUAUAAAAUAGUAGAAACAUAACUAAUAAUUAUAUUUUCAAAGAGAAUCUGAAAAUUUGAAAUUGGAAAUUUCUUCUAUUCAUUUUUAAUAUUUUUUAAGGGCUACUAUAAAUUUUAUCCACAAAGGGAUAAUGUACUCUUGUUUUAGUAGUAGUUAAACAAACUAUAACCUUUGAGAAUCACUAUUUAUCUUAAUAAAGGUCCUCUUUAUUUAAAAAAAAUUCUCUUUAAAUAAAUUAAAAGAGAAAUCUUGCCUUUUAUUGCAACUAUAAUGAAAUUCACUUCCAAAGAUUGUAAUUAUACAUAAAGCAUAUAAAGAUCUACAAACAAAAUUUAUCACCUUCGUAGGUGAUCUUUGGCAUAGGUUGCUCUUCCUCUCAACAACCAUUUGACAAUUUCAUCCACAAAAUCAAAGUAGGCCUCACACCAAGAUUUCCUUGUUACCAAAACAAAAUAUGGAACUAAAAUGCCCAUCACAAAUCCCAAGCCAACAUUCAAGUAAAACCAUUUAUCUAUAUAACCACUAUCAUUUUUGUCCUCAAUAGCACUUUGCUUUUUAUCUGGAUCUUAUUCCUGACAUUUUAUAACCAGUGGAGCUCCACAAAGAUCAGGGUUUCCAACAAAAGUCAACUCAGUGAAAGUUGUCAUUUGCCCUAUAAAGGGGAUCUUACUAGAAAAAUUAUUAUUUUAUAGAUUCAAAUAAUUCAAGAAUGUUAAUGAGGGCAUGCUUAAAGGAAUGUUACCAGAAAGCUUAUUAUUUGAUAAAUCAAGAAAGGAUAGUUGAUGCAACAUUGAAAUACUUUCCGAAAUUCGGCCAAUGAUGUGAUAUAUUCUCCGAGAAGUUUAGAGCCACCAAACCAAUUAAUUUUGUUAUUUCUUAGGGAAACUCUCCACUUAAAUUAUUGUGGGAUAGGUCUAUGCCUACAACAAGAGAAAGAGUCCUAGUGUAUUCAAGACUUUGGCCUUUCAUAAUCACAACCAAUCGUUCUU
rnacentral:lncRNA from 1 species